rnacentral:lncRNA from 1 species
AAUUAUAUGUUUAGUUUAGUUGAUUCAGCACUCAAAUGACAUCAGACAUGAUGCCUCUCAUCAAUUAAAUUCAGUCCACACUCUCCAUAUCCUAAUGACCCAAUUUCACUACCUGCCAUAUAAAAUUCUAUUUCAUCAGCUCUCCCUAACUAUCUUCAUUAUUGUUGAGAUGGGACGACUUCCAUCAAACUCCAUGGCUGCAACACUGACAAUGCCAUCAAUGGCGUUUCUUAUUACAAUUCUUCUGCUGAACCCAAUCAUUUCCAAUGCCGGCAUGAACGAUACUGAAUCCAAGUGGUGCGACAGCACCGGCCUGGAAAACUGUCUGGUCGGCGACCUCAACUCCCAUUCCGAGUUUCUGAUGUUGACAGAGAGUAGCGGGAUGCUGGUGGAUCAGUUUCUGACAUUUCAAACUCCCAAAGCCAAUGAUGCUAACAAAGAAUCAGUUCCGGAUUGCAGUCGGCCGCCACGCUAUGAUAGCUGUCUCGGCAGCAAAAGAAGUAUCCCCAAUCCUGAACCCUGCAGCACCCUAAAUCGUGUCAAUCCAUGUUAGAUAGAUAGAAUAGAAGUUGUGUGUUGUGAUUUACAAUAACUGAUAUUGUUACGUGGAAGUUGAGUGUGAGAUGAAGGAAGAAAUAUCAAUAAUUUGUUCAUGGUAUCCUCUUAUUUUAAUGUUUGAUAAUCAAAUAGUAUUCUUGUAUCCUAAUUCCUCGCAAUUUCUUGAAACUUGAAUCCACGCUCCUGAUUAGGGAUCCCGAUUGUUAUGUGUGUGUAUAUAUAUUGGCUUUUUAACUUGUGUUUAGGGUUGAAAAUGACUUCGUAUUGUAACGAAUGACUUGUAUUCCAUGUUGAAUGUUUUGAAAUAUUGGCUAAAUAGUAGGAAAUGUUAUACUUUAUAUCAAUAAUAACUUAAGCUUUUAAAAGUUAAGAAAAUAAUAGUUAGAAAUACUAUUGUCCUUAUUUUUUAAUAAAAAUUCUUAAUGUUUUGUUUAAAAAAUAAUUUUGUUUGUAUGUGAUUACAAACAAUUAUUACUCAUUUUAAAUAUCUUAAACCUUAACAAUCUAACUCGCAUAGAAGAUGUUCAAAAACCUAUGAUUUAAAGUUCCGUGCUUAAUGAUAUUUUGAAAUGAGAUAUGGUAAAACAAAUAAAGUAAAUCAAAGGUAUGUCCAACCAUAUAAUGAGUUUAGCUCAAUGACAACUCAAUAUAAUUUUCUAUUUAAAAGGUGGUAGGUUUGAUAUCAAGACUUCAUUUAUUCCAAUGGAAACGUAAUAGAUCAAAGAGAACAGAAAAACGAACCUCAUUUAAUUACUUUUAUUGUUAUUUACUUGUAUUUUGUAUUUUGUACUAACACAUGUGGUUCAAAGGCCACAUCAAAAUUUGUAAAGAAAUACCGCAAAUUGAUUGACCAAAUCCAGAGUGUUUAAUCGAAUUGCACAUGAAAAUUACACUGUUAUCAUUAUUGUUAUAGCUACUUUUAUUGAUAUGUUAUAGUUGAAAAAUUAUCAAUCUCGACAAUUUUACUAUUACCUAGCAGUUAAUUAACAAAAUUCAUAAUUUCUAGUAAAUGCGAUUAAAAGUAAUCUGAUUACAUUUGUGAUUCAAACUCGUUAUAAUUCAUUCACCAAUAAAAUUUAGAAAAUUGUUAGAAAUGAUUUCAUAUUUUGUCUUAUAAUAAUUACUGAAACAUCUUUUCUCGAUCCAUCCUGAACAAGAUUGAGAACUGAAAUUUCACUAAAAUAUUAAAAUUUUCAACUUACAAUUGUUUUGAGUUUUUCUGCUCCAUCUCGACUUUCUACCAUUUUUUAAAUCUUCCCAAAUCUUAACUAAUUUUUUUAUUUUUCAAAAUUUUUAGAUUACACGGUCAAAUAUUAAAAAGAUAAUUGGUAAACUAUGCAAAUAACCAAUAUUUGAAAAAUAAACUAUGGAUCUCGGUUCAUUAUGAGCAAUCGAGAAAGUAAAAAAUUGAUAGUUUUGGAUUUUCUCCGUACAAUUUUAUCCUAAUGAACUGAUAUCAACGUAAUCUUUUUUAAAUAUUAUACCACUUUCCAAAUCUAAGGCUAACUCUAUUCUUUCUUUCUUUUUUUUUUUUUUUGUAAUCUUGUCAAUUUUUAUAUAAAAAUGUUGUUAUAAAUUUAUUUGAAAGUUUAUAUAAUUAUGGAAUACAUAAAUUAGGAUAAGAGAUUUGGGAGAUGAUAUGAAAAUAUUGAUUCAAGAUCGAAAGAAAAUUAGUUAAGAUUUGAUAAAAGAAUGGAAAAGAUUAUAUAUAAUCAAAUUUGGAGAAAAAUUACUUAAGAUAAUGGAUAAUUUAACCAAACCUAAAAAUAUCUACGGUCGCGUAAAAAAAAUAGAAGAAGCGAAUGAAACAGAAAAAAAAUAUAGAAGAAGCUAAUGAAACAUAAAAAAAAUAGAAGAAGCUAAUGAAACAGAAAAAAAAAAAAUAGAAGAAGCUAAUGAAACAGAAAAAAUAUUUUCAUGAUUUUUAGCAUUGUACUUGAAUAUUGCAGAUGAUUAGUCACUUCUCUUUCUUUUUCUUCCUUCUUUGUCAUUUCAUCUCUUUCAUAGUUUUUCAUCUCCGUGUCAAGAUUUUUUUUCUCCUAUCAUUUAAAUGAUUUAUUCUUUAGUUUAAAUCCUCUAUUUCUUUUACAUCGUUUUCGACAAGAUUCACGACUAUUAUUUCAAUAUUCUUCUUCAUCUUCCUCAUAUUCAAGAAUAUCAAAAUUGUUUAAAUGUGAUUUUAAAUGAUGAACAUGAUCGUUUAAAUUUGAAGGGAGCUUUUUUUUCUUGUUUUUGAAAUUGUUUCAUGUAAAUAUUUGAUGUGUUUGUUAUAUAUAUUUUUUAAAAAACAGGUGAGAUAAUGAAAUGAAUCCCAAUUUUCAGCAUAAAAAGAUUAGUUAAAAUUUGAAAAGAUUUAAAAAAUGGUUAGAAUGAUUUAGUGAGAUGCACCAACAAAGAGUCCAAAACAAUCCUAAAAGUUUAGAUGCUCGAUUUGGUUGGAGAUGAGUCAAAGUAAAGAUGUUUGAACCAUUAAAAAAAAGAGGGUAGUUUUAGAGGCCAAACCUUCAGGGUGUGACAAUUUAGCAUAACAUUUCAUUAAACUUCCCAUCAAUUUUGAUUACAAUCCGAGUGUUGGGUGAAAGCAAGAGACGGAGGUUUAAAUGAAAAUUGACGCCCACCUGACCUGACGGCUGACGCACGUUACCCUGAACUUCGUUAUCAAAUCUUUAAAAUCGGCCGCCUCCUUCGCUGUCCAUUCCCGCCUACGUCUCUCUCUACAAUUUUAUUUCCACUCUUUCCGUUUCUCAUUCUCGUUUUCCAUUCCCUUCUCCCAUCAUCACCACCCUCUUUUCGCUUCUGUUUUCCUUCCUUUAUCCCUCCUUCGAUUCUCUUUACGUUGUGACUUGUUUCAGUUCUUCGAAUUUGAUCGAGCGAGCCAAGAUUAAGGAACCAGUGUGACACGAUUGAGAAAGAGGUAACAACUUAGUUCGAUGAUUUUCUAUUAUUAGGGGUUUGUGUGAUUCUUCUCUAGUUUAAGCCUUAAACAUCAAACAUUUUUCUUCUUGUCUUUUUUCAAUUGAAACCUGCUAUUUAUUUUGGUCAACACGUGAUUUGAUCUUAUGCUGAGGUUUAGGGUAUAUGACUGAUUCCUUAAAAGGUUGCUGGAGAUGAAAUUCAAAGAGUGGUCUGAUGUUAUUCUGAAACUGUUAGGUUAUAAUAGGCUGAGAUUGCAGUCUCCGGAUCGGCUUUUAGUUGUUGAAGCUGAAAAUUCUUAAGAAAUAUAUAGCAUGAUUAGCCUGUAUACUUAUCAAAUUCAUUUCUCUGUCAUAUAUGUUGUUCAAUUGGUGUUAUUUUCCUCUAUAUUCAUGGGCAUACAUUUGAUGCUCGAUAAAGGGAUAAAAAAUAUUGUUUAACUGGACGAGAGCAAUAAACUGUUCUGUAGAUUCAUUUGGUGGCCUUAUCUUUUCAUAAUUAUGUUUUGGUAUAAAAUGGAAGUAAGGUAUUAUCGGAUUUAAUACUUAGCUAGUUGUAGAACCAGAGAGACCUAAAAAAGACUAUAAAAGGGAUAUUAUAACUCAGGGUUGUUACCAGUUAGCAUAGACCUUAGUCUCCAAAUACAAUUAAAUUUCUGGGGUUAAAUGACAAAAGGAUGGAAAAAGGCCAAGACUGUUGGUGAGCAAUGCCUUGGGCUUGAUAGAAAAGAAGGAAAAUAAAAAAUAAAGGAAAGUGCAAAUAUAUAAAGCAGCCAGAUUGUUAAAUCAUUAAAUAAGUCAGCUUUAGAUACUCCUUUCUUUACCUUCUUUCCCAUGGUGUGAUCAUGUACUCAUUUCGCUCUUCUGGUGCAUGGGGAAGGAUGAACUCAAGCAAAGCAGCUUUAGAUUUUGUUGGCUUUUGGAUCUGAGGCUAUCUUGCUAUUUUUUUUUUGAAAAGGAUACGAGUCUCACUAUUAUUAAUAUAAAUAAAGAGACAAAGCUCAAUGAUACAAAGAGCAAUAGGGGAGGGACGAUCAGCAGGCGCACUCGGGCAUCUCAACUAGGAUGACACCCCAUAGCGCCCUCAUCACAUCCGAAAAGCGACAAUACAAGAUCAAACAGAAAGCCACAAAUACAAGGCCAAACAAAAUGAUAAAAAUAAUCUGUCCAAAGCAAAAUCAUAAAUCAUAUGCAGCAGGUCGAGAACAAAGAAGAAUAAGAAGAAUAAGAAGAAUAAGCCUUGAUUGAUUGAGCAAAAAACUAUUUGAAGUAGAGGGCUGAUCCGGAAGUCUUGGUGAUCAAGGACUUCAAGGUGGGAGGCUGUAAAGGCUGGCCAAUUUAACACGAUAUCCUGCAUCAAAGUUCUUCUUUUUUAUUACAUUUUCUAAAAAUUCCCAAUCCACUCUGUCGAAGGCCUUUCCAAGGUCUAAUUUAAUGAUCCAUCGUUUCUUUUUUCGGAUUCGUUUGCUAUUAAAAUAGGGUCCAAGAUUUGGGGCCCUUCCAGAAAGCCACAUUGUGAUGGAGCAAUAAUACUUGGUAUUACUUUCUUUAAUCUUUCUGCGAGAACCUUUGCAAUCAACUUAUAAAUUAAUGUUGUAAAACUUACUGGUCCAAAGUCUUUUACCCUUACUGCAUCUUCUUUCUUCUUGAUUAUACAAAUGAAGUUCUCUUUUACACAUGCAUUUAACCUCCCAUUCUCAUAAAACUCAUUAAAGAGAGCAAGACAAUUAUCUUUGAAAUGAUCCCAAAAUCUGAUUAUAAAUUCAGCUAUAAAGCCAUUUGGUCCAGGGACCUUAUUUUUUUCCAGUAAUUGAAGUGCAGAUAUUAUCUCGGACUAGUUGAAUCUUGAAAUGAGUCUUGUAUUUUGUUCUGCCGAAACCACUGACCAUUCAAGAGGAUUAGGAAGAGAUCUAGCAUGAGGGAAUUUUGUGUAAAGAGACUUGUAGAAUUCAAUGAUGAGACUUUCAACUCCAUUAAAGGAGAUUGUAGGAGUACCUUGGUCAUCAAUCAACUCUGAAAUCAAGCUAUGUCUUUUUUUGGCAACAAGGAAGCGAUGGAAGAAUCUAGUAUUUUCAUCUUCCAAUUUUAACCAAUUCAGUUUACUUUUCUGAAUUAAAUUCUUUCCUCUCUUCUAUAAAUUUCUAGAAGGUCUGAUUUAAUAGACAAUUUCAGAAUGUUGUCUAAGGAUGACAUAUUCAAAGAUUCUUUCUUAAUUUCUUCAUUUGCAAGAGCUUGAAGCAAAGAUUCUUCCUGAUUUUUUCUGGCUCUUUCACUGUCUACAUGCCAAGAUCUUAGGGUACUUUUUAAACUUUGAAGUUUUGAAUAAAUGACAAAACCAGCCCAUCCUUGAUAAUUUCCGGAGGUCAAGGAAUUUUUUAUAAUUUGGCAGCAGUGCUUAUCAAGCAACCAACUGUUGCAAAAGCGAAAUGGAGAGGGGCCCAUUCAAAAGCACCGACUUCUAAUAAGAUGGGGAAAUGAUCUGAAGCGAGUCUUUCUUUUCGGGAGGCUUUGGUAUCGACAAAGGAUUCAUCCCAAUCAGUAGUUACUAGGAAUCUAUCUAGCAGAGAACGUGAAACUGACCUUCCUUCUCUUGACCAUGUGAAUUUACCGUUGGAUAACAGAAUUUCUAGCAGCUUUUCCUUUCUAAUGAAUUUAUUAAAUUUUCUCAUUCCCCUUGUUAAUCUUCCUACUAGAAAUCUCUCUUGUACUUUUCGGGUGAUGUUGAAAUCACUUCCCAAACAUCAAACUCCUGUACAGAGAUCUGAAAGAAGAGACAACUCCGGCCAAAUUUGGUUGUUUUCUCGAUAAUGUGUGGGUCCAUAGAUGAUUGAAAUCCAACAUAUUCUUUUAUUGAUUGUGCUGUAUUUUACUGAAAGAGAAUAGUCUCGUUUUGGAACAUCAAUAAUCGACAGCUUAGGUUCAUUCCACAUAAUCAGCAAACCUUGGAUCUACCACUAGCUUCAACAAAUACCCAACCAAUUCCUUUUGAACUCCAUAAUGCCUUAUAAUAUAACUGUCAAUCUCUUCUCUUUUGGUCUCCUGAAUCAAUACUAUUUCUGGAUUAACUUUCUUCAAAAGAGUCUUAAUAGCCAAUUGUUUCGAUUGGCCCAUGAUUCCUCUAGUGUUCCAUGAUAUAAUCUUCAUCUUUGCUACCUCUGCCUUAUAUCAAUUCAAUUUCACAUGCUGCCAACUGCCAAGAAUGGAACCAACUCUUGAGGGGGAAAGAUACUUGCUGACCUGCACAAAAUUUCUUUCUCUGGAGAGGAAAACAAUUUAAUAAAAUCUGGGCCGAAAGAGUUGUUGUCCUUGUGCUUCUCUGACUCUGUUUGAAUUAUUUCUUCCUCAACUGGUUCAAUUUCUGCACUACUUACACUGGUGACUGAUUCAACUUUCAUAAUUUCGUCUCCUGGUUGCUCUACUUUGUUGAGACUAGAAGUACCUUGAACAAAAUUAAAGAAUGAACCAGAAAGUUUGGAAGAGGAUUGAGAAAAUUUAUUACUUAAAGAGGAAGGCAGUACAGACCUGUUACCAACUGAAUUUGGAAUUUGUAUCUUCACACAACUUUCCUCAAUAAAUCAGAAUUAGCCAAGCCCAUCCAAAUGUUGCGAAAAGAAGUUCUCCCUUUGGUAUAGGCUUUGAGGUGCUUAGAAAUUUUUCUGACAUGAGAUGGAAUAGCUUUCUCUGCAGAGAAUAUUUUAAACUUGGAAGAGGCUGGUAAUUUUGGUUGAGAACUGAAAACAGGGGAUGGCCUGUAAGUGAAGUUUCUUGAUGGAGGUAAGGACUCUGUUUCUUCCUCUAAUUCGUCAGAAUACCAAAAGCCAUCAGAACUCUGAUUAAUAAAUUUUGUGGGGCCUACCAUCCGUGUGUCAUCUUUUAAAAUGCCUGCAGAUACAUUAAGUUGGAAAAAAUCUGGUUGGGGAGGGAUAGGUGAGCCGUUUUUUGAGAUAUUAAAUUGUCGACUGGCUGUCUUUUCUUUUUUCGAGGUCUGUUUUUCUCUCUCUUUUGGUGAAGUCUUUUCCCCUUCUAAGCAUGUGGAGAUGCCAGCUACACCCAAAUUUGAAUUUGCCUUCUGAAAGUUAUUUUUUCCAGCGAGGAUUCAAGGGUUGAAUCUCUUUCCGGUCGGCCAAGGUUUUCUUCUUCAUCCCCCAACUUCCCAAGUGCUUUGAAAGGAUUUCUUGAGUUGGAUGGAGCAUUCUGUUUGAGAAAAUUCCAGGUCUCUGGGAGGCCAUUGCCUUGUAGUUCUUCAUCUAAAAUCAUUGAACUUAUUCUACAUAAAUCAAUAGGAUUGGAAAAAUCACCUUGAAAUAAAUCAUGUUGGACUAUUACAGGAACUUUUAAAGGUUCCAAAUCCCCAAAAAUUAAGGAAAAUUUUUUCUCGGUUCUCACUCUUUAAUAUAGUUGCUGGUAAGAAUCCGUUAAGAUUUUUCCGAACUUUAGUUCCUACUUCAAAGCACUUGAUCAGAUUGAGUGUUUCUAGGGCUAUACUUUCCAGUUGACCAAAAUAGGCUCCAGUUGCUUCAAAGAUAUUUCUUCACCAUAAGUUGAGAUGAAGAUUUUUGAUUGACAACCAACCUCCGAAGAGAGAACCUAUUAAGAUUUUUGAUUGCCCCUAUUUGUAGUGUUGCUGUUCAACUUCUUUUUUGGGAUUUUAUUUUUGCAUGCUCAGGUAUUAUGUCACUUUUUAUUUUUUUAUUUUUAAGAAUUUAUUUAUCAAUGUAAGUUUGAUUUCUCACACCCCUCUAACUAUUAUACGUUCCUCUCAACCAGAGAAAUCGUUGAUGUCGCCACCACAUUGUGAGAACCUCCUUUAAACCCUUAGAUGCAUAGUUCAACUAUAAUUUUGGUUUUUCUAUCCUACAAUGGUAUAAAAUUGCUAGUCAGGUUGUUCCAGCCUCAAAUAAAUUUUCCACGGAAUGAUAGUUAACUAGAUGCUGUAAGUUUUUUUAUGCUAUUUCAUCUAUUGAUUAGUUGUUGCAAGAAUAAGAUGGUGUCCAGCAUGACUUUGAUCUAGGUAUACAAAACAUAGAAAAUUGCGAAAACCCAAGUUGACAUGUAUUGUUGUGAUAAGGAAUUCAAAGCUGGGGUGUAGGGUGUCAAUUUACUUAAAGCAGUAGCCUUUUUGGGACAAGAUGGCUGCAUCGGGGGAUUGGAAACCGGAACCCAAGUUUUACAAGCUGUUCACAAAAGAACAAUUGGGGAAGGUUCCCUCUAGUUCAAUGCUAUUUACUAAUGAUAAGCUAUAAGUGUCUGUAUUAGGGGAAUGAUUAGGUCUGGAAGAAGAUUCCAUGAGAGCUUUGUAAAUGGAUUUCUUGUCUUUUCACUUGAAGAUGAAAGUGAUUCUUGAUUCUAUUGGCACUAACAUGGUAUUGUGAUAGAACACCAACUCGAUAUGUUCUUAUUCAAUUGAUAGGAAUGGAAGAUUACAAUAAAGAAUUGAUCAAUGAUCAAUUUGUAAACAGAAAAUAUGAAAAUGUAAAAGAAAUAACAAACUUUCUCGUUUUUUGUUUAUCCUAUCUCUCAAGGAUGAAAACAGAAAUCCACCCCAAAUUGACCUCCCCCUUCUCUCCCCGACUUCCCUCCUAUAUUAACAGCUUAUUCUCUAAUUAACUCUAGUCACCAUUCUCAUUGCUCUCGCUCUCUAUAACAUGUGCCCUCCCCUUCUUCCCUUUUCUACUAUAUUGUAAAAUAAUAGGUGGUCUAACGUAUUGAUAGGCUUCCAACUUGUUAUACGAAAGGUACGAGAAAGACCUGUGUGUCUGUUAAUGGAGUUGGGUGGUUUCUAUGUAAUAAGAAACUGUGAGUUGGUAUUGUAGAUGUGAAAUGCGGUUUUCUGUGAUAUUUGGGUCUUCAUUUGUAAUUAUGUUAUGAUCAAUAGAAGGGGAGGAAGAAGAUGAGUUGCAAAGGUUUUAGUGGAGUGAUUUGGAGGAGAACUAGACCUCCCAAAUGUGGUGUUACUUUUUCUCCUAAUUGUAAAUUGGUUAUCCUUGUCCCUUGAUAGUGUUUAUCAAACAUAUUUUUGUUUGUCUUGUUACAAGUUUUUGAUAAGUUACAUUUGAGAUUGCAUUCUUGUGGAGUUUGUCAAUGCAAUUGUAUUUGCUAUUGCUAACACAUGUACGUAAUUGACACAAAAAGUUCACGUGGACUCGUGUUGAACCUUUGUACUUAUAAAAUUAUUUAUACUGAAACUUUAGUGGAUUGCUAUAUUGGCUCUUUUUGUUUUGUUUUUUUUUCUGUUUUUUUUGUCUGACUUCUCAUGGUAGAAUUGUUUACGAGAUUUAAGAUAUUAUAAGUAUGAAAAGUGAUAAAAAGAAAUAACAUCGAGUUACGUGAAAACUCUUGUACAAAGAGAACAAACACAAUAGAACUUUUGUUAUUAUUUUCUUAUGAAACAAAUGAUGCAAGAGAAGAAAAUUAAUAGGCAACAAAAGAGUAAUUAGGGUAACAUAAUUACAAAACUACCCUUGAGCUUUCAACACACAACAAGCCCACUAAUUCUAACACUCCCUCUCAAUAAGAUCCAACUUGCUAACACAUGAAUCAAAACUCUGUUGACUCAAGGGAAUGUAAGGAAUGCAUAUACUACUAUUGUCCAGUCUUUCUUUAAUAAAAUGUCUAUCAAUCUCCACAUGUUUGGUUUUAUCAUACUGGAUCGGGUUGUUAGCAAUGCUAAUGACAACUUUAUUGUUGUAGAAUAAUUUCAUAGGCACCUUGCAGUCUUGAUGAAGAUCAGAUAAAACUUUUGUAGUCAAAUCUCCUUACAUAUCCCUAAACUCAUAGCCCUGUACACAGAUUCAACACUCCUUCUGGCCACAACCCCUUGCUUCUUACUCCCCCAAGCUACGAGAUUGCUCCACACAAAAGUAUAGUACCCGAAGGUGGAUUUUCUACCAACAACAGAACCUGUCCAUCCAGAAUCAGUAUAUAGGCCUCAAUACACCUAUCAGUUUUCCUAAACAUCAACAAUUUACCAGGAGGAAUUCUGUCAAUUGUCUCCCUGUGUUCCUCGUAAGAAACUUGCAUGAACUGACUAACGAUACUUACAGCAUAGGAGAUAUCUAGUCUAGUGUGAGAUAAGUAGAUCAACUUCCUCAUCAGGUGUUGAUAUUUUUAUUUAUCAACUGGAACUUUAUCAAUUAAAUUACCCAGUAUAGCAUUGACUCAAUAGGCAUAUCAGCAAGUCGGCAUCCCAUCAUACUGAUUCAGUCAGCAAAUCAAGGGUGUACUUUCUUUGAGAUAUAGAGAUACCAUCUCUUCAUCUAGCUACCUCCAUCUCAAGGAAUUAUUUUAGAUUUCUCAAGCCUGUAAUCUCAAAUCCACCCAUCUUUAAGUACUAGAACUACUACUAGAGGAAGCAUCAUCGUUAAGGAAGUAGAGUCCUCUACAGUGUCAAGCAGUGCCGAUCAUCCUUUCCAACCUCAAGUCCUACAAAGAAACAAAAUUAGGUAAGAAAGUUGUUUUGAAGUUCAGCUCACAAGUAAUCUUGCUUAUAGAUAACAUAAGUUAUAGAAAAUUUUGGGCAUAGGCAACACAUUUUGUAGGGGUAGCCCUUCAAAGGAAAAAAUUUACCCCUUCCCCAACAAUAGGGGCCAAGGAACCAUUUGCAAUUCUGACCCUCUCAUUAUCGACACAAGGAAUAUAAGAAACAAAACUCUCAAAGGAACCUGUUAGAUGAUCCAUAGCACUUAAAUCCAGAAAAUCCAAGGAUUCUUCCCAUCAACACUGAUUAGACUGAGGGACUAAGGCAUACUUGACUGAGCAAUAGUUUCGAGCAUGGAUGGAUUGGGAUCAUUCUAGUUACCAGUGAGACCAGAUGGUGGAGGGGUUCCAGCAGACUCAUUUACAUAAGCUCACGCUGAAUUCCGUUUGUCGUUCGGAGGAUGCUUCUUACCUCCUGGGGGACGACCAUGUAAUUUCCAACACUAUUCUAUGGUGUGCCACUGUUUCUUGCAAUGCUCACAAAUAGGAACCAGUUUUUCGUUCUGUUGCUCACUGUCAUGAGUAGAGGACCUCGCACUAAAGGCAACAGAAUCAAUGGUAGGAGUGGUCAGAUGUUCAUAGCACUCGUACGAUCCUCAAGGCAACCUUCAGAACAAACCUCCAUGAGGGAGGGAAUAGGUCUCUGGCCCGUAUCCGACCACGAACUAUGUCAAACUUUGAGUUUAGACCAUCAAGGAAAUCAUAUAUUCUGUCAACCUUGUCAAGUCUUGAGUGUUGUAAGCCAUCACUAGACAGUUCUAGACAAUUUCUUUACAAAGAUCCAUUUCCUGUUAAAUGAGAGAGUUUGUUAAAAUAGGAUGUGACAUCCAUAGUCCUCCACAUGCAUUCAUGGACUUGUUUUCUUAAAGUAUAGAGACAAAAGACAUUUUGAUGCCUCGAAUAAAGUUUUUGAGUUGUAUCCCAUAUAUCCUUGGCAGUCGUAGCAUACAGCAAAGGUUUGCCCAUUUAUUGUUCCAUACUGUUGAUUAACAUGGCCCGAAUAAGAAAAUCCUCCCCUUUCCAAAAACGUUCCUGGGAAUCAUCUAAUGGAGGGCGAGGUAUCUCUCCUGUUAGACAGCCAAUUUUGUGGCUCCCUUUUAGGAUCAUUUUAACGAAUUGUGACCAAGAGAUGUAGUUCUAGUGAUUCAGCUACUCUCCUUCAAAGCCUCCUGUAGUUUAUGCCACAAAACCAAACAUGUAAAUAGAAGGAAUUCUCUCCUUCAAAGCCUUCGGUAGUUUAUGCCACAAAACCAAACAUGUAAAUAGAAGGAAUUCUCUCCUUCAAAGCCUUCGGUAGUUUAUGCCACAAAACCAAACAUGUAAAUAGAAGGAAUUCUCUCCUUCAAAGCCUUCGGUAGUUUAUGCCACAAAACCAAACAUAUAAAUAGAAGGAAAAUUAGGGAACGAAAUUACCAGAUUCUCGAAAUACACGAGUGAGUUGGCUGGGAUGCUAGGACAAGAUGUGUGUUUAAGGGCUCCAAAGGCUGCCUCAAAUGCUACGAGUUGCUUUCAAAACAUAGCCAAUUGUUGUUCGGUGGUAUCCUGCACCUUUGGUUUGGAUUGGGCCGAGGACUCACCAACAUCAAAUUUCGAUUGGGUAUGGAAGUUACCAACACCUGUUGGAUAGAGUUUUCGGGUAGGAUAUAGUUUUCGAUUGGUUAGUGUUGAGGAAGAAGUUGGUUUGGUUGACCUAGGGUUUGUGGUUGCAAUAAGGAUGGUAGGAUUGGUGAAGAUGGUGGCUGCAGAUUCAGGUGUAGUGUUUGGAGCAACACGUGGGCAGUAGGAUUUGCCUGGGUUUGUGGCGGUGGCACAAGGGCAGUGGAGUUUGGUUGAUUUUGUAGUGGCAGCACAAGGGCAGUGGAGUUUUGUUGUGUUUGCGGGCGCGUAGACAGGAGGGUUCAGCGGCGAUGGGUUCGGCUGUAGGAAAGUACUGGCUGGCGUGGUCUGAAGGCGGCAGAGUAAGCUCAUUCACGGCGGCGCUGAUUCAAGCGUCAACAAUAGCACCGAUAUCGACGGCUGUCUUGCCGGCUGUAUGAUUCUCUGUUUGGGUUUCAUUGAAAUUGGUGUCUAGAGUUUCAUCGUUAUCCUUCUCUGAUACCAUAUUGAAAGCAAUAAAAAGAAAUAACACCGAGUUACGUGGAAACCCUAGUUCAGAUAAAAAAACUCAAUAGAACUUUUCUUAUUAUUUUCUUAUCCAACUAAUGAUACAAGAGAGGAAAAUCAAUAGACAACAAGUGCCUAAAUAAAAAAGGAAAGAAUAAUUAUGGUCACAUAAAUUACAAGACUACCCUUUGGUUUUCUACGCACAUCAAGACCACUAAUUCUUACAAUAAGAUACCAUACCAUUUUUUCUUUUUCUUUUUUUUUUUCUAGAUAAGAAACCAUUUCAUUAAAUAAAUGAAAUAUACAAAGAUAUACAGAAGAGGCCCUAUCAAAGAUAUGGUAUACCAAAGAUGCCUUUGAAAGAAAUAACCGACUCUUAAUUGCUUGUAUGCCUUUACAUUAAAAGAUGGUAGGAUACCUUUUUUAAUUGAAGUUGACUUUAUGAUUUUGGUUUGAAUACUAUAUUAGUCCCUGAACUUUCUUCAUUUUGGUCCUUGUACGUACAACAUAUCCAUUUUAGACUUCGUAUUUCUUCACCUUUUCCAUUUUGAUUUCUGUUCUGUCCAUUUUUGCUUUGCAUACUUUUAAAACGUGCCCUUUUGAAUUCUUCAUUUAUUGUUUUGAGUAGAAAAUUUCUUGAAAUGCAACAAAAAACUUUAUAUUAAAGGGUUUCAUUGUGUAUGGAGGUCAAAAUCGCCAUAUUUUAGAAAGUGUAGUUCUAAAACAAACAUUUUAAAAGUAAAUGUAAUAAAAUUAAUAGAAGGUUUACAUGGACUGAAUUAUCCGUGGUGGCAGAGGGAAUAAAUUGAAAGGCAAUGUUGAAGUUCCUUGAUGAUUCACAGAACCCAGAUUCUAAGCCAAAUGAGAAGGACGUUCUGAGUUGUGCCCAAGAUUUGAGUAGAUUGUCAUUCCCUAAACGUUUUGAUCAAAUUAGUGGUGAAGUAGUGACGGACAGUGUUCAACAGCUUUCCUUUGGUCCUGUCCAUGAAGAAGUUAAUGGCUUAUCGACAUUCCAACCUCCUCUUUCACGACCACCUAAUUGUCUGAUGAGAAAAAAGCUUCUCGUUCUUGAUAUAAAUGGUGUGCUUGUCGAUAUAGUAUCUCCUCCCCCCAAGGAACGGAAAGCAGACAUUAGUAUUGCUCGACAUGCAGGUAAGAAUUGAUCAAGAGUUCAUAUUUAUUAAGUUCAGAGCAAGUUAUAUCUCUAUAUUUAUUAAAUUCUGGUUUUGAAUUUUAGUUUUCAGAAGACCUUUUUAUUUAGAUUUCAUGAAGUUCUGCUUUGAGAGAUUUGAAAUUGGCAUAUGGUCAUCAAGAAACAGGUAUUGAUGGAUUUAUUGUGUUCGAUUGAUACUUAUUUCUAAGUUCCUUUAUUAGCUUUAAUUAUAUCUGUAUAGAUUGGAAUCAAGAGUUGUAGUUGGGUAAUGAACUAUAUCAAACAAGUAAUUCAUCCCCUCUUAAUCCUUUGAAGGAAGAAUGUAUCAAGAAUGGUUGAUUAUUUGUUGGGAGACAUGAAGCACAAAUUAUUAUUUUGUUGGGUGAGGAUUAAUAUUUCCUUCUCUUAAAAGUUCUUUUGUGAAAUUCUAGUGAACUUACAUUGGGGACUCUAGCUUUUAUUCACAUUGCACGUUAGUUCAUUAAUGUGAUUUAAUUGCAUUGAACCCAACGUGACUUUUAAGUUUUUCGAGUGACUGUUCCCUUGCGACUUUAUUAGGAUCUAUCACACUGUGCUGCUUCAAAAUUUAAGACUCUCGAAAACAAGCACAAACGUGUGGUUUUCAAGCAACUAAGGAGACUUUGGGAGAAGCAGGACCCAAAUCUUCCGUGGAAAGAGGGAGAGUAUAAUGAAUCGAAUACAUUGUUGCUGGACGAUUCUCCAUACAAAUCGUUGCUUAAUCCUGUAUGUUUAUUCAUUUUUUGGAUUAUUAAAGAUUAUAAUCAAUGGAUGGUUUUGAUGUUUCAGUCAUGUUUUAUCUCAUAUUUUCUCACAAGUUCUUUGGAUAUACAAUUUGUUUUCAAUCUUGUUUCUUCGGUAAAUGUUUAUUCUUGCAGGCACACUCUGCAGUUUUUCCAUAUUCCUACACGUUUCUGGAUGAAGCAAAAGAUACUUCACUUGGUGAGUUUCAUUUACAUUUUGCGUGAUGUUUAUAUUAACAUUUUUAGAAUUAGGUUGACAUGACUUUUAAAGUGACGUCUAUAUUAAUACUAAUUAAGUGUGUCAUUUGAAUUUUGAAGUAAUUUUGACCAUAUAACUCAAACAUCAAAAUUGACUUGAAAAAAUUGAUUUUUCUAGACGAAGUUAAAGUCAUGUUUGCUUAUUUUGAGAAUCAUGCUAAAUUAUUGCACAAUAUGAAAGACUGUGUGGGUGUGUGGCAGGUACAAGUGGGGAUCUUAGAAUUUAUUUAGAAGGCUUGGCUGAAGCUGAAAACGUACAGAAGUAUGUGGGACAAAACCCAUUUGGUCAAAGUCCUAUAUCAGAAGGAAGUGCAUCUUGGGACUUCUAUCACAUGGUUUUGGAUAAUUAUCACUCCUUUCCAUCAACUAUUUGAUUUCUUUUCUCCAUACUUUGUUUUGGGUAGCAUGUCCUAUACAAAAAUAAAGUUAGAAUUUAGUCAAUAUGAUUUGAUAAAAUUCUCAUAAAUUAUCUUACAAACUAUUUAUAAAAAAUUUAUUAUUUAUGAGAAUUUUAUCAAACUAUAGACUAAUUAUGGAGUUUUAUCAAACCAUAAGCCGAAAUUCUAACUUUUAAAACUUACUCUUGUAUAAAAAGAAGUUAUAACUUUUAAAAUGAUAGGAUAACCAUAGGGACCAAAAUGUGAAACUAAUCCUUUUCUUUUUUUGUUUGUAAUUGUUAAUUUGAAAGUGUGUAAGAUGUGAAGCAACGUUGUAUUAAGUAAAUGAUGGAUUAUAUAAUCUUUUACUACGAAAGUAAAAGAAAGUUCAUAUUCUUGCAAUUGCAGUAUGUCUUAAAACCACAUUUUUUUUGUUAUUAUUAUUUAUUUUGAAGAUAAAUAGUUAUUUUGGAUCCUAAAUUUUAAGAAACAUUUCCUAAAAUUAGAUUAAACAUACAAAAUUACAAUUACGCAUACAUCUCUGGCAAGGAUUAUACAGACAAUAUUACAUAAUACAUUACAAAAAAAUACAAUACUAUACAUAAUAAAACAUUACAAAAAAAUACAAUACUAUACAUAAUAUAUUCCACUACAUACAUUUCAAACUAUAUAAGUUUCAAAACAAAAAAAAAAAAAGGACAAAAUCUUAUAUCAAAUAGAUCAACGAGGGAGGAGCACGGAGCGGUGGGCGACGAACGAGUGGCGGUAAACGACAAGGCAGACGGUAGACGUUCUAUAAGUCUCUUUUUCUUUUCUUUUGAUUUUGCAUAAGUCUAUGUUCUAUAUUCAUAGAACAAAUAGGAAAAGAAAAGGCCGUCACAACACAAAAGCGUCGGACUUUUCCCGACGUUUCACUAAUGGUGUCGGAGAAAGUCCAACCGUAUUAUCUCGACGUGUGUUUCACGAUGUUGGCGUUUCCUUUCUUUGCCGAUGUUGUUUUUCUUGAUGUCCGUGAUGACGUUGGGAUAAGCCCAUUUUCUUGUAGUACACGAUAUAAUAUAAAUGAUCAAUUAUCAUAAUCAACACGAUCGUUUAGUAUAGUCGACACAAUUGUUUAAAUUUGAAGCAUUUUUCCCAUAAUUUUAAAAAAACUACAUGAUCACGUGGAUAUGAUCUAAUCAAUCACUUAUUAUAAUCAACACAAUCUUUUAAAAUUGAAGUAUUUUUUCUAUCGCUAAAAAAAAUUAUGCAAUCAUGCAUCAUGACCUAAAUGAUCGUAGAUCAUUCGUUUAAGACUAUAGUAUACAAUUGUGCAUCAUAACAUAAACGGUUGUAGAUCAUUGGUUUAGACUAUAGUACAUGAUUGUUUAGAAGAAGAUUACUCACGCAUGCAUGUGAUCGUUUAAUCACGUGUUGACUGGCGUAUUUUUGGUAUAUUUCAUUGUGGAAUUGUGAAUUUUUUUCGUUUUCGAAAUUAUUCUAUAGAGUGUAAAUAUUUAAUCGGUUUGUCAUAUUGUUUUAGAAAAACCCUAUUUUUAUUGUUAUUAUUGUUGAAUUAUUGUCUUAUUUCCUAAUUUUACAUUAUUUAUAUAUGUUUAACUCUUAAUCUUAAAUUUUUAAAUAUUUAAAUUAUAUAUUGUUUUAAAGGAAAUUGUUAUAGAUAUCAAAAGAUAUGAAAAAUCCUUGCAAAAUAUAAUAAAAAAACUUAGAUGGAACCAAGAGUGAACCAAUUUUGCUAUAUUUUAUAAAUAGUUUUCAUAUUUUUCUAGCGCGUAUUUAAUUUUCUUAAAUUAUAAAUUUCAAAUUUUGAUGCAUGCUUAUAUAUUAUUUUAAUUUUAAAAAUUUAUUUUUAAUAGAACUGAAACUGAUUAAAAAUUUAAUGGUGCAGUUAUCAAAGUUGAUCGUUCGGGUGGCCGUCGUCGAUGUUCAUGGUGGUGUUGUCGGAGAUGGCUUCUAGAGUUGGUCUCCGACAAUAGCGGGCAAAGGUGUAGUGGCUGGUAGAGUUAGUUGGUAACAGUUGCUAGAGGUAGCCAUAAGUGGUAAUAAUUAGAGUUGGUGGAUAACGGAGGUUGAAGGUGGUGGCUGUAGUAGGCGAUGACCGAAGGUUGGUGGUUGUCGAUUAGGAGAAAAAUACAACAAACAAAAAACAAGAAAUAGUUAUAAAUAAAACAAGUUCUUGUUUAUGCAUGUUUCAUCUUUUUUAAGAAACAAUAAAAAAGAAGCAAUUAUGAGACAUAUUUGAUAUGAAAACUCUAGGAUUUGAAAAUUAGAAACCCAAUCGGUGAACCAUUAAUAUCAAAUUCUAAAAACCCCAAAUCAAACUGACAACCAAAGGAAUAUAUUAGAUUUAAAUUACCCUUUGACUGAAGACCAAGAGAUAAGAAAAACUAGUUUCUUACUCCAAGUUCGAAUACUCAAGUAAGGUGAUUAAACUUGUUCUUGGCAUACAAACCGUAUAACAAGAAUUGAAAAAAAGAUGGCGAUGAGACUCUGUUAUUUAUAUGAGAAUUCCUAUUGGUAGAAAAGCCUUAAAACUUUCAUUGUAAAAAUCUAACUUGAAACAACCUAACAGGUAAGACUUAAAUAGUCUCUCAAUAGAAACCUAAUGCAUUGAUAAGACUAAAUUAACUCUACUUAAAUGUUAUUAAAAAGAACGAAAUAAAAAAUAUUAAAAGUACAUCACAAUUAUUAAAUAACAUCUAAUUAAUAAUUCGAUGCUUCAUUUUUCUAUUUAUCGAAGGAUUCGUCUUUGAAUUCAAAUCAAAACCUUGUAAAAGAGUCUUGAAAUCUUGAGAUUUCAAAUGUCAAUUGAUUGCAUCCUGUAGCGUCAAUUGACUCCAAUACAAGGGUAUCCUGAUUCAUAUCAUCUUCUCCCACUUUUGAAUAAUCCGUCAUAGAAUCAAGUUCGUUAUCUGCAUCAAAAGGAGUUAACUCAUAAACAUUAAAAGUAGCACUCACACCCAUAUUUAUCUUUAAAAUCAAUCCGGUAGUUAUUGUCAUUGAUUUUUUUAAUUACUUGGAAAGAGUACCAUCGUCUUUUGGGUUUAACUUCAAAUCUCAUUGAUCUGGAAAUUCCUUCUUUCGAAGAUUGACUCAAACCAAAUCUUCUUCCUUAAAUCUCAUACGCUUUCAAAAUUCUUGAUUCUAGUUCUUAAAGAAAGCAAAAAACAUGAAAUAUAAGAAAUAGUAAAACAAAAAUUCAAAAACGAGAAUGGUUAUUAAACGGCUCUAAAUUAGUGAUACAAGUAAAAGGGGAUGAGACACUGAUUAUAGAAAAAACUGAGGAAAAUCUUCAAUUUGGUGUAAUUGACUGUUUCAUGUAUUGUGGUUUUAGUUGAACGUUGUAGACUUCUGGUCUUUCUAUAUCUAGAAGCCAAUUUUUACUAUGUCUACAAUAUUUUUUUGGUCUAACUAAAUAUAGGAGGGAAGUUAAACGACUUGGUUAUUUCUUAAAACACUAGAACUGAACUACUUAAAUUGGUGAAUGAUCUAUGCGAACCGAAACCAAAUCAAGUACAUAGGCAAACUGAAAACUGAAACGAUUGUUCGAGUUUGGUUAACUUGGCCCUCAGCUGGUUGAAUGUCAUCCAUGUGGCGAAAGGAGAGAGACCACAUCUUUUCUAUAUUAAAUUUGCAAUAAAAUAAUUGUGUGCAUCCAUAUUCGCUUAGAUAUCACUUGGAUUAAACUUAAUUUUUGUUAUAUUUACAAAAUCGAAGAAGUGUGUCAAACUUACAAAUUCCUAAACUAACCUACCAACAACAACCAAAAAUUAGUCAAAUCGCCACCACUCCAACAUCUUUGCUGGAUAUUUCAUAUUCUUCUCCCUUGCUACUACAAAUACUACUAUUUUAGGUUUGCUUACCUUUAUUCAACAUAAUUUAAUAGUAGUGUAGAAUAUAAAUUAAUAGUUGAUAGUAAUAGUAAUGAUACUAAUGAUAACUUUUUUGGGGUGCAUGCGAAUAUGUGCUCUGUGAAUGAUCACGAGCGUAGCUUAAAGAACUAUAGCAUCUGCUCUCUUCUCUCAUCCUCACAUUUAUUUUAUUAAUAAAAAAAAAAGUAAAAUUUGAGAGAAAUUAUUGCAAUAAUAGAAUGAAUAGACUUCACAAUAAUUGAAAAAUAGUCAUUAUAUAAUAAUCAUUAGUAAUUAAUCUAAAAUCCAACCGACACUUUCCAAUUCUUGUCCCUCCCUAUUUUCAAAAUGACAAUCCCCAAACCUCUCUCUUCCAACUUUCAAUGUUCAUAAAACUAUUUUUUUAGAGUUUAUCUACGACACACAAAAUUAGUUUACUCAAUACAUAUUUUAUCUUUGUAAUAUCACAACUCGAUGUAAAAGUAGAUUUUGAAAAUUAUGUUAACAAAAUUCGAAUCAAAGCUUAACUAAACAAGUGGUUGAAAUGAUUAUGAACUAAUGAGAGUAAUUAAGAUUAUACAGCUGAUUGUGAUUAAAACAGAUAUUGCAAUUCAUUUAUUCAAAUAACGACAAACAGAUACAUUGGCUUCAAUUCUUCCGAUCGGAGCUAAAAGAUGAGGAGGACUAACACGGAUUCGCGCGAUUUCGGACGUCACAAUUUUCAGGGUUGGGGAUCUGCCUUUCUUCUCCAGUGCAGCUGUCGUACCGUGGCGGCCGCCCACAUUCUGCAACCGAUUGUCUGUUAGGGUCUAUAGUGCCUGGAGUUUGUAAAUUCUGAAAGUCCAGCAGCAUCCGGCUGGUCUCUGUCUCCAUUAAAAACUCCGAAUCCAAGCUCUCAUCGCCGACGAGGCAAUUCUCGGACCCGUAGCACCACUCCGAUGUUGUCUCAUUGACGGUUGUGUUGCAACGGGUUGGGUUGAACAGUAGAGUCAGAAUGAGGAUUGCCAUGGUUGGUAUUGAAAAUGUUGUAGCCAUGGUGUUUGAGGAGAGUCCCGUGUGUGAACAAUAAUUUAGAAAGAGGGAAGAGUUGGGUGUGGAUCUAUUUGUUUACUUUUGGAAGGUAGAGGAAUUGCAAAAGAACAAGAAAGAUAGAUCACUAAUUUUUUCUCCUAAUUGUGUGGUCAAUAAACACUUCUUACUUUUUUUUCUUUUCUUUUUAUUUAUUUAUUUAUUUAUUUUGUUAUGUAAUUAUACAAAUUAUAGUAGAGUACAGUAGUAAAGAUAAAUGCACCCUAUUAUUCACUAAAAUACUAUAGUAAAGGUCAAAUAACACUUAUAGUCUCUAGACUUUCUUAGAAACAACAUUUUGUUCAUGAACUUUUUGUUUUGUAAUGAUUUAGUUUAUAUUUUCUUUUUGUUUUGUAAUAACUUACUCAACUUAACUUAAUUUUAUUGUUUACCAAUUUAGUCUCUUCAGUCAAAAAAUUAUAAACCAUUUAAUCUGAACCAUAGAAAUUAGUGUUAAUAUUUAAUGAAUUAAAUAAACUAAUAAACGAAUUAAGGCUCAUUAUACUUUUAUAAAUGACAACAUAUAUCAUAAAAUAGGAAGAAGCUGGUUAAAUUCCCCCACCCCCAAUGAUAUAAAGAAACAGAAGAAACCGAACGAUGAUUCCUUGCAAAUAGUAGCGGUUCUAGAAGUCAUUAAAAGGGUUGAUCUGACAUACGACCCCUUUGGCUAGUUGAUGCAGAAGGCAUACUUAUCAUGGAGGGGAAAUUCAAAGAUGAAGCAUGAGGAGUGAGAUGUUUUCUACUUCUUUUGGAAAAAGGAUUUCUUUCAGACACUUGAGAAGAACACUACUUGGGAAUCCGAAUAUGUAAGUUUGGGGUUAGGACUUAAAUUUUGUAUUUAAACCAUUACAUUACUAAUGUUUGGAAUUUUUGUAGACUAUGGAUCUACUUAUGUUCCACGCUCAACAUAAGAUGCACUCGAGAGAAACUUUAUGCAAACACGAAUUUACGAUAUUGAACUCGUCAUUCAUGGUUAGUUCCAGCUCUUGACUUGCAUAUUGUCUUAAUUUGAUUGGUGCAAAAUGUUUAUAUUUUUGUCUAUGUUCUAUAAGGACUCAAUUAAAAAAAAAAAAAAAUCCUAAUCGAUGAACGUUUCAAUAACGAAAGGAUUUUGUUGGGAGAUGGCAAGAAGGCGUCGUGAACGGAUAAUACUGCACAUGCCCAAUUAUGGGACCAUCUAGAUCUUUUUAAAUACACUCUUGGUGUCAUCGAAGCUCGCAGAUUGUGGUUUGAAGUGUAUUGGGUGAUGGGGCCAGUGAACAUGAAGCAAUAUUGGAUGAUGGUUGCGACAAGUAGUAUCAAGCAUUGCAAGGUGAAUGUCUUUGACUCUAUGCCCAACUACAUUGAUGAUUCCAUUGUUGACCCCGUCCUCUGUACCAUUGCAUGUGUCAUCCCCUCCCUUUGUAUAGCGAAUGGUCAAGCGAGGACAAUAUCACAUUUCAAAAAUUAACCUUGGCGAGUGAAAAGGAGCAAGCAAGUUCUACAAAGUGUGAAGUCCUUGGACUUUUGAAUUUUUUGGGCCAAGUUAGUUGAAUGUGUCGCGAUUCAUGGUCCAAUUAGUUGUCUAUAUUAAAAGCACAUGAAGUUGUUUAGACAACAAUAUGUCACCGAGUUAUGGUCGAAUCAAUUGUUUGGUCUAAUUCAUUUUAAUUUUUUGUUGCACAUGUGCUUCUGAAUCCGAUGUAAAGUUGUAAUAAAUUAGUCUCUUGUAAUCAAUGCAUUCUUCUUAAAUUCAUUCUUAUGAUAAACUGAUCACUCGACAAUGUAUGACUAUGAAAGCAAUGGAUCAUGUUUGUUGCUUCAAGACUGCUUCUUUUUCUGUAAAAGAAUUUCGGCAAAUUGUAGGGUUAAAAGGUUAAACUUGAUGUGUUAGACCAAAAAAACAACCGGAUGAAAAUUCAAUUUUUGGGAGAUGAAGGAUGGGGCAAUAUUUUAGCUACCAAUAGAUAUUUAUGUUGACUCUUCUAUCAUUUCUAUAUCUUUUAUGGUAUUUUCACAUUUGGAAUCAAGUUUCUCAGAAGAAAAUACUUAUGUUGUGUAGGUUGGUUGACUGACUAGCAUUUCAUUAUAGAAUGUAUGAUGAGUGGUUAUUGCUAGUUUUGAAUGUUAAAUUCCUCUUGUUAGAAACAAAACUGGAACCAUGAAAUAGUCACUUUUAAGUUAUACUGUUGACUGUAUAAAACUGACUAUUUCGAUUAUUGAUGACCUAAGUAACUUAAUCUUAAUCUUGAGCUAACUAUGAACUUCUGUUCACAUGAAAUUGUCCUUAAAUCUACGUAGGUGAGGAUAGCUCAUUAGCACUAGCCAAAUAAGCUUUCCAUUUUAGGGGUAAGACCAGAUAGAUAGCUGGGGACAUAAGAUGCCAGAUGAAAUUCUCUCCCACCUCCUUUAGGGUUAAUAGAUAAGUCAUUCCCUUAAAAAAUGAAUCUAAGUCUUGAAUAAUGGGUCCUACCCUCUCAUUGUCCCGAGAGAAAUUCGAUUUAUAGGUUAGAUCUUAAACCAAUUGUUCAACAGUGGACUAGUGAUACUUAAGAUGUAAUCUCAUGGUAGAACUUAUUUUGACACAACCGAGGUUACGAAUAACGUUUGAAGAAUUAACUUACUGAUCAUGGUUAUAUCAGAUGCACACAAAUAUAUCUAUGAAACUUUAGUGGAAUGACUCGUUAGUUAAUGAAUGUUGAUUAGUUCGAUCUAAAAGGUCUUAGCCAGUUAAUCUAACCCAUAAUCUAUAGGUCCAUUAGGUUAUCCUGUUAGCUCAUAUGAAAUUAACUUAGAAUAAUAUGUUGGAAUAAUUCAAAUUGUUUGAAUUAGGUAAAGAAAGAGAAACCGAUGAAUAUAUGUGAUAUAUCCAUCGGCUAUCAGUUUGAUAUAGAGUUUUAUGUUUAAAUGUGAUUUAAUAUUAAAAAUAUGAAUGUAGAUUCAUAUUUGAAAGCUUGAAAUUGAUGAGAAUCAUCAAAGUUGAAAAAGAAUCAAAAUGUGGACUUUGAAUUUGAGAAGGAAAAGUUUGACUUUUGACUUGAAUGGUUAAAUGACCAUAUUGCCCUUUAACUAGAGUUGUGAGAAAAUCCAACAUUUUGUUGGCUAAUCCCACUGACACUUAGUGGGACAAGUGUCUACAUGGGAUGUAAGCACUUAACCCACUAAGAAUAAGUGUAAUGAAAGGUGUUAAUCAUAUAACUUUUUACAUGCAUUUUGAAUGUAAGUUUUUUAUCAAAGGUUUUGAAAAAUCUUUUUCCUAAAACUUUUAAUAAUUUUUUAAAUUAUUUAAUUUAUUUUCACAAAAUAUUUUACCUCUCAUAACCAAGGGUUGAUUCUUCCACCUCCAAUUUUCAUAUCUCAAUUUCUUCAGGUAUCGGGUUGAAAUGUAUUGUGUUUACAUUGGUUCACGAAUGAACACAAGUACAAAUAAUAAAGGAACAUGAACUUUUAACUUCAUAAUACAACAUGACUAUUUACCGUACUGACAUAGCUUCAAAUUUAAAUUCAUGCACUGUAAUUCAAGUUUUUACCAGGUGAAACUCAUGGAGUAAAAUUUUAGAUUAUCUUCAUAAGCAAAAGAACAAUUUUUUGCUACAUCAUGUCGCAUCCCUAUUGGGCCACCGACUAAAACUCCAAUAUCCGAUCCUUUGCAGUCGAACAAAAUUUUUGCAUAACAAAGCAUGUUACCAUAUAUCAUUGAUGGUGGUUGUUAUGUAUUAUAUAUAUAUAUAUAUAUAUAUAUAUAUAUAUAUAUAUAUAUAUAUAUAUAUAUAUAUAUCAUAUAUGUAUAUCAUAUAUGUAUAUCAUAUAUGUAUAUCAUAUAUGUAUAUCAUAUAUGUAUAUCAUAUAUGUAUAUGUAGCCUGCCUGAAUGGAUGUUAGUUGCUUUAACAAGAUAUUAGUAGGGAAGGCUCUCAAGCUCACUAUCACCUCAAAAGAUCCCUGACCCAUGUGAUGCUUUUGGUGAUUGAAAAUUGUGAAUUUGAAUUUGUUUGUCAUUUGAAGCAUUUGUUUUCCUUUGACACAUAAAGAAAAUGCUAGAAAAAAUGCAAAUACAAGCAAAUGCCAAGAACACGUCCCAAUGAACUUUGUAGGUGUAAUUAUAAAUAGCACUAACAUUUCAUUUUCAUACACGAUAAUGCAUCAAAAACCCAAUUUUCUUUUUCAAUUCAUCUUCAUAUACACAAGAAUACACCAAAUAUAUCAUUUAGUAUGCUUUAAAUUGAGAAAAUUGAGAAAGCUAAAUUGGGGUGCAUACAUAUAUGUACAAUAAGAAAAUAAACUUAAGAAAAUUGAGAGAACUAAAUUAGGGUCUAUACAUACAUGUACAAUAAAGAAAUAAAAUUAAGAAAAUUGAGAAAAUUAAAUUGGGGUCUAUACAUACAUGUACAAUAAAUGGAUCACUUAAAUAGGGCUCAAAAAAUGAAAUACUAAGCCACCAAGAAAAUAAUUUGGCAGGCAAAGAACGAAAACAAGUCAAACUUCAAAAGACAAAUGCCAACACAGACCACCUAGCUAGAGCCUUUGCCUUGGAAAAACUAAUUUAGAAGGCUCCCACUCCCAAUCAUAAGACAUAUUUUAGGCUCUUGUGGAUGUUCAAAAGGAAAACACCUAAUUGUUGCUCUUGUUUCUUCUUUUAACUCCCAGUUCAUCUUGGUCACUAAAAAAUGAUCACAAGCAUACAUAUGCAAACAAUAAGACAAACAUAUACAUAAAAAACUUAUCAAUGAAGCCCAAAAAUUGUAACUAAGCCUACCUAGCUAACCAAGGAUCCCUAGCCCAUUUUCCCUCGGAGAUUACCUUUUAAGUUCAUUAUAUGAAUGCACGUCCAUAAUGUUACUGCAAAUAUGUCAUUAACAAAAUAAGGUACAUCUUACUAGAGGUAAAUGCAUAAGGUUUUCAUUAUAUGAAGAUGUUAGGAUUUCACUCUUAAAACAAGAAUACCAACAAAAAGGGCAAAAUUAGAGACAAUACUUUGUGAUUUGCUUAUAUUCAAUAAAUCUAAAGUUCACACAAUGAAAUAACAAAAAAAGAAAAUAACACCCCAAAAUAGUCUAGCUCCUUUAGGAAGGCUGACAGCUUCUCCUUUAAAGAAGAGCAAUCUUUUCUAUAUAAAACCUUGCCUCACCAAUCUCUAAAAUUAUUCUAUUUAUACUUCUCAUCAUUUGUGGCUCCACCACUCUUGUUCACCUUCUGGGAUACAAAUGUUUGAAGUUAUCUCGCUAAGGUGAAGUUUAUUGGCAAACUCCUUAUGCGCAUUAACUUUAUCCUUGCUACUUGUCCUCUUAGGUAGUUGGCGAUUGGCAUUGGCCAGCCGAUGAAUAGAGCUCAACUAAUGCUAUAAGACUUAUAAGCUAGACUCCUUAUCAAGAACUUAUCAUAACCCUAACUACUAAUAACACAUUGACAAAUAAAAAGUCAAGAAAUGAUGGAUUGAAAAGGUAUACACAUGUAAUAUAUGUAUAAAGAAUGUAGGCGUUUGACCAUUGUACAAUAUGAACAAUAUAGAUUACAAAGAAGUGCAAAAGUGGAAAGAAAUAAGAGUGAAAAAAAUACUACUAGUUAGGGGGAAACGAGGGGGACGAACUCUUCUCCUCUCAAACUAUUUUCUUGGUGGCUUAGUAUUUAACGAACUCUUCUCAAAGGACGAUAUAAUGACAUUUAACCAAUGUAUUUACAUCAGAAAAGGUGAGUUAGUACGAUAGUGCACUGAGAGGUGACAACCUUAAUACGUGGUUAAAUUACUUAAAUUGCAUCAAAGUAUCAAGCCAUUUGCUAGUUGUUAUAGUUCUUUAAUCCAGUUUUCUUCAUUAUCUCGCUUAAAAGGAGAACACAAGUACUCGCACCAUAAACCCCAUGAUCACCUUGCACCGCCAAGCACCCUAGUGUAAAUAGUUAGGAACGAUUCACUUACUUUUUAUACGAAUUAUUAUUUAUUAGUGACACGAUGAUUGUGCAUGAAUUAUGAGGAAAUAUGAGCUAAGGAAUAAUUCCCUAUGUUUGACUCUGGAUCACUUAGGUAAAACCUAUUGUUCACUUGCACUUGGGCGAGCAUUAGGAAAACUUGUAUUCAAUAAGGACUUAAGAGCUAUGCAAUGAAGAAGUACAUGGGAGAACCUCAAUUUCAAUGAUCAUGACGUAUGACUCAUCACCCAAAAUCAAGAGCAAGCAAUACAAAAAGUUAUGACGAGUGCUUUAAGCGUGAUGGCCUGACUUAGUGAAGUAUGCACGCUAAUGUGAGCGUUUACGUACGAAAUCAUUAGUAUGAAAAACCAACCAAGUUUUUGGCGACGUUGUCGGGGAGAACUCUUAGUUUGAAAUUAAACCAAUGAUGCUCCAAAUGAUCCAAAAUGCAGAGCAGUUUAGAGGACACACUCGUGAAGAUCCACACGAGCACAUACAAAACUUUUAUUUCAUCUAUGCAUCAUUCAAUAUGCAAGGAACAUCAAAAGAUGAGUUGUGAUUAACAUUAUUCUCGCUACCCUACACGAUGAGGCCAAAAAGCAGGCAAAUUCCCUAGAAGAAGGGGAAGUUCCAACGUGGGAUAAUUUGAUUGAAAAGUUCAUGAAAAAGCUCUUCCCACCAAUUGACAAUGCGAAAAGAAGGCAAGACCUGAUGACAUUCGACUAGAGGGAUAAUGAGAAUCUAAUCGACGCGUGCAAAAGAUUCAAGGGAAUGAUGAAAGGGUGUCUUCAUCACAACAUUCUAGGAUGCGUUAUAAUCGAACAAUUCUAUUUUGGAUUGAGUAGAGAUACACAACAAUUUGUAGACGCAGUAUUUAUAGGUGGGAUGCUUCGAUUAUCCUGCAACCAUAUUAAGACAACGCUAGACGCUAUGGUCAGUAACAGUCAAGAAUGGAGAGAUAACGAAUUUGGCUCACAUAAUGAAAGCAAAGGAAACAGAAGAGAAAAAGGAAGGACAAACAAAGGAUCAAAUGGGAAUGCAAUGAUAACAUUGCAGAGUCAGGUUACUGAAAUGAAUAAGCUCUUGCAGUCCAUGGCUUUGUCACAACUCAAUGCCAUUGGAAGUUCAAUUAAAGUAGUACACCAAGUGUUGAAUUUGGUUGUGUAGGAUGUGGUGGAAUGCACGAUACAGAUGCAUGUCCAAUGAACAAGGAAACCAUAGCCUUUGUAAAGCAUAACCCCUACUUCAACACAUACGAUGAGGGAUAGAGAAAUCAUCUCAACUUUAGCUGGGGUGGACAAGAUCAAAAUACGAAACAGUGACAGGGCAAUCGAUUUAACCACAGAGGUGAGAUGCCCGGGUAUCGGCCAAGACAAUAUUAGGAACGACCACCACAACCCAUUCGGUGACCUAACCCAUGACACUCAUCGUCAGCUCCACCGCCCUCAAUGAAAACACUGUUUUAAGAAUAUAUGUAGAGGAAUGAUAAUCUUUUGCAAAGCCAAGCUGCAUCUAUUAAAAAUCUUGAGUGACAAUUAAGACAAUUGGCCAAUGAUAUAGCUGAAAGACAAAAGGGAACCCUCCUCAGAAAUACAGAAUUACUAAAUCAAAGGAGAGGCUCGGGAAAGGAAAAGUGUCAGGCAGUUACAUUACACAGCGAAAGAAACUUUUCCAUCCGCGAACCAGAAUCUGAACGUAGAAAUCCUACUUCUACCUAUGGUACUGAAGCUCAAGUAAUAAUUCCCAUUUCUUAAAUUCAUCUUUAACUAAUUAUAAUUCUUCCUUGCAGAAUAAGAACAUGUCAAGCGAGGAAGUGGAUCAUUCAAGAUGGGAAGAACAACACGAAGAUGCGUCUGAUAAAGCAAAGAGUUUCAUUCCAUUUUCGCCCCCUUUGUUUCCUGGUUGCCUAAGAAAGAAAGACAACAAACAACAGUUUGAUAAGUUCUUAAAUGUUUGAAAGCAACUUUACAUUAAUAUACCAUUCGUGGAUGCACUAGAGCAAAUGUCAUCUUAUGUCAUGUUUCUGAAAGACAUCUUAGCUAACAAAAGAAAAAUCACUGGGUUAGAAACAAUGGCUUUAAUUGAAAUCACGAACAACAUCUGUAAUAUAAGAACACCAGCAAAGAUGACAGACCCUGGAAGUUUCACUGUUCCCUCUUUGAUAGGCGGAAUUAAUUUAGGUCGCACACUUUGCGAACUAGGAGCAAGUAUCAACUUGAUGCCACUAUCUAUUUUUAAAAAAUGGAAAAUAGGGGAAAUUCAACCAACACUAAUAAGGCUUAAUUUCGAGGACAGAUCCAUAGCUAAGCCAGAGGGUAACAUUGAAGAUGUUUUGGUAAAAGUUGACAAAUUCAUGUUUCCCACAAAUUUCAUCAUUCUGGACUAUGAAGCUGGUAGAGAAGUGCCAAUCAUUUUAGGGCGGCCAUUAUUUCUAGCAACAUGUCAUACUCUCAUAGAUGUACACCAAGGGGAAAUGACCAUGUGUAUAAAUAGGGAGGAAGUAAAAUUCAAUGUCAUUAAUGCAAUGAAAUUUACUACUCAUGUUAAAAGUUGGAGCGCCUUAAAAGACCUCGACUGAGACAAUUGUGAAGAAGAAGCGUACCAAGAUUUGUUUAACACGGAAGAAAACUUUGAAGAAUAGACAAGUUCACUUGAAGAAGUGAACGUCAUAGUGGGUGAAAAGAGCGUUGAGGAGGGAGAGGAGUUUGAAACACGAGAAUUUCCACCACCUCCCCUGCUUAAAUGCAAACCAAAAGAAACGCUGAUAUUGAAUGUUGAGGAACGAACAGACCUGGAGCCUUAAGAGCCAAAGUGUAGAAAGCGGGUAAAGGUACCUGUUAAAUGCACGAUGAUUGAAGAAUCAUCGAUUGAGACAGCUCAUGAGAAUCCACUUUGGCGGGCCAUGGGGAUGAUGCAGAAUGCAAGCCCAUGCUUCCCCACGAGACGAAUUCACCUUCACCACAACCGAGCCCACAAAAACAAUCCACCCUUGAUGCGACCAUUGAUCAUUUUACGUUACCCAAUCUUGUAUCUCAUAGCCAGUGGAGCCCUCUCUUGACCAUUAGCGCCCAGAUCCAAUUCCCCCACCCUUCACCAACCUUUAAUCGCACAACAUCCUCUUCUCCUGAACACAUUUUUCGUGACAAACUUCAGUGUCGCCUAAUCAAUUGAAUAACCAACCAACUAGCAGCAAUUUAGCGCCUGACCUCAAUAAGUUACAGACCCGCAGACGCGUGAAAGUACCCAAGACAAUUCAGUUGAGCAAGCAUGCGAAGAUGUCCCAGUAAUUGAAUUCGACCUUCCUUCUUCCCAUCAUAGCACCAACGCCUUAAAGCAUAGUGGCAGAUGACAAUAGAAGCACAAAUCCCAUAACAGAGGAGGGCUGUAGAAAUACAGUAGCAUAGGGCAAAGGAAGCCAUAGUGAACCUUCAGCUUCUGAUGAGCAGAAUGAAGGGACAUAGAUUAUGCGAAAGAAGGGCGUGCUUUAGGAGAUAUCGAGAGAAAAUGAGGGGCUAAAAGAGCAAAUGGCCAACUAAACAAUCAGUUGGGAGAAAUGGUCGCGACGGUAAAUCAGUUAUCCUCUACGGUAUCCACCAUGAAUCGCUUACUGGUAGCACAUUCUAACUAGUCCCGCUAAAUCGCAGAGCGACACGAUAGACAAUUCACCACAUAGAUGGAAUAUAUCUACGCAGCAUAUGUGCAAUGCAUCCCACAGCCGAUCAUUGUACCAGAUUUAGUGACACCCAUUUCUCCUCUCGAUGUUCCAAACUCGCCUCUUGGCAACUUAGCAACAUGCCCCCUUGCUUCGAAAAUGCAACACUAGGGAUGUACUAUUACCAUGAAAUUGUCGCCUACUUAAUCUUUUUAUUUGUAAUUACUUUCAUUAUGUUAAUAAAUUUGCCAUUUUUCUUUAUGUGGACUAAAUCUUUCCUUGGUGCAACAUGAGUGAAUAUGAAGCUUGCAUCAUUUUAUAAUUGCUCUAUUAUGAUUUUUGCUUUCCUGCGGACAAAUAACCUUUAUGAUGCAACACAUGUCAGACUGUACUCACUUGAUGAUAGAAUUUAAUCACUUCUUUGACGAAACACAUGUGUAAAUGUUUCCUACUUUCUUUAGGCGGGCAAGCUUUACCUCAACCUUCUUUUGAUAAAUCUUUCAAAAGUCAUCUUAUCAUCUAUUUUUUUUUCACAAUGAGGACAUUACUACACGCUAAAUAUUGGGGGUGUGCUAAGUCCCCAUUCAUUAAAUUUAUACAAAAAACAAAAACUCCUAUAUUGCAGCCUCCCAUGCAAAUAAAUAAGAAGUAAAACAUCACCAAAAUUUGGGAGUAGUAAUUAAGCGACGACAAGAGUUGUAGAAAUUGACUUAUAGAGUCCUAUGAUUUCCCACUCAGCGUCAAUAGUAAUCAAGUUGCAUUUAACCUCAAACUAUCAAAUAUAUCUAUAUAUAUAUAUAUAAUAAAUAAUAAAUAUAAUAAAAUUUUGGCGUGGAAGACAAUUUCUUUUGAAACAAAUAAGAGUAGUUUCAGGUCGAAGCUUGUCGUGUUCAGAAAUAGGAAAGAUUUUAAAGUUCAUAGUAAUCAAAGAAAAGAAAAGGUGCUAGCAUACGAGAGUUGUGGGAAGACAUUUUGAAAGGAUUAGCGUAAGUAUAAGAAAAAUCACAUCGUGAAUUUUGAAACGAUGCUUCAAGACAAGCAUUAUUUUAAAUUUGGGAGUGUGAUAACUUGUAGAAAUAAGAGUUAUUAUAGCCUCUUAAGUAAAAUAAUAAAGACUCAUUGCUAAAAGUAGAAGAUUGCAUAAAGAAAAAGUAGAAAUUUAACUAACAUGCGAAAAGUGUACUGCAAAAGAACUCUAUCCCUGUUUUAACAUGUGUAUCACAGGAUCUUAGGCGACCAAGAGCAAGCAUGUCACGCAAAGUAAUCACCUCGGUUUCUGGCGACAAGAAGUAGAUGUUGAGUGACUAAGUGACACAAAUUCUUUGUCCUCGGUGUUGGGGAACGUUCAACAAUAAAAUUAUUAUUUUAUGGUUCCCCAACGUUUUUUUCAUUUGCAUCGGAAAAAGUUUAUUGAUAAAUAUAAGAAAAUAAAAAUGGUGGAGCAGCCCCGAUGUUUGAAUUAAGACGUCAGACUUGCUCCACUAAACUGAUGCCAAUUUACCUGUAUCGGUAUUGGUAUUUUGUGCCGACGUUUUCUUUUUCGACGUCCGUUUGGGUGUUGAAAAUCCCCCAGUUUCUUGUAGUGCACAAUAAUAGAAAUAAUAAUAAUAAUAGUAAUAGUAAUAAUAAGGAAAUGUACAUAUAUAGAAGAAAACCAAAAAAUAUUUAUGGUUCGUGUAACAAAAAAUAAAAGCCAAUGAAGCCUCCAUUGAAUUUUCAUAAAUUCUAGAUUUGUCCUUAUUGGUUUUGAAUUUCGAUUAAAUCAUGUGCAUCUUCUUUAUAUUAUUACUUCUCCUUCUUCAUAUUACCACGUCUUCUUGUUCGCGUUUUCUUCAUCUCCUAUUUCAAACUUUUAUUCCUUCUUUGUCUCUCAUCUUCGACAUCAUCUCUCUAUUCUCUUUUCAUUAUCAAGUAUUGUAUUCUUCUUCCUCUUCUUUCUUUUUCUCUUUUCACUACAUGAUCGUAUACCAAGAUCUAAAUGAUUGGUCAUCUAUCUUAGAUAGAAAGAGAUAGACCACUAUCACUAUCUAUCUCUGUCUAUCUAUCCCAAAUAGACAGAGAUAGAUCACUAUCUAUCCUAGAUAGAUAACUAAUAGAUUUAAAUGAUCGUGUACCAAUAUCUAAACGAUCUUGAUACAAGAUUGUGUACCAAGAUCAUUUAGAUUUGUACUGAGAUAGUUUAGAUAUUUGGUACACUAUCAUUUCCUUUAGAUUUGGUACAAGAUCGUUUAGAUAUUGGUACACGAUUGUUUCAUUUAGAUUUGAUACAAUAUUGUUUAGAUUCACUACAAGAUUAUGUACCGUGAUCGUUUUAUCAAGAUUUGAACGAUUGUGUACCAAAAAAUGAAUGAUCGAGUACCAAGCUUUUCGCGCGUUUGUGUGGCCGAUUAAUCGAAGGGUAUUUUUGUUAUUUCACGUUGUGAGCUUCUCGGUUUUUUUUUAUUGUUUUCAAAAUUGUUAUAUUCAAUGCAAAUAUUUUUUCCUUUUGUUCUAUUUUGAAAUAAUAAUAACAACAAUAAUAAUCAUGAUGAGGAUGAGGAUGAGGAGAAGGAGGAGGAGAAGGAGAAGGAGGACAAUGAUUAUAGUAUGAUGAUGAUAAUGAUAAUGAUAAUAAGAGAGUUUUUAAAAAAUAUAACAAAGUGACAAAAUAUAUACACUAUACAGAACAAUUUCGAAAACGAAAAAAGUUCACAGGUCCACAAUGAAAACAAAAAAACAAAAAAUGUCCUCAUCAACAUGUGAUUAAUUGACACUCAACACACAUAAUAUAUUUGGCACACGAUCUUGUACAAAUAUUGUUUAGGUUUUUGCUACACAAUCGUUUAGAUUUGGCUAUCCAAAUCUAAACUUUUUUUUCAAGAUUCUUUGGUACACAAUCGUUUAGAUUUGGUUAUUCAUUGGUACAUGAUCGUUUAAAUUUGGGUAGACAAAUCUAUACGAUUUUUUUCAAGAAUUUUUUGUACACGAUUGUUUAGAUUUGGCUACCCAAUAUUUCAACAAUUUUUUUCAAAAUUUUGUAUAUUUGGUACACAAUUCUGAACAACCAAAUAACAAUUUGAAGAAAAAUAUAAAAAAAUUUGUAGAAAAAGAAGUAAAAAGACAAUGGAAAGGAAAAGAAAAUUGAACAAGAAACAAGAUGAAAAGGAAGUGUAAACCUAUAAUAUUUUUUAAAAAAUAGUCGGAUUCAUGAAUUUUUUAUUUUGUUACACGGACAGUAAAUAUUUUGGUGUUUUGUUAUUUAUGAAAACUUUUCUAACAAUAAUGAUAAUAAUGAUAAUAAUAGUAAUAGUGAUAAUUGGUAAUGGUAAGGGUAAGGGUGGUAGUAAUAGUAAUAGUAAUAAUUAUAAUAAUGAGAUGAAGGAAUGAAUGGAAGCGUGAAGAUCAACUUUAGCAAUUGUCUGUCCUUUUCAAUGUUUAGAAAUCUUUUUGUUCAACAGUUUCAAACACAUCCAUAGUUUAAACCAAAAUACAAAAACCUUGUCUCUUUCUGCAUCAAUAUAUAACUUCUCAAGGCAAUAACAACACGCAUUCUCUCUGUUUCCUUAUAUUCUUUUCAACCAACACUUUUGUUAUUUUUUACUGUUCACUAUCUACCCUACAUUUAGCAGUCAUCUUUCCUUCUUUCACCAUCCCAACACAAAUCUAGACAACAUGCUUCUACUUGCAAACAACUCAAACUAUUGUUCAAUCCCAAGUCCUUCUGUAUUUUUAUUUUCUUUUAACAUCAAAUGUAUGAAGAUUAGAGAACUUGUAAAAAAACUAUUCAAAUAUGUAUAUAUCGGUGAAUAUGAUUGUCUGUAUUUGUUAAGUCAAAACAAAGUCUCACAUCAAUAACUAAUGAAAGCACUCAUAAGGGCUUAUGCAAUCAAGUGUAAUAAAACAUUAUACAAUUAUAGAAAUAUGUAAAAUUUUUGCUGUCCUUUGUUGGUAUAUUUGCACAUUUAAUGUAGACCAGUUAUCAACCUAUAGUAGUCGCUGGUAAGGUGUCAUUGCAACAAAUGGGUAAAAUUAAAGGGAUUAUAAUUAUUUAAAUUUGUUAAACCACUUAUUUGUUUUAGAUGAACAGUGUACUUUUUCACUCUCUAAACUGAAUAAAUAUUUAUUAGAAAAAUUGUAUCGUAUGACAAAAACAUUUAGAAAAAAAUAGCAUAUAACACGUAUUUUUUUACAUAUUGUGAAUAUGGAAAACGACUUUUAAACUUUUUCUUUUUCAAUUUAAAAAAUUUAUGAUAAUAAAAAAUGUAAUGAUAUGGACUCUAUUAUCAUAAUUUUUUUUUGCUAUUUUUGCAAAUGUCCCUAUUUAUUAAGUCCAAGACAAAGUGUCACUUUGAUAAAGAAAAAAAGAAUGAUCAUAUAUAAGUAAAGACAAACAUCUCCAUGCGUAAUAUAUGAUUUUCUUUUUUAUCAUUUCAAAAGCAAAGUACUCAUAAAAGGAAGAGUCUAUGUUCAAAAUAAAUAUAUAUCAUAUAUCAUUGUAGAGAUAGGUAAAAGUUUGGUUGUCCUUAUAAAUAUAUUGGCACAUUUAAUGUAGACGAGUGUAACCUAACUAUAAUAGAGGUAAGGUGUUAUUGUGGCAACAAAUGGGUGAAAAAUAAAGGGGACAAUAAUUAGAAAUAAAAGAUGGGGGGUAGCUAGGGGAAAUGUAAACAGAGGGAACCAUCGUUGUCUUAUGAACUAUUAUAAUGAGUAUAUUUCAGAACGAGAUAAUGAGAAAGCUAUGGUCCCAUUGUAUAUAAGAAAUGAGUACUGUGGGAGAUGAGCUUGUGGUUUGGUAAAGUUAGUCAGAAAAGAGAGAAAAAAAGAAAGAAAGAGUAUAAUUUCGGCUGUCUAUACGUUUCUUCUGUACACUGUCUCUUCGUGUUUGUUGAAGCAUUUAAAACCCAGGACGCUGCUGUACAAGUAAAAACAGUGAAACCAAGGGAACGAGAACAAAAGUGAAAAAACAAUUAUGUAGUUUAGGUUAACGCACAGUUUUGGUCCGUUAACUUGUGUGGACGUUACAAUUUUUGUCUUUCAACUCAGAUUCUUAUAAAUUUAGAUUUCGGUAUCUGACGUAGAAAAUAAUUACAAUAACUUAGAUGGGAAUUUUUAUUAUUUUAUGAUGGAAAUUUUAUAUUUUGCAAAGAUAUUGAGUCUAUAAUAGUUUAUUGGUUUAUCAACCUAAGAAAAUUCAUUAACCUUAACAUCAAUUUGUACUAUACAAAUUAUAAAUUUUAAAAUACAAGGAUUAAAUUGUUGCACAAUAAAGUUAAUGAACUAAAAUUGAGAGUACAUAAACUAGAUCAUUUACAAUAAUUAAUGAUUAAAAUACACCAGGAGAAAUUUUGGUUAUCCCCUGGUUUAGUCCAUCAAGAGAAAAACUAUGUGUCACAAUGCAAAGGCAAACUUUCGACACAUUAACAAUGCAUCAAGAAAAAGUGGGAACACUACAAUAAUUUUUGUCUCUGGAGACGGCUUUUUCUGGCAACGUAAAAAAAAAUUGUGGGAAAAUAUAUGAUUUGUCGAUAUAAAUUUCAUUGAGUGGACAAAUCUUCAUUUUUGUCGACGAAAAUAUAAACGCCGACAAAAACUAGUGUAUUGCGUGGGCACAUCAUUGUUUUUGUCCAUGAAAAUAUAUACGUUGACAAAAAAUUGUGUGGUUGUAAGAACAAUUUUUAAGUUGAAGUUCAACCGACGGUUAUUCUAGUUUAUGACCACAUAUUGUAUGUCGGAAGAUAUGUUAAAUAUUUGGCAACAAAAUUAAUGUGACGAAAAACUCACGUUUUUUGGUGAAGCAAAAUUUAUAUUUAUGGUGACACAAAUAAUGUGGGCAGAAAUUUUCUUUUAAAAAAACCUAAUUUUAUAUUUUAUUUUUCCCCCUUUCCCCAUGUUUUUUCCCUCCCUCACAAGAAACCCUUCCCCUCCCUUUCCCCCAAUUUUAUUUUCCCAAACCGCACACCACCCCGAUUUCAAGUUGCGAUACACCCCCGACCAGUGGCAACCCAUCUCGCUACCAUUCUCACCCCACCCUUCUUCUAAAUACUUUUAUUCUCUCAAUUUUCUUUUAAAAAAAUCUUUCAUUCUUUCCCAAAAUUUCCCCAUUUCCCCCAUUUCACAAAAAUCCCAUCUUCUUCCCCUUCCUCCAUUUUUUUUUUCAAUUGCACGGUUCCCCUUCUCCUCCACUGCACGACUCCUUGCUCCACCACUCAAGCUCCAAACAGCUGACGUUCUCGCACCACAGACGUUCCUACACGAAAUGAAAUUUAAUAUACUUCAUGAACCUUGACACACUAGAGAACUAUUGUUUGUCAUAUUUUGACAAAGUAUAUUGAAUUAUGGAUUGUCAUAUUUUGACAAAAUAUUAAUGGUUGGAAAUAUUUUUAUUUUUAAAUUUUUGUUUGCAGUGUUCAAUAUAUUUUGUUAUAGGCAAGAAUUCAUUCUAUAUUUGAAAUUUUAUUUAGAAGCAUACAAUAGUAAUAAUAAAUGUGAAAAAUUAAAAUCAUCUUUGCAAUGUUCUUUGUGUGGCUAGAAAUAUGUUAGCAAUUAGAAAGCUCUGGCGACGUACGAUACAUGAGCGAAAGAAUCAAAUAUUAUUUAAAAACAAAUUUGGCGUGGGGAGAAAUUUUGUUUUUGCCGACAAAAAUCUUUGUUGGCAGAAACAGUUUUUGCCCACGAAACAAACGUGGACAGAAAGUUUAUUUUUGUCAACGUGAUGAUGAUCGUGGGUAAAAAUACCUUUUUGUUGACAUUUUUUUUUGUGGCUAGAAAAAUAUUUUUGACGACGGGAUGAUGAUCGUGGGCAAAAAUACAUUUUUGUCGACGUUUUUUUUGUGGUUAGAAAUAUCUUUUAUGACCACGAUUUUAAUUUGCAAGGUCAUUUCUGCCGACACAACAUAAAAAAUGUGGGCUAAGGAAAUGACAACGGUGUUUCGACCAUGCAAGAAAAAUGUCGUCAGAAGCUCUACCCACGUUUUUCAUAAGAACUGCCCAUGUUUUCCUGCAUCGGUAAAGACAAAAAUCUUUGUAGUGAAAACUCCCGACUAAUUACUAAUGGCUUCAAGAGUACAUGCAUGGUGUCGGCAUAAAGAAAUCAUUUAAACAAUGAUUGUGUUUAUCCAAACGCCAAGCAUGUAUGCUUCGAAACUUGUGUGGGAACUCCCUACGCCAUCAUUAAUGUGUCAGGAGUAGUGGAGAACUCUCGAUUCUUACGUGGUGCAUCAAGAGUUCCUCUUUAAAAACCCUCUUUCAGAUAUGUAAAUCAAAGAUCUAGAAGAGAAAGGGGAAAAAAGAGACACAUGACAACUUGUAGAAGUACAAGUUAUUGUAGCCUCUUUUAUAAAAUAAUGAGGCCAAAAUGUAGAAGAAGUGUAUCAAAACACGCAUUUUAUGUUGAAAAUGUAAAGUAUUUAGAAAUAUACCUCGCAUAAGCUUUCAUGCAUGUUUUACUGUGUUUUAAGUGUUUUAUCGCAAAUUUGUAAACAAAAAUAAGAAGCUAGUGAAUCGUAAGAGAACUCGUGAAGAGACUUGGCAAGAAGGCCAUAUCAGGAGGCAAGAAGUAGUUCGCUAGAAGACAAAAGUAGUAGUUAAAGUGACAUGAUCUGUUUACAGAGAUUACUUUUGGUACACGAAAUUGGAAGAACAAUUUUCCACCCAAAAGUGUCUAUAAAAGCCUCCUUGUACAUCAUUUGAAGAGGGCCAGAAGUCUGAAUGGACCAGUUAGUCAACUUGAAGGAGCCAAACCAUAAAGAAAGGUGGAAAGGAAUAACUUUUCUACCAUUUUUGCAAAGAAUUCAUCUUCUUCUUCGAUCAGAUUGUAAAGUGACACCUUAGAGUCUGAGCAAGAAAAAAUUCGUCUCUCAUCUUUCCCCUAACUUGUACUAUUUUUCAUUCUUUGUUCUCUCCAUUUUUGUAGUCUUUGUGUAAUAUAUACUGUUCAUAUUGUACAAUGGCCAAAGACAUAUAUUUUUUAUAUAUGUGAUAUGUUUAUACACCUUUGAAUCCAUCCAUCUCUUUACUGUUGAUACGUUUGUGUUAUAUGUAGUUUAGUCUUAUGGUUCAUGCUUGAUAAGAAGUCUUGCUUAGAAUAAUGCUUAUCGCGUUAGUCGAGCUACAUUUAUCACUGGGCCAGUGUAUGUCGCCAACUUCUCGAGAGGGUAAGUAGUAAAGACGUGGCUAACAUGUGCAAGGAAGAGUUUUCUCGACCUUGACUAGAUAACUUCCAUCAUUUGUAUUUAGAAAGAUGAACAAGUAUGGACAAUAGGCACUGAAAGGUUGUUGUCCUUAAACACGAAGCUCUAUAAGUAUGAUAAAUAAGUACUUCUUGAAAUAAUUCAUUUAGCUAGUCUUAGUCAUUUGGAUACUGAAUGGAGACCAAGUGUGACGUUCAAUGACGCUAAGAGAAGCACACCUUAAUCAUAAACAAGCUAGGCGAAUUACAUCACAUUAAGGUGGUCGUAUAGCUUAUUUGCUUGAUAACAUGAAAUCUUCCUUCACCCCAUUCCUUAAUGCAAGUUAGUUCACAUUCCUUGAUCAUUUAAUCCUCUUUGCAGAAAAUCUCUAGAUGUAAAUAAGUAGCUAUAGUUUAACAUUCUUUAUAUUUGUUUAUUCAUUUAUAUUGCCAAAUUGAUAAGUAGACCUUAAAACUAAGUUUUGAUAUCAACUUCCUAUGUUCGACCCUUAAUCAUCCAGGAAAGCCUACUAUUUCGCUUAUAUUUUGGAAAGUAGUAGGAAAACUUGUACUCAAUAAGGACUUAGUUAAUACACGAUAAAGAGGCACAUAGUGAGUAUUUAGCAUGCAAUGAACUUAACCAAUGACUUAUCACAUAGAAUUGAUCAUGCACAUGCACAACUCUCAGUUCAAAUUCACAAUAAGUCCAAGGUGCAACGAAAGAAGAGAGAAGACCAUAGCCCACUGCUGUCCCGCCAUCGCUUGUGCCACCGUCUCUUGUUAGACCUCUGCCCCGGUCCUCCCCUAUAGCCACAACUACCUUUUUCGAUAAUAACUAUAAAAUUAGAUUUGCUUCUUGUAAUUAUUUGUUUGAUGAUAUAUGUGUUUGAUGCUUGACAUAUUUAGGUAUAUUUUUAACUUUUCCCUAAAAUCACUUUGUUCUGUAAAAUCUCCCUAAAAUUACUUUAUUUUGAGAAUUUUUUUGAUGAAUUGCCGAUUCUAGAAGUUGCCCUGAAAACCUCUUUGUUGAUGUUGGAGAAUUUCCCUAAUUUAGUUUACUCAUGGUGAUUUCAAGAGAGUUGAGGUUAGAAUAUGUUUUUAUGAUUAUUGCUAAAGAACAAAUGUCAUUGAGGACGGAAACUUUGGAGAUUGUUAACUUAAUCUGGAAACUCAAAAUCUAAAUUGUUGUGGAAGCUCAAAAUAUGGAAACAUCUACCACAAAAUAGGAUGGAAAAAGUGGCUUCUGGUUUACACUCUUAUAAAUCAAGUAUUAAUAUGUUCAAGAAGAAUUAACUUGGUUGGUUGGGGGGCUCAAACAAAAGUCAAGGAAGGGUCGUAGUAGUUCAUUGAGUUUAGUGUCUCAAGAAAUACAUGAUAUAGAGGUGAUGAAACAAAGAAAUAUUCUUGAUACCUCGCAAUCUCGGAUUAAAAAACUCGAAGGGCAAAGAAAUAUGAGAGAAUAACAAUGACAUAUGAUGGAAGAACAAAGAAAAACGUAAAAAAUGCAUCCCUGACAAAUGGAAGAAAUGAAAAAAAUGAUUGAAGAAAUGAUACGAGCACAAAAAGGACCUUGAAUUUAUGGUACGUAUUUUUUAAAUUUCUAAUUGUUAUUUAUUUAGGAUAAAUAAAUUUAUUUCAAAUUAUUGGUUCUGUUUAUCCUACAAUUAUGGUAGUCAGUUAAACCUAGUUUUUCCAUUCUCAUGAUUGAUUAUAUUGUGUAAAGAGUUUGUAUAUUGAGCCUCUAUUGUUGUUACACUUGUCAAAAGAGUGAAAGUUGAGACGUUGGAUUGUAGUUUGAUCAUGGAGUGAGUUUGGGAGAGGGGGGAGGGGAGAGAGGGAAAGGGGCUUAAACGUCACUUUGAAGGUUUCAGUGUGAUUGUUAUGUAGGUGGCAUGCCAAAAUGAGUUUAUUUGUAAGGAGUUUAUAUAUUGAGUCUCUGUUGUUGUUACAUUUGUAGAAAAAGUGAAAGUUGAGAGGUUGGGUCGUAGUUUGAUGAUGGAGUAAGUUUGAGGGGGUAGCUUUGUUACCUUGGGUGGGUCAAGUUGAAGAUAGUUUUUGUGUAAGGAAUUUGUAUUAUACUGUUAUUACAUUUGCACAAAGAGUCAAAAUUGUUACAUUGUGUUCUUAUAGGAUAGGUUGAUGUUGGAGUGAGUUCUAUGGGUUGUUAUUUAAUGGUAGGUUGAUCAUGGAGUUAAGUUUGAUUAUUGUUAGUGAAAAAAAAUUGGUUUUUGGCAUCCAUUUUCGUUUAUUUGAAGUUUAAACAAUGGAUUUUACUUUCAUUUGAUUGUAGGUGUGGACUUGCUUGGAUUGGAGAAGACGUCUAGCGAUGAGAGAUUAUGUAUUUUUCCUUUUUAUAUAGUUAUUUCAAACAAACAUUGUAAGACUCUUUUUCAGAUUGAAUCGAAACCAAAAAAAAGUAUCACAUGUUAAAAAAAUUAAGAUAAUAGUUGAAAAAAAUAAUAGAAAAACAACAUCCCCUGAGGCACAGAGGCAUCGAAAGUUGUUACUCAUGCCCGAUGUGUCAUGAACCGCAUCGGGAUAUAAGAUUUUUUGGUUCUUUUAAAGAGGCACCAAGAGUUAAGCACUCCUGAUGUGAGACUUAUAGCUUGAAGGGUCAUUUUGGUAAAAUAAGAAUUUUUUAGUUAGGGUUUUAGGGUUGAAUCUCAGGCAGACAUGUGGAGUCUCGACAAGAUUUGAAGAUAGAAGUGUAAUCCCGAGGCAAUCUUGGGUCUAUGCGGCUUGAUGUUGGUGAAAUGAAUCACAGGUCUAGGCAAGGGAAUGAUUCAUUUUAUUGGUAGAAAUGAAUAAGUGAAGGUUAAUGUGUGAUUUAUAUGUUUUAUGAAAUGAGGCAAUGAGAGCCUGUUUAUGAAAAUGAGAAUGAAUUUACGUGAUUUUGCUUUGUGUUCCCAAAAAGAGUUUUAAAAACUAUCACUUAUUAAGUAAGACUUACGUGUUAAGUUUCCCUUCUCUACGAUAUCAGACUUUGAGGCUAGGUUAAGAAAGCAAGGUGAGCAAGCAAGGGGUUUUAAAGAUUGGAAGGUGUUGUGAGCGUUAAAAGUUUAAUUGUUAUAGUUGUUGUAUUUAAGAAGCAUGUGUAUUUAUGGUUGAAUACAAUCCGUUAAGUUAAUAAAAGACUUUGGUGAAUUCUAUUUUUCGCUGCAUGGUAAGGUUUUAAUCGCUUAUUUCGUAAAGUUUAAGCUUAAAGUUCAAGGACAUAAGUGAGCGUUUUGACGUUGUUGGAAUUUAUGUCCUAAAACCCGUAAUUUGUAAUCAUAUUCUAUUCAAUAAGUCGUUAUUGAUACUAUAAUCUUAAAACAAAUAAACUAAAGUCCCAAGAAUAUUAUUAAGUAAACUUGAACUUUAUGUAGAGACAUAAACGUGGAUCAAGUUCAAGUAAAUAGUCUAAAUAGUUUAUAAUAUACGAAUACGGUUGGACACCUUAUUCGGGGCACUAUGAAUGUGGUUCGCUUUGUAGUUAGUACAAACGAUGUGAUUCUAAAUCGUUCAUGUAGAGACAUGGAAGUGGGAGAGUCCUAUGUAAAGAGUUUACAUAAGACUGGAACUAUGAAAUAGUCGCUUUUAAGUUAUAACACCGUUACUUUGUAAAACUAACUAUUUCGUUUAUAGAUAUCUAAUAUAACUUAAUCUUAAUCUUGAGGUAAUUAUGAACUUCUAUUCACACAUAAUUAUUCUUAGAUAUGCAUAGGUGAGGGCAGCUCAAUGACGCUGGCCCAAAAAACCUUCCAUUUAAGGGGUAAGACUGAGUGGAUAGCUAGGGACAUAUGGUGCAAGAUGGAACUCACUUCUACCUGUUUUAGGGUUAGUAGAUAGGUUGUUCCCUUAAGGACCGAAUCCAUGUUUUGAACAAGGGACCCCACCCUCUCAUUGGCCCGAGAGGGAUUCAGUUUAUGGGUUGGACCUAAAACCAAUUGUUCAAUAGUGGAUUAGUGAGACUUAAGGAGAAAAGAUAUAAUCUCGGGGGUAAAACGAUACUUUGACCCAGUCAAGAUUAUGAACAACCUAUUCAGGAUUAACUUACUUGUCAUGGUUAUAUCACAUGAACACAAAUAUAUCUAUAGUGAGGGAAGUACAACUAUGGAACUUUAAUGGAAUGACCCAUUAGUUAACAAAGGUUGAUUAACACAAUUUAAAAGAGUUUAGCAAGUUAAUCUCGAAUCUUUGGAGCUCAUGAUCUAUAGGUCUAUUAGGUUCCCUAGCUAGCUCAUAAGGAAUCAACUUAGAACAUUAUGAUGGAAUAAUUUGAAUUGUUUGAAUUAGGUAACGAGAGAGAAAUCGAUAAAUAUAUUUGAUAUAGUCGUUGGUUGUAACUUAAGAUAGAGCUUCAUGUUUAAAUAUGAUUUACAUAUGAAUAUGGAUUCAUAUUUGGAAGCUCAGAAUUGAUGAAAAAUGUUAGAGAAGUAAAAAGUCAAAAUGUUGACUUUUGACUUUGAAAAUCCAAACUUUGAUCGAUUUUAUAUUCAAAUGUGAUUUGAAUUUUAGAAAAAUGAAUGCGGAUUCAUAAUCGGGAGGUCGAAAUUAGUCAAGAUGGAUAAAAUGAUAAAAAGUAAAAAUGUUGACUUUUGACUUUUUAAAUGUCAAAUUAUCAUAUUACCAUUGGAAGAAUAUUGCAUGUAAUUAACAAAUGAUAUCAUGCAUGUGAGACCCCUACUUGGUAAUAUGGCAAGUGUGGAGAACGGAAGCUCAUUACAUGCAAUUUUUGCAUGUAGUUUGCUUAUAAAAAGAAUGCAUUGCAAAUGUAAAAUUAGACUUUUGGUAAUUUUUUAUUUUGUAAUUUGGAAUUGCAAAAUUAAAAUCAAAACUCUUUUUCUCUCCACAAGUUUUUCCUCCUAAAUUCAUCUAUCUCUCUAUUUUCUUUACUGUUCGAGUCCCACAACUCAAUUCUAAGUUCGGAGAAUAGCGGGUCAAUGCUAGUGGUAGUCCCGGCUUCGAUUUCGUGAGAAGAUCGUUAAAAGCACGUGAAAAGAUUACAAGAAAAGAAAAGCAUCAAAGGUGAGGUUUUUCUUUUAACCCUAUCUUUGUUAUAUAAGGUUUUUUUUUUAUGCAUGUUAAUCACUAAACUUGUUUAGUUGCAAUUAAAGUAAAAAUUUGAUCCUAAUUUCGCUCCGCAUGUCUACUGUUUCCAUCAGAUGUUUCACCUAAGGCAUCAAGGUUGCUCAAGUUGCGUUGUGUGUUGCAUCAUAAGUGGAAGGAUGCAUGCGAGGUGGGGUAUUGUGACAUCUAACGUCAUUCUCAAGCGCAUCGGGAAUUCUUUAUAACUCCCGACGCACUUCAUUACUGUGUUGGGAGUUAACUCCUGACAUUGCUUUAUUUCAGCACCUGCAAAUUUGCUCCCAAUGCAUUUCGCUGGAAGAUUUGAUGUAUAUCCCGAGGAUUUAAUGCAUUAGAAGAGCCACAAUUUCUUGUAGUGAUAGUUACUUUGUUACAAAAGUUUAACGACUAAAAGUAAUUUUUAACCAUAAUAACUAGAAAGUUAGGAAAAGGGUAAUUUAUAUAUAUAACAAAAUGUAAAUAGUUUUACAUUUUGUAUAACAAAAAAAAGUUCAUUGAGGACCAUGGUUCCAUUUUUAUUAAUUAAAGAAAUACCCUCAUCCAUCUUUUUAUUUCUCUCUUUACUCCACCUUUGUUUUCAUUUUCUUCUUCAAGCCAUACAGGUCAAAACCCACCUCUUACCUCCAUGUCGCUCACUUUAUCUUUCUUAACAUUGUUGUGGUCCUUAUAAGAGUGUGUAAGUUUGGGUUUUGUCAUGCCCUGAACCGCAAAGAACUCGAAGCAAAAGAAAUAAUGGGGAAAGAAAUGUGAGAUAGGUUAUAUCCUUGAAGUUUGGUCUUAUCGCCUAGCUCAAACUUAAGUCCUUUAAACUAUUAAGUGAUAAUGAAAAACACACACACAGCGGAAGACAUAAACUUAAACUUUUAUUAACUUCAAUCAUGCAAUUUACAACUUGUAAGGUAUAGAAAAAACAACUAAAAAACUUAAUAAAACGCUUGACAACUUCAUCUUGCCUGAUAGCUUCUUACCAUUUCUUUACUUGGCCUUAACGCCUGAAACCUAGAAGAUGAAAGCUUUAAAACAUAAGUCAAAAGACUUAAUGAGGUUUUUAGGAAAACCUUUUUGAAACGCAUUUCAUAAACAUAACAUUUUAAAUCAAAAGCAAGCUCAUUGCCUCAUUUCACAAGUAUAAUAUCACAUAAAACACAUUAGUCUCACAUCCUCUUUUCGAGAACAUGAACCAUUCCCAACUCCAAUCAUCGCCUUGUGUUUAGACUACUAUUAUGACCUUUUCAUCAAUAACAUCUAUAAAUUGCCUGGCUCAUUACUCUUAACCCAGAUUAGUCAUCCUUAGGCUUUUUCAAAUUUUGUCAGCUUCUAUUUAUAACUCUACUUAUGUAAGAGCUUAAUAUUUUACUUAACCAUGCUUAGCCUUUAAUCUUACACGUCAACCCAUGUCAAAUCAGAUUUGACAUUUUCUCACUUGGUUGCAUCUCAUAUAGCUUCAAAAAUGCCUAAAGGUCUUUAAACCCCUAUGUCUUCUUGUAUCGCCUCAUCUUAACACAGUUUAAAAUGCAAGCUUCUUCUCAAAACGCCUAUUUACACUUAGUUAAAAAUAUUUAACCUUUCUAUUUUUGACACAUGUCUCAUAGGUUUUCCUCUCUCUCUCUACCCGAAUCUCUCUCUUUCUCUCUCUCUCUUACAAGACUAGUGUUGAUGCUUGUGUUGACAACCACUAGUAGGUGUUUCUAAGUUGUUGAUCAACGUUCAAUCGGAGUAAGUUUCUUGUGAUCUAUGGGUAUGUUUGAUAUGAUCUUGAUGUUUGGUGGUAUGGUUUUGACUUAAAAUAAAUUGUCCAUGGUGUUUCAAAGUUUGAUUAAGAGUUUAGUGAAGAUUAUAGUUGCUUUCUACGUAUUUAAGGAUGUUUAGGUGUCAUUUUGGUCAAUGUUAAAGCCUUAUAGUCAUAUGGGUUGUUGUAACUCAAGUUAUUGACUUUUAAUUUUUUCAUUUGGGUUAGAUUUGAACUUUAUUUAGUUGGAAAUUGGGUGUUUUGGAUAAAAGACUUUUUAGGUAAAUAUUUAAACACUUUCAAAGUUUACCUAUUGGAUUUAGGUCUUAAUCAUGGAUUUAGGUGUGUAUCUUGAAUAGGCAUAAAUAACAGUCUAUCUAUGUCUAUCUCAUAUAUAUUUAUUCAUACUUGUUACAUUUCUCUUACUUAUCUUAUCUAGUAGGUUAAUCCCAUUAGGUUAAUCUGAGAUAGUAUACUAUCUAUGGAUGCUUAGUUUAAAUACCUAUUCUUAUGUGGUUGAGUUUUAUCGUAGAGAAACUAUGUCAGCAACAUAUAGUGGAUGUAUUCGACCUGUUGGAGUUCAUAUGGAUUGCAGAGUUGAAAAUGAUUUCAUGGAAACAUUACCUUAUAUUGUUAAAUGUAAAUAUGAAGGACCUAAAAAACAAAGAAUUCCAUCUAUAGGUGAAUUUAAAAGUUUAUCAAGAUGUUCUAAUUGUAACCGUAAGGGUCACAAUAGUAGGACUUGCAGAGUUAACAAAUUAAUCAAAAGUUGUAAUCAUUCUUUUUAAAUUUUAAUACAUGUAUAGAUACAUGGACUGACAUUAGAGUUUAUGAAUGAUACUUUAUGAUUUAUAUUCGGGUCUUGACAUGUAAAUAUAUUUAAUGGUACGAUCAAUUUUUAAUGAAGCUGAAAGAAGCAUAGAAACAUGUGGAAGAACAUAAACUAUCACCAAAUCAAUGCACAACUAUCACCAUCUAUCUCAGAUAGACAGAGACUAUCUUUGUCUAUCUUAGAUAGACAUUAACAUGAGUUGGUGGGCAAUGAGUUGUGUUUCACAAAAAAUGUGUGACUCAGGUAUUUUAGGUAUUUCACGUAUUGGGCUUGGACUUUUUGGGUGGGCAUAUUGAUAACUUGUAUAAAUACAAGAUUUUAUAGCCUUUUAUAGAAUAACGAGGUCAAAAGGUAGGAGAAGUGUAUCGAAACACAUGAUUCAUGUUGAAAACACAAAGUAUUUAAGAAAUGCACCUUACAUAAGGUUUCAUGCCUGUGUCACCAUGUUUUUAUUGCUUUAACGCAGAUUUGCGAACAAAAGAAAGAAGCUCGUGGACUGCAAGGAAACUCACGAGAAGAUUCGGGGAAAAGACCGUAUCAAGAGGCGAGAAAUAGUUCGUUAAAGGACAAAAGCAGUAGUUGGAGUGACAUGGUAGAUGUGCAGAGAUUACUUUUGGAACACACAAUCAUAAAAGACAAUUUUCCGCCCAAGUUGUGUAUAAAAAGCUUCAUACUACACUAUUGAAGAGGGGUCUGUAUGGAUCAAAAAGGCCAGACGUCUGAACGGACCUACCAAAAGAGCCUAGAGAGGUGGAGAGGAAUAACUUUUUUCACCAAAUGCAAGGAACCUUUCUUCUUCUUCUUUGAUCAGAUUGUAAAGUUUGAAGCUUAGACUAGGAAGGAAUUCAUCCUAAAUUUCUCCCCUAACUUGUAUUUUUUUCCACUCUAUUUUCUUGCCAUUUUGUAUUCAUUGUGUAAUAUAUACAGUUCAUAUUGUAUAGUGGCCGAAUGCCUUUAUUCUGUAAUACAAUGUAUAUUUAUACACCUUUCAAUCCAUCCAUUUUUUUACUGUUCAUCUGUCUUUAUGUUAUUUGAAGUUUAGGUUUAUCGUUCAUUCUUGAUAAGUAGUCUUUAUUUACAUUGCUUAUUGCGUUAGCCGAGCUACAUUCAUCACUUGACAAGUGUGUCGUCAACUUCUUGAGAGGACAAGUAGCAAGGACAUGGUUAACGUGUAAAAGGAAGACUUUGGGAGAUGACUUCACUUAUUUAUAUCCCGAAAGUUGAAUAAGUGUGAACUUUAGACGUCCAAAGAUUGAUAUCCUGAAAUGUGAAGCUUUAUAAGUUUUAUAAAUGAAUACUCAAGACAUGUUUCGCUUAACCAAGAUUAGUCAUAUGGAUCCCGACAGGUGACCAUGUGUGGCGUUCAAUGAUUCGGAGAGGAGCAUGCCUUAAUCAUAAUUUAGUUAAGAGUAAUGUGUCAUGUCAAGGCAAUCACAAUGCUUAAUAGCCUUGCGAUAUCCAUGCAUGGACGUUCUUUCACUCUUUCUCACAUCCAAGUUAAUUCAUAUCUCCAUCUUGUCAUAAUUUAUCCCGAUUUGAUAUCAUUUUCUGCGUUCGACCCUGAAUCACUCAAAUAAACUUAUUGCUUUGCUUACACUUGGGCAAGCAGUAAGAGAACUUGCACUUCGUGAACUUCAAAGUAGGUGGUGGGAACAUUGGGAGCAUUUUGCAUGCAAUGACCAUGUCAACGCGCAUGAUGAAUAGGAUAUUGGAGAUCAUUUUGCAUUCAAUGACACAUCAUCACACCACAAAACAAACAACCAUUCUGCAAAGAAAACACCCACAAACCAAAAAAAAAAAACGGGGUAACACAAUAAUACAAGGCCUUUUCAUUUUUUCAAAAAUGGUAUACAUGGUGUAAAUAUUUUUCUUUUUUUUUUUCUACAUUUAAAAAGACCCGUUAGGAAAACGCAUAAAAUAUUAGAUUUUAGGUACAAAUCGAACAUUAUUUGAAAUUUAAUUUGAUUAAUGGACCACUUAAAUUUAUGUAAUUGUGUUGUCAACUAAAUUGAUUUUUACGGAAAGGGGGACGCGCGUGCGGCCGAAAUCUGAAACGAAAUCAAGUUUUUAUUGUGUUGUGUGGGGAACAGCGUAAGAAGAAGGGCAAAACAAUGAUGUUUUUGCCUUAGGAAAAUCCAAAAAUAAAUGCGUCUGUGAAGUUCGAACUUGUAAUGUCCGGGUGGCUCAUGCGUAUCGAUUGACGACGCGUUUCAAGGCUUUUCAAUAUUUACUAAAAUGCUCCUAAUCUUUUAUAUGACCGUUCUUCUUCGUCUGAAUUAUGUUUUAAGUUAUUUUUAUUGUGUUGAGUUUGCAUCGGAGUCUUCUGUCAUAUUCUAGACAAAAUAUCAAAAUAGUGAAUAUAUACAUGAUAUAAAUUGAGAAUAAGAUACAAACAAAUAAGUCAAUAUUUGCCCCAACAAUAAUUUUGUUUGCUUGCCAAACUCUUGUUUUCAAAUUGUUUGUUUUACUUUUAUUUAAUAAAACAAGUAGCUUUUGUUCUUUUAAAUUUUGAAAUUUUUACUUAUUUUAAAGUAAUCAUGAUCUCAACUUAGUUUGAUAUGAAAAAUUGGGUCAUUACAAUUACUUUGAAGUUCGUUCGAUAUCUCAGGGUGACAACUGAAAGAAAAUUGUCGAAUUCCAUCCAAGGAAAAGCUCCACAAGAGUGUCCUCUCUGGUUCAUCACUUUUCUUCCAUGAAGCACAAAUACCUCAUGUGAGGUAAAUAAUCUGUAUCAGUUAUGUAUCAGAUACAUAUCUGACAUAUGAUUUGGCAUGUCUAUUUUUAUGUUGACGUAUCUGACAUGUGAUUUGAAACAUCUACUUUUAUGCUAACAUAUUUGAUAUAUGAUUUGGUUUAUCUACUUUUAUGCUGGCCUUUUUUUAAAGAAAGAAAAAAAGAUAAGCAACUCACCUAAUAUUUUUCAUCUCAAAACUAAAGAACUCUAUUUAAAAUGCUUUUUCCUCCUCCAAAUUGUAGAAUCAUUUUAUUGUCGUUAUCACAUUUACGUCGUCAAAAAGUCUUGUAUAACAUAAACCUCUUGAAUAUCUUUAAGAAUCUAAGGGUGAAGUUCUUUGCUUUCCUCUAGUCUCUUUCAUGUUCUCUGUUAAUUUUUUUCUAUUUUCUACUCUAUUCUAUUGAUUUAGUGAACAUUUUUUGUGGAUUGUGUGAAUUAUAUUUAGUAUCUUUAUUCUUUGUUUUUGUGUGUGCUUCAUAAUUGCUUUUCUUUAUCUAUAUGCUUUCAAAUUUGUUAAAAGUACGUCUUUGAAAGCCACGUGUAGCUAGAUUGGUUGGUUUUGAGGCAUUGAUGGAUUUACUUAUGCAAUUAAGUAAUUUUAAUUCUUUUGAUGGAUAUUUUUUAACUUUAUAUUUUUUUAAAUUUUAUUGUGCUUAAUUCUUAUUGGCUUGACCUUCAAUACAUGUUAGACUGAAUGUUUGGUUUUGGUUGAUAGAUUGAAUGUUUAACUUGAUCUAUGUUUUUAAUCAUUAUUAGUCAUUCAUUUAAAUAGUUAGAUUGACAAUGAAGGUUGUUGAUAAUAAAUUUUAAUGUUACGAGUCUUAAUUUGAUAUUAAGAUAUUAAUUAUCAUUUAAACUUGCUCUCAUGAGUCAUGUUUUAGAGAAAGUAACUUUCAUCUUAGUUUCUAGACAUAAAUGUUUAUUGCUAGAUUUAAUUGCAUGAAUUGAUUAAAGUCAAUUUAGUUUUAAAAUUGCUACACAAAAGUCUUUAAUUUUUCAUUGAGGAUGAUACUUGGCUAUACAAGCCAUAUUAAGUUAGUAGAACACUUAUGCUUGUGCGCUUGUGUUUGCUCUUUUCUCUCUCUCUUCUUCUUCUUUUUUUUUUUUUUUGUUAUGAUUUGAUCAACCAAUAGAAAUGUAAUAAUUCAUUAUGUGAUGACUGCAUCCUAUGUUGAAUUCAUAUGCGAUUAAGUUUCAUAUUUGUGGAUUUAUCAAUGACAUUCUAGGUAUCCUUUUGAUUUGGUGAUGAGUUUAGGGAAUCAAAUAAAAAUUGUGGUAACAAUAUGCUUAAUUACACAUGUUCGUUAGUCUAUCAUUUUAAAGAUUUGUCAAGUUGCAUACAAAUUUUCCUUUAUCAUUCCCAAGUACAAGCUUUAAUAAAAGUUUUCUAGAUGAGUUAAGGUCGAAUAUAGGGACUUAAAAGGUUUCUUUGAAAUUAAAUGCAGUGUCAUAUCUUUUACGGUGAACUACACAGUAUAAGAUAUCAAUAAUAUGCAACUAAAUUAACUAAACUAUUGUGUAUAUGUAAGCGGAAUGCCAUGAGUGGGACUGAAGGUGUGUGGAUGGUUACUUAUAAGAGACUUUAAGAAAAAAAAGUGAAGGAAUAUCGUCUUAGGCAAGGUAGUUAUGAACUAAAAAGAAUUAAGACUUCUUUAAACAAAAAUGUACAUCACACUUAACUUCUACUUAAAGCAAGCAACGUCUCAAAGCAAAAUGACAUACAUAUUCUAUUCACAUUUUUGGAUAUACAUGCUAAAGUUAAAAUACUAAUUUUUUAAGUAGAUACAAGUAAUGUGUUCAUGUUAACCUUUAAUUAAUGUCAUCUCAACAAUAUCACAAGUAUUCUCAAUUUUUGAUAUACAUGUUAAGUUUCAAACGAAAGACUUGUCUUUAUUUUUGAAGUCAACUCUUUAGUUGUUUAAUGUUCUAAGUCAUUUGCUAUUUUAAGUAGUUGGCUAUCAAUACUUAACUCAAUCUCUAGAUUAGAUUAGAAGUUGAAUAUAGAACAUAUUAAACAAGAUGAUUUAUUAUUCAUACCUACUCUUCAUAUAAACAUCUCAUCUUUGUACUUCAUUUUAAAACUUUAAUUAACUCUGUGGGAAAGUGGGACGGAUCUUGAAAGAGUGUUCGUAUUCGUAUAAUAAAUUGUUGGUUUUUCCAUAAUUAAGUUUAAAAUACAAAUACAAACUAAAUCAAAAUACUAGUGGAAAGAAGGGAAAUUAUGUCAAGCCAUAGAAUGCAAUUUCUUGCAUCCCUUCGCUCCAUUACAGUAUGCUUUAAAGUAAUAUAUUAGGUGAAUGGAAUAAAUGGAUCCAUCUUCGUUUUCAGAGAUGAACUAAAUUGUCGCCUAGAACUUCGAUGAAAGUAACUAGGAAAGGGGACGAAUUGGUGAAGUGAUAAAGCUUCAGCUUAGUAUAGUUUCUCCAAUAUGAGAUCUGUGUAUAAUCCUGAAUUAUUGUGAACUGUUUAUAAGUGUCGAAAUGGUAUAUUAUUAAGUAUUUUUGUCUGAUUUUGUCUAACCCUAAGCAUUAAAUUCCAUGCCUUGGCUUUUGGUGGCUACCAACUUUUACCAACCACGCUUGUCGUUUUGUAGUUUCAGGUUCUGUUUAUUCAUCAUGUGGUCUUUUCAAUUCGUUUAUUGGGGUGUUGAUCAAGUGCAAGUAUUUGUUCACUGCUUUUCUUCAUAUUUCUUUCAACAAAACUAUAAUCUUACAUUCAAGACAAUUAAACUCAUAACAAAUUGACAUUUUAAUCUUUUGUAAACUUGUGUUUCCCUAAUAAGAAUUUUCAUAUAAAUUCAUUACAACUCAAGGCCUUAAAUCCAAAUUUUACUUCAUUAUUCUAUAUAAAAAUCUACAAUAACUUGUAUUUCUAUAAGUUAUGAGUUUGUACAUGUCAAAUUCGCAGAUCAUGUUGCUUAGACUUAAGUAAAAUAGUUUUGAACUCACUUAUGCAUGCAUGAAUAGCUUUGAAGAUGAAUUUCUAAAUUUGGCUCAAUUGACGAUUUGUUCUUGGAUUGUGCUUUGAAUUAUAGGCAUGAUCUUGAUUCACGUUUAAACAUAGAGUAGGGAACCUAGUAACUUUGCAAACUAUUUUUUUGAGUGAUUGUGUGUUUCUAUCUUGUUCGAGGACGAUUAAGAAUCGUUGGGGUUUGUUUGAUAGCGCUGAAAUAUGUUUCUUUUCUUUUCUCUUCUUUUUUCUUUUUUAAAUUUAAGGUUGUUUCUUAAUUUGAUGUACUUAUUUAGUGAUUUUACAUAUCUGGAACAUCUAAGAUUACUUGUAUCUACUUAAAAAAUUAUCAUUUUCUUUUUUAAAUUUAAAGUUGAUUCUUAAUUUGAUUUUAUUUAGUAAUUAACUUCUAGAAUAGAAUAUACAUGUUUCAUUUUAACUUUAGAAUUUUAUCUGUUUUUUUUUUUUUUUUUUUUGUAACUUUAGAAGUUAAUUAUCAUUUUAACUUUCUAUAACUUCUUGAUUGUGAAGGCACAUGGAUACCUACAUAAUAUUAUAAUGGUUUGUUUUAUUGUUCUCAAACUAAUAGUACCAUAAGUUUAUUAUGCUCAUUCAUCUCAGUUGAUUAGUUUUUAAUUUUGUUUAAAACUUGUAUACUAUGCUAAUUGUUUCUUGAUUUUGAUUGACAACCUUUGAUUCAUACAUCACAUGGACAAUUUAACUGACGAAGAACUUGGUGUUGAUGAGUUGAAUGCAACAUUUGGAAUUGAGGAUGAUGAACAUCUUGGUACUGAAAAUGAAACCCCAAAACAGAUAUAUAGACCACGAGGACCAACUAUUAUGUUCGAUGUAACUCGCAUUAGAAGUUUGGGAGAGAAGAAAGUGGUUCUGUGAAACUUUACAUUGGUGGCCUAUAUGAUGUAAGUCAAUUUCAUUUGUUUAGAUAUAAAAAUAUGUAUCUCGUUUAUGAGUUUAUAAUAUUUUGUAAGUACUUGUAUUCUAUCUUGACUCACUAAGGACAACAUCGAAGUCAACUACAAGAUAUAUAACCAACACAUAAGUUAAUCUUCUAUAUCAUUUAGUGAAGAUUCUUACAUGCAUGUACAAUAUUUAAAAAUUUGUUCAAUCUUAUCUUAUCAAAACAGAGCAAUAGCGAUGUUUCAGUCACAAAAGAACAUUAAAAAAAAACAUAAAACAAACUUUAUGGCGAACAGUAAAGGCAAGUACAAACAUUUAAAAUCAUUAUAUUUUGUAGACUACUAGCAAUUAGGAUUAUUUCGUUAUUCCAAUUUUGUUGAUUUUAUAUAGUGUGCUCUAUAAGUCGGGAGUACUAAGUGUGGAUACUACGUCAUGAAGUAUAUGGAGAGAAAUUAUGACUAGGGGAAGCAUUAUCAUAUCCGAUGCAGUAUGUUAUUAUAUCAAACAAUUUCUUUUGUGAGUUAAUUAGUUUAUUUGUAUAGUGAGUUAAUUCAUUAAAUUUAUUUUGCAUGUUUAUAGAUUGAUACACAAAGAUCAUACUCACAGGUAGAACUAGACGAGGUGCGAGUUGAGUUAGCUAACUUUCUGGGUUCGUACAUAUGAUUGUGCCCAAUAAAUUAUGAUUCUAAAUUAGGAAAUUUUUUGUUGUGGCGCUGCUUAUGAUCAAAAGUAUAUGAGAGAAAUUGUGACUAGAAAAUUUAUUAUAGCUAUCAUCUUUUGUGACUUUCUAAGUUGAGUUGGAUUCAUGGCAAUCUAAUGGAAUAUUCAAAUCUAUGUAAAGUCAUGAAAUAUUCAUAUCUAUGUAAAGUCUUUGAUUUACUGUAUAUGAUAUAUGGAGAAUGGUAUAUAUUUAUAUAUGUUCGAGUUUUGAAACUAUAUUUGAUGAAUAUCGUUGAUCAUAUAUAUAUAUUUAUGAAACUGUUGUUGAACAACUGUACAAGACUAUUAGAUUAGCACAAUACACGAAAAAAAAUAUAAUUCAGUUACAAUUUAUUUUUAAAAAAAUUGCAACGUGCUUAACGGUUUUAAAAUGUCAUAAACAAUUGCAUUCUUGACGGUUUUAAAAUGUCAGAAACAAAUACAUUCUUGACCGUUUUAAAAUGUCAUGAAUAUGUAUAUUCUUGACGGUUUUAAAAUGUCAUAAACAAGGGCAUUCUUGACGGGUUUAAAAUGUCAUAAACAAGUCCAUUCUUGACGGUUUUAAAAUGUCAUGAAAAUAUGUAUAUUUGACGUUUAUAAAACGUCAACGUUCUCCAUUCUUGACGUUUUAUCAACCGUCAAGAACUUUGGCUUUCUUGACACUAGCUUCAACGACGUUUUUAAAACCGUCAAGAAUAGGGUCUCUUGACAGUUUAAAAACAUCAAGAGAGUCUGUUUUUGUAGUAGUCGAUUUAGAUGAACCCAUAGUUAAUGGUAGAUGAUACGACAAUCUAAACAAUAAGUAGAGAUAGUAGGAACACAAGACAUUAUUAACUCAGUUCGAUGACAUAACAUCUACGUUUGGGGGGUCAUUGACUUGACAUCAGAGAUUGUAUUUCUUUCAUACAUAAAUCAUAAUCAAACCAUUAUGAUUCUUAGUACAGAAUCUCAUACUAAACUUCUUCACUCACUACUAUCAGCGAUACAAUAAUAUUACAACAAGUAACAUUAUCACUAAACUAUUUCAAAGGUAGAUUUGGCUAACCAAAAUAUCCCCCUUAAUCAAGUGUCUCAUCAAUCAACAUAUUAAAGUAGUAACUGGAGGAACUCCCCCUGAAUCACAUCCUUCAUCAAGACAUAAACAAAAGAUCUUUUAAAUCAUCAUACUACAAAAGCUUGAACUUCAAAUAUUGUAAUCUCAGCCUAAACACGAUAAUUGAUACAAGUAUCAGCAACAAAUCACAUUAAUUGAGAGAGGACUUACACGCUUCGUGUUCUAUGAAUAACCGACUAUUUAGUGGAAAAGUCAUUCCUCACAAAACUAUCUUCUUACGGAGCAACAACAUGCACGUCUCUCUCAAUCUUGAAGAAUAAAUCACCGAGAAUAAUGUCCAUACACGCACAUAAUAAUCCCAACGAAAAACUCCAAUAAAUAAAUUUUAAAAAAAUAAAUGAAACCAAAUAAUUUUUUUUUCGAUGAGAAUAUUCUUCACAAACUUUCGUUAAACAAACGCUUUUUGCCACUACAACCAAAACGGUAAAACUAAACAAAUAAAAUAUCGACCGGGCCACAAAUAACCUAACAUAACAUUUUAGGCAAAAUGGUGUAAAAUCGUGCCAAAUGUGAGCUUAUGGAUUAAGAGAAAAAAAAGCUACAAACUAGAAAAAUGUGCAUGAGAGAGUGCAGAGCAGUAGCGCAGCCCCAUAAUGUUCCCUAAAACAUUAGGGAAUUAAUCAGCAAGAAGCAAGGAUUAAGUUAGGUUGUGAAGUUGAAUCACGUUCCUAUCAAUAAAUAUUCUUUUAACUAAUGUAGAUGAAUUCCGACUUCAAGAAACCAAUUAGACGACAAAAAUUGGUUGUUUGGCUUACCAUGCCUUUAAACUAAAUGCUUAUUAAUUGCAUGUUAGAAGAGAGUGUCCUCAUCCUUCCUCAUAAUUAAUUCGAUCUUAUGGGCUUCCGUUUAGGGUACUAAAUAAUGAGAAUGGCCAAGUUAGUUGGUAUAUUUUAUGUUAUUGGGAAAUCAAUGAUUAAGUUAUAAAUAAGUAGGAAAGACCUCACUAAACCCAAGAUAGAUGAUUGUUCGGAAUCAUUCACAACUUUUGCACCAUUAUAUUGUUCAUGUCACCGUUCUAUUUUACAUUCAAUUCGCAACAUGUAAAUCACAAUCCCCUUAUUACUCUACUGUAAGCCUUUUCAACUGAUAGGUGGAGUGCCUCUUUGUGGUUGGACCUAUACUAUGUUGUACUAUUUAGUUAUGUAGGCACAGAAUCUAUGUUUAGUACCAAUCAAAGGGAUGUAUGAAUGAGAUUGAAAUAUUAAAUUAAUGUAAUUAUUGAGAGGAGUGAUAACUCUUCUCUCCCUUAUCUAUAUAUUAAAUGAUUUUCGUAUUAAUCUGUAUCUGAAGCAUGAGCUGUGUUAGAGGACUUAAUCUUGCUCGCAAACAACCAAACAACGCUUUGAAAGGUAACUACAUGCAGUGAAAAUCGCUACAAGAAAAAUAGUUGGUGAAAUGUCAGCGAAAUACCAGUCGACAGUAAGAAUAAUGUAAGGAAGAGGCACAACGAGGUAGGGAAUCUAUUGUGAAUGUCAGAAUCCAUGGAUGUGGAGAUUCUGCAUUCAUCCCUUACAAAUAGACCUCAAGAGCUCAAAUUCAAAACACAAAUUAAACUUUGAAGUUAAAAAAUCUUCCUGAAGCUCUUUGCUUUCUCCAAUCUGUCCCCUUUCCUCUGUUUUUUUUUUUAAGUUCGGGAUGAAAGCUAUGUUCUUAUCUGCAAAUAGAGAUGGAGUCUUCCAUUUUCAAUCCCAUGACACUAAUUAGAAUAGACAAAUAUGGAACCAAGGGAUGCAAAAGAUUGCAUUCCGCAACUAGACAUAUUACUUUUCUUUCAUUUGUAUUUGUAUUAUGAAUUUGACAAUGGAGAGACCAAGAGUUUUUAUUGUGGAUGCAAAUGUGUAUCUAUAAAUGAAUUGAGUUAUCAAUUUGUUAGGAUACUAACACUAAUUUAGGUCGAAAAUACUGUAAAAAAAUGGCUUAAACAGAGGCGGUACCCUGGUUUACUUUAUUUAUAUAUAGCCAAAUGAUUACAGAGUCACAAGAUGAAAAGAAACAACAAGGAACAACAAGGAAAAUCAAGGAAAAUCAAGGAAAGAACAUACCGGCCUCCUUGAUUUAAGAGACCCUUGUGGCUGCUGCAGCCCUACCUUUUAAAAGAUAAAAUAUACCCUAGCUACUCCAUACCUAAUAAUCCUAUUUAUAGACUCACCUAUUUCUCAGCCUAGUGGGCCCUACCACUCACGAUCUUCCUUCCAAUCAUUUCUCCAUAAUAUUUUCCUGUGCAGUUACUUUUCUACCCUUCCUCCUAUAAGUAUGGAUAAUUGGGGGUCUUACAAUACCCCUCGGUUCCAAGUUCACCUUGUCCUCAAGGUGGAAGGUGGGAAAUUGUUGAUUCAUUUGGUACACUGCUUCCCAGGUAGCCUCAUUCUCUGGUAGUUCUUUCCAUUUUACCAACCACUCGUUGGCGCCCAAGUCCUUAUUUCAUCGAAUGCCCAGCACGGUUUCUGGUUGUAACUGUAGUUCAAACUCUUCCGUUAGUACUGGUAGUUGGAUUUGCACUACAUGCAUUUUUCCCAAUUUCAGUUUCAGUUGGGAAAUAUGGAAGACGUCAUGAAUAGAAGCUUCAGGCGGUAACUGCAGCCUAUACGCCACUUCUCCAAUUUCUUCAAUUAUGCGGUAAGGUCCAUAGAAUUUAGGGGCCAACUUCUCCGAUCUCUUUCGUGCUAGAGAAUGUUGCCUAUAGGGUCGAAGCUUGAGAUAUACCUCAUCUCCCACCUUGAACUUAAGUUCCCUCCUCUUAGAGUCUGCCAUUUUCUUCAUUCGGUUCUGCGCCACGUUCAGGUUCUCCUUUAGAGCAAUCAGUGCUAAAUCCCUCUCUUUCAGCAUUAGUUCCACCUCAUUGUGAGGAGUCUUGUGUUUGCCGUAUGAUAGCAGCGGAGGGGUGAUCGUCCAUAUACAAUCUGGAAGGGAUUUGAUCUUGAGGAGGCAUGGAAAGUUGUAUUAUACCAUAGUUCUGCCCAGGGAAUGAACUUAUUCCACUUUGUCGGCUGCUCAUUACAAAAACACCUCAGAUAAGUUUCUACACAACGGUUUACUCUUUCAGUUUGUCCGUCCGUUUGAGGGUGGAAUGCCGUACUUCUUUUUAGAAGGGUUCCCAUGCUAGCAAAUAUUUCUUUCCAGAAGUUGCUUAUGAAAAUUUUAUCUCUAUCGGAAAUGAUUGACUUAGGUAUUCCAUGUCUACUCACUACCCGGUCAAUAAACACUUCAGCCACUUGCCUUGCAUUGAAAGGAUGCCUCAUGGUGAUAAAAUAGGAGUAUUUGCUCAGCCUGUCCACAAUUACCAUUAUUACAUUCAUACCUCCUGCUUUAGGUAGCCCUUCAAUGAAGUCCAUGGACCAGUCUUCCAAGAUUCUUUCUGGAAUUGGAAUUGGCUGCAGAACUCCAGCUGGUUUAGUUGCUUCCAACUUAUUUCUCUGGCAAACCUCGCAUUCUUGCACAUAUUUUUUUACAUCCGCCUUCAUACCCUUCCAAUACAAUUCCCCACACAUCCUUUUAUACGUCCUUAAGAACCCGGAAUGGCCUCCCAAAAUGGAGUCAUGAAAUGUAUGUAGUAAGGUGGGGAUCAGAGUGGAUUCUUUUGACAACACAAUCCGCUUCUUAUACCAUAGGUUUCCAUUCACCCAUUGGAAUUUACUAGGCUCGUCAGGAUUUUUUUUAAAUUCUUCAAUGAUUGCCUUAAGCUCUUCAUCUAACUCAACCUCCUUCUCAACCACCUCCAUGUUGACAAUACCCGUGGUGGACAUACUCUUCAUUUCCACUGGUUGUUCUAUUCGGGAGAGGGCAUCGGCUGCUUUGUUUUGUAAUCCGGGUUGGUAAAGUAUUUCGAAGUCAUACCCGAGGAGUUUAGUCAGCCACUUCUGGAAUUGGGGUUGCACUUCCCUCUGCUCUAAAAGGAAUUUGAGGGCCCUCUGAUCUGAGAUGAUUGUAAACUUCCUUCCCAAAAGGUAAUGUCUCCACUUCUGUACCGACAGAACCACAACCAUCAAUUCCCUCUCAUAUAUGGACUUGGUUUUAGCUCGGUUUGAUAGUUUUUGACUAAAAAAAGCUAUGGGAUGGCCAUUUUGAGAUAGAACUGCCCCUAAAGCAAUCCCGGACGCAUCCGUUUCAAUGAUGAAAGGUAGGUUCCAAUCCGGUAGAGCUAGUACAGGUAGGGUUGUCAUGGCUAAUUUCAGCUUAUCAAACGCCUCUGUUGCUUCUUCCCCCCAUAGGAAUGAGUUCUUUUGUAAUAAUUUGGUCAACGGUUCUGCCAUCUCUCCAUACCCUUUGACGAAUCUUCUGUAGUAACCUGUCAGACCUAAGAACCCCCUCAAUCCGGUUACAUCUUUGGGUUGGGGCCAAUUUACCAUGUCCUUGAUAUUGUCUCCAUCAGCUUCAACCCCUCUACUGGAUAUUAAAUGCCCCAAAUACUGAAUCUGUGAAUGAGCUAUUACGCAUUUUUUUUUGUUAGCAACUAACUGGUUAUCCCGCAUUACUGCAAAAACCAUGCCCAAAUGCUUUUCGUGCUCUGUGAGAUCCGUGCUGUAUACCAAUAUAUCAUCAAAAAAUACCAGUACACAUCUCCUGAGGAAGGGUUUAAAGACCUGAUUCAUUAAUGAUUGGAAAGUAGCUGGUGCGUUAGUGAGGCCGAACGGCAUGACCAGAAACUCGUAGUGUCCUUCAUGGGUUCUGAAUGCUGUCUUUUCCACAUCAUCCUCCUUCAUCCGUAUCUGAUGAUAUCAAGAUUUGAGAUCCAAUUUUGAAAAAACUGUGGCCCCAUGCAAUUCGUCUAGCAAUUCCUCUAUCACGGGUAUUGGAAAUUUAUCUGAUAUGGUUACUUGAUUUAAUUUUCUGUAAUCAACACAGAAUCUCCACCCUCCGUCUUUCUUUCUUACCAGCAAAACAGGACUCGAGUACGGGCUGUGACUGGGUCGUAUUAUCCCAACUUGGAGCAUUUCAGAUAUUAACUUCUCGAUUUCUUCUUUUUGUGUGUGGCCGUAUUUGUAAGGUCUCACAUUGAUAGGUUUCUGGCCGGUUAACAGCAAAAUACGAUGGUCACACUCCCUUUUUGGUGGUAAUCCCUUAGGUUCUUCAAAUAAAUCCGUGUACUGCUGGAGUAAGAAUUGAAUCAUUGGAGAUUCUUCAUCAUCCCUCUUCACUCUCUAUACUUCAUCUGAUUCUCCAUCUUCCUCUGCCUCAUAGCUCUGCAUAUCUAGUAAGAAGCCUUGGUCGUCCUCUUCCCAUGUUUUUUCAAUGCUUUUGAGAGAGCACUCUGCCCUAAUAAGUGAAGGAUCUCCCUUUAGGAUAAUCUGUUUCUUUCUCAUCCAAAAUGUCAUGGUCAGGGAUGGCCAGUGUAUCUUCAUGGUUCCCAUUGUGUUCAGCCAUUGCAUCCCUAGAAUAAUAUCUACACUUCCAAGUUCAAUUGCUAAAAAAUCAGCCACGAUCGUGAUCUCUUUAAGUUUUAGUUCUAACCUGUUACACACGCCUCUUCCUUGGCAUCUUGUACCAUCUCCGAUAGUGACUCCAAACGGAGUAUGAUUCUCUAACUCCAGUCCCACUUCCUCCACAAUUUUGUUGUGUAUGAAAUUGUGGGUGGCCCCACUAUCAAUCAGUAUCAAUACUUCUUUCCCUUUAAUUUCGCCUUUGAUCUUCAUCGUUCCUUUACUUGUUAGGCCAUGUAUUGCCUUUAACUCAAUUUCGGUUCCCUCCUCCAGUGUAAGCUGAUUCAACUCUAAUACUUCUUCAUUAGUUUCCUCUGUUCUGUCUUCGUCUUCCAGACUUUCUUCUUCAUUCAUGACAAACAGCAUCAGCUCUCUUUUGUCCUUCAUUUUGCAUCGAUGUCCAGGGGAGUACCUUUCAUUGCAUUUAAAACACAGACCCUUGUCAAGUCGUGCUCUGAAUUCCGCAUCCGAUAAGCGUUUCACUGGUGGUUCACUCUUCUGGUAGUUGCCUUUAAUGGGAAUUGUCACCUGUUUCAAAGGAAACUCUGUUUUCCUGGUGAUUCCCUUCUCCCCACCUUCUGGACCCUUGUUCGUGCUUCCUUCGCCUUUUUUGUAAUUCAGUCCUCCCCCUUCUGCCUUGGACCAUUGCAGGGCUAAAUUUCUGUCGUUGACCAGCUGUGCCUCUCUCAUACACUCCUCCAAUGUUAGUGGAUUGCGGCUCACGACUUCAGCUUGCAGGUUCGGCUCUAGCCCAGUCAGGAAUGCAUCCCUUAACACACUCUCUGUCAUGUGGGGCAGGGGUGCUGAAUAAUUAACAAAUUUCUUUAUAUAAUCAUUGUAGGAACCGUCUUGUUCAAUCCUGAUCAGUCUCGCCACUAAACUCUUCUGCCCUGUGUCUUUAAAAAAAUCAAACAUCCUUUCUUUUAGAUCCUCCCACGACUCCACCUUCCUCCGAUUGUGUGACCAUCUGUACCAGUCUACCUCAUCUUGUCCAAAGCUGACUACUGCUACCUUGACCUUUUCGGUCUCGGGUAGAUUAUUGAUCUCAAAAAAAUGCUCUGCCCUGUAAACCCAAGAUUCCGGGUUUUCUCCCAAGAACAUUGGCAUCUCUAAUUUCUUAUAUUUACUACGGUCAACCAUGGUCAAGUUCCCUUCGUUAUGAACAUCGGUUUCCUCAGCUUUUCCCUUCAGUUUCAUUACUGAACCGUCGGAGGUCCCAGAUUCCUCCCUUCUUUUGUAGCUAUGGUUCUCUCUCAGAACCUCAGCCAUUCGUUCCAUCGCUUUUUUCAUUUCUAACAGCAUCUCUUUCAAACCCAUUAUUUCCUUCUCAGUUCCAUCCACUAUGUCUUCUAUUUGUCUCUGCGCCAUUAGUCUAGUAACCACCCCCAGUUUUUUCGGGCUCUGAUACCAAUUGUUUGGAUACUAACACAAAUUUAGGUCGAAAAUACUGUAAAAAAUGGCUUAAACAGAGGCGGUACCCUGGUUUACUUUAUUUAUAUAUAGCCAAAUGAUUACAGAGUCACAAGAUAAAAAGAAACAACAAGGAACAACAAGGAAAAUCAAGGAAAAUCAAGGAAAGAACAUACCAGCCUCCUUGAUUUAAGAGACCCUUGUGGCUGCUGCAGCCCUACCUUUUAAAAGAUAAAAUAUACCCUAGCUACUCCAUACCUAAUAAUCCUAUUUAUAAACUCACCUAUUUCCAGCCCAGUGGGCCCUACCACUCACGAUCUUCCUUGCAAUCAUUCCUCCAUAAUAUUUUCCUGUGCAGUUACUUUUCUACCCUUCCUCCUAUAAGUAUGGAUAAUUGAGGGUCUUACACAAUUCUCCUUCAUUUUUCUAAAUAGAUAGAGUUCUUUACAUAUCCUGCAUUGAGCUAUCCAUAUUAUAAAGGAAAUAGAUAGAUAAAGUGAUUUCUUUGAAAAGUAUCUAUAAAUGAAACAAUCAUUUUGUUUGAAUUUGAGCUGUACUCAUCAACACCUAAUUCAAUUAGGAGAAAGGAUUAAGUUUUGGCAUUUAACUACUCGAGCGAGUAAGUGACUAAAACCUCAUUGAACAAGGAAAGAAGUAGUUUUAGAGAUACAAUCAGUUAUUUGGUUUGAACCUUAUCAUACAUAUAAAAAAUGUGAAUGUGUGUCAUGUAGGCACCAAAAGGUUUCUUACCUUAAAUAAAGGUUGAAACAUGAAUAUCUCAUUCUUGUUUAGUUAGAAGAAGAUCAAGUACUUUAGCUUCCAUAUUUAUAUCCCAAAAGGUGAAUAUAUGUGACGUAGUACUUUCUAGUUAUAAGUUAAAUAUGGGUUUCAUUAUCGUUCCAAAGGACCUUUAAGUCUUUUAGUUCAUAUCAUUAUAUUGAAAGGCUUUUCCUUCACACUUGUUUUACAUGUUUGUGCUAAGUUAGAGUCAAUUCAACUUUGUUUUCACAUAUUCACACGUAGCUUUGCGAUAGCUUGCAGAAAUACAAGUUAUUAGGUCUUUUAAAUAGAAUAAUAAAACAUAAUUUCAAUAUAAAGAGGAAUAACACAACCAAAUGAGUUGAAAUAGGAUAAACGUGAUAUGCAAGCUACAAAAGGUAAAACACUUGUUUAUCACAAUUUUAUUGUCUUAACACAGAAUUUUAAUGAAAGAAAGGGAAAAAGAAAAAUGAAUGAGCCAUUUCAGGGAACCAAUGCUUGCACCAACCAACUAGUCAACCGAAGCAAAGAUGUUAGGUGAUAUAAGUCGCUAGAAGAUAAGAAUGGUUAGUGAAAUUUUCAGCCAGAGGAUGAAAAGACGUCUUCAACAUGGCUAAUACUGUUUCAAAAGUCAGAGAAUUAAUUACUCAUUAGGCCAUGUGAUGUCCAAUUAUUCCAACACCAAUAAAUAUAAGAGCACCUCCUUCAUUUCAAAGUGUGUGAGAUAUCGGUGAAAGAACUCAACCUCAUCCCUAACUUUUCUUCUUAUUGCUUUAGGUGAGUGCUUCAAGUGAGAGUUGCUUGUGGUGGGUGUGGUUUGUGUGUUUGACAAAGCAGAACUUAGUAGUCUUGUCUAUGUAUAGCAAUCACAAUACGUCACGAAGUAUGGUAAUUUCUUAAGAUGCUCUCCUUACCUUUCUGUAUCAUGCGCACACUUCUAUGCAAUAGGUCAUGAAUCAUGAUCACGACAUGUGAAAUGCUCACUAUGUACCUCUUCAUCACAUAACAGCUAAGUUCUUGUUGAGUACAAGUUUUCCUACUGCUUGCUCAAGUGCAAGCGAAUAGUAGGUCUACCUAGGUGAUCCGAAAUCGAACACAGGAAAUUUAAGCUCCUAAUUUAUCCACUUGCUCACUAACUUAUGUGGUAUACACUAUAUAGUAAAUCGUAUGAACAAUAUACUAAUUAUCCUAGCUAUUUACACUACGGUGCUUGUCAGGGCAAGGUGAAUACGACGUAUGACAAGAUGAAAUAUGAACUCAAUAUAGUCAUGGUUGGGAAGGAAAAUUGAACUGCUAAAUACAAUGACUGAUGAUUUACUACCUCGAAGCAAUACAAACAUCUAUUAAUUAAGAAUUGAGGCACCGAGCAACUUCUCAGUGCAAGGCCAUACUUGCUCACCUUUCGUGAUGCAAAUACACAAGUUAAACAAUUCAUAUAUCAAAUCAUAUUAAAUGUAGUACAACAACUAAUGUUCAAUUAAGACAUACACCUCUUAGUGCAUCAUCCACACACAUUAACCUCUAGAGGAUGAGCUUGGCGAUAACAAUGCAUUGUUGCAUUCUUCCGCCACUUGCUUAGUUAAAUAUGGUUAUCGCGUGCUUAGUGAUUACAAUCUAUAUUGUUGCACUUCUUUCGAAUGAACAAGAUUAAGGUACCCACAUUUAACUAAGCAAAACUCUUACGAUAUUCAUUAUAACUUUGUUGAAUACAUCAUUCAUGUCUACUUAACUACUCAAUCACAUGCAUAUGGACGAGAUAAGAAAAAUGGAAGAAUGGAAGAAGAAAUGCAUUGCUUUUAUAAAUAACGUUUUAAGCCUUUCGGUCAUGAAGUUUUGCUUACAAAACAACACAAAAUAAGAAAGAGAAAGUGGAAAUACAACAGGCACGUUACACCGUAGAGUCUGAUCUUUCAUACUCUUUGACUUUGAUUUUUGCCUACAGAUGAGGGGAACGACGGAGGAGUGAAUCUCUCUCUUUUGUUUUAAUUAAUCUUUCACCUAAAACUCAAGGUAGAGAGAAGGAUGGAUGAUAUGAAGAGCUUGCUUUUCGGCCAAAAUGGCGCACACUUCGUUUUGGAGUGAGAAACUCUAUUUCUACACAAGGAGUGAUGUUGACAUGUUGGCACGCACCAUUAAGAUCUGUGAAAAGUUAUAGCUAUGCUGCACAGGCUGUCCCAUCUGUCCUUUCCUUAAUUUCCCACCAAAAAUCUUUUGUUUGCUAGCGGCUUGAUCACGUGGCAACUAUUUCCUCAUCUUGGAAAUGUUGGUUGGGCUCCUUGUGCUUAAUGAGCUACUCGCCAAGCUUCACUCCUCUUCCCUUAAUAUCCUGCGAUAAGAGCAUUGCAACAUAGUAAAACAUGGAUGAAGUUGUGAGACUCAUUUCUUAUUUGAGUAAGGAAGUAAAAUUUGAAGUUGUGAGACUCAUUUCUUAUUUGAGUAAGGAAGUAAAAUUUGGCUAAGUAUUAAGAAAUUGGUGUUUGAAUAAAUCCGCGGAAAGGAUUAAGCGAUAAAAUAUUUUAUGGUUAAGUAUACGUUUUUGCAAUUGAGUGGGUAGUUCGCAAAAGAAGUUGUGUGAUAAGAAGAGAAAAAGUAUUCCCGUAAGUUAAGAAGUGAAAGUUUUCACAAGGUUAGAUUAGGUGUUUUGGGUGGUCUUCGUGAGAAGAACCAAGUAUUUCGUAGAGAAGAAGUCUGCGAGGAAGCCUUGGAGUUUAAGUUCACGAUAAGAGUUCUAUGCAAGUAGAAGUUGGUUAGUUCGCGUGGAAGGCUUCUUAUAGUAAAAAUGUAACCACGUAAUAUGGUUAUUUGCAAGAAAUAGUAAGUGGUUGAAGUUAUUUGUGGUUUGGGUUAGGCGAGAAGCAAGGUCUAGCAAAGAAAAUGUCAAAUCUAAUUUGACAAGGGUUAAUGUGUAAGAUUAAAGAUUUAAGCAUGGCUAGGUUGAAUAUUAAAUUUACAUGUGUAAAGUUUUAAGCAGGAGCUCGUGAACUGAGAAGAGUUUAUGCAUGACUAAGUUAGUUUAAGGGCUCUAUAAAUAAGAGGAUUUUGGUAACUAAGGAGGGGAUGAUGGGAGUUUUGUUGAAAUGUUGAAGUGCUACUAGUUUAGCCACAUGAGAAGAGGCUUGCGAGAAGGACUUCUUUAGUAAAGUUUUGUGAGUGUUUUUCUCUCAAAUGAAUUUAUGUUAAAAACUUUAUUAUUAUUUCUCUUUACUAAUUUGAAAGAAGAAUUCGUAUGAGAAUGUUUCAAAGAUAUUUUUAUGAAAAGUUAUGUUUUCAAGUAUGAUUUAUAAUGUUAAAGCUUGAUUUGAUGAUUAUGAUUUCAAUACCAUAAAAUGGUUUUCAAACCAUUAGUUGUUUCUUUGAGAUGAUGCUAACUUUUAUGUGCACAUAAAUAGUCAAGGCCACCAUGGAGUGUACGAGCUACAUGGUGAUAAGAAACUGGCUUAUGCGUUGAAAUGAGUCUAUAAAGCUUAGUAGCCUAAGCAACAAGGACGAAUAUGUAUGUUCUCAUAUGUUGUUGAUACAGUAGUCUAAAUCUGAGGUAAUGAGACCAAGUGUAGAUAACGAUUCAAGAUCCUUGUCAAAAUGAAAUGAUUUGUUAAGCAUAAAGAAAGGCUUAUGCAAAAUGAAAUGAGUUUUCGGUAUGUUUAAAUGAUUUGAUAUUAUUUUUGCAAGAUGAUUAUGAAAAGGUAUUGCAAAAGGUUUUCAUAAAACCUCACCAAGUCUUUUAGACUUACGUUUUAAAAAUCUAUCUUCCAAGAUCAGACGUUUAGAUCAAGUAGAGAAGAAGAUUGAAGGAUUUGCGACGAGAUAAUUUAAGGCAUUUUGAAAAUGGUUAAGCAUUGGUUAUUUGGUCUUUAAGGCAUUUUGAAAAUGGUUAAGCAUUGGUUAUUUGGUCAAAGUAUUGUAAUAAUGUAUGAAACGUCUGUUAUUAAUAAAGUAUAUGUUUUGGUUUGUAUUUAUUUUUCCUUGUGUUACAUUGACCAUCGUGCCAUUUUGAGUGUUGUCAAUAGUUUAAAAAUAAUUGAGAAUAAGAUUUACGUUAAGAAAAAUUCAAGGUUGUAACUAACUCGCAUCAUAUUCUCACUACUUUGGUGUUUUGGUCACAGUGCGGUUUGGGGUGUCACAAAAGUUCUUUUGCAUUAGGCUCUUCAUGGAGUAAUCAAAUUAACUACUUUUCUCUUUCUUUUCUUCUCAUUUCAUGCAAUAAGACUUCACUAUUUUACCUAAAAGGCUACAAUAACUUGUAUGUCAACAAGUUAUCUAGAGUUAAAAAUAAUCCAAAUCUCAUCCCUUUAGUUAUGAAGCCAUAAAUGGAGCCAAAGAACACAAGAAAUUGUGUUUUAUGGCUUGACUCAUUCUACUUGCUUUCCAUUUGUAAUAGUUAUUCAUCUUGUAUUGAUACUUUGAAUCUCAUGGUCAAGAGAUCUAAAGUUUACAUUAUGAAUAUAAUGAGUUUUCACUUUUGUUCUCCCAUCUGUUUACUUUUUGCAUGCUUGAGUUCUUUGUAAUUAUGAACAACGCAAAGCAACAGUAGUUUUGAGAAAACUUAGAUGUUCUUAUUGCUUGUCUUGUUUAGAUAGAGUUUCAUUCAACACCUAAUUCCAUUCGAGAGAAGGAAUGGAGCAUUAGGCAUUACUACUUGAGAGAGUUAGUAAUUAGGACCUCACUAAACAGAUGGUGAAAAGAUUGUAGUAAUACAAUUUCUUCAAUGGAUUCCUCCAUAACGUACAUUUAAAGUGUGAGUAUGUGUGGCAACAAGGCACCGAGAAGCUGCUUCCCUUAAUAUAGGAUGGAUUGCAACUAAUGCAACCAAGCAAUUAGAUAUAAAUCACAUCAUAAUUUCAAGUAUUUCCAUCCCUAGAGGCAAGCAAGUAAGGCAAAGACUUCGAGAGGAUGCUAGCCUUAGUUUGAAAUUAGUUAGGCGCUUUAUACCAUCUCAAGGAACUAUUUACUCUCUUUGUACCGCAUUAUAUUAUACUAAACUUUCCUUCAUUACUCUUUCUAAAUGCAGACUGAGUUCAAACACGUACAUACUAACCAUUUACAUUCCCCCUUUCACAUCACACAUUUAGUGUAAAUAAUAGUAAAACAACAAGAUAAUAAUGUGAAUGUAACAAUAGUGUAUAGACACCACAUAAAAUCAACUUAUGAGUUACAUUGCAAGUCUUCGACCCUGGCUUACCCAUGAAACCUUUCUUUUCACUUACACUUGGACACAUCCAAGUGUGAAGAAGAAUACACACAAAUAGAGUUAAACUUUUUCAAAUAAGUUUUUUAUUUCUUUUCUCAAAUAGUCUAUUUCAUGAUUAUUUACUUGAGUGUUCAUUUCAUCACCCACUUCCAACAAAGCUAAGUACAAGUAAAUAACACAAACUAACUAAUAUAAAAGUGAAUUAGUUACAUAUUUAAUAAGAGAAUUAUAAAAAAUAGAAAGUUUGACAAAAUAGUUACAACAUAUAGCAAAAUUUUUAGAUUUUAACAAUAAAAAGCAUUGAUAGUCUUUGAUAUGCUUCUAUCAACGACAUUGAUAGACAGUGAUAGAAGUCAAUUGAUGAUUAUCAUUGAUAGAAUUCAAAAUUUUGUUAUAGCUUGUAAAUAUUUUAAUUUAUUUUGCUAUUUUUAAAAAUGCUCUAUUAAUAUUUAAUAGGGACAUUUUUAAAAAUAAAAAAAUAAAUUAAAAUAUUUACAAGCUAUAGCAAAAUUUUGGAUUCUAACACUGAUAGUCUUUUAUCACUAUAGCAUAUCAAUGACUAUCAGUGAUAGAAUUUGUUAUAGGUUGUAAACAUUUUGUAAAAUUUGUUACUUUUGAAAAUUCUUUUUAGGGAUAAAAAAAUUAUUAUUAGGAAUAAUGGGAAAAAUAGGUUAGCAAGUUUUCUCCACACGCUUCAAUAAAGAGAAAAAUCUUAAGUCAAAAUUUUGAUGACAGAUAACAUGUUGCUUGACAAUGUACAUGACAUGUUCCCAAACGUAUAACUCAAACUUUACCUGUAAUAACCAAUCAUACUGAAGUAUCUAAUGGGCAAGGCAUGAAAUAUUUUACCUUCUAACUGCAUCCCUUCCUUACUAUGAUCGGCAUGAAUUUUGUUUCCUUCACAGACAUUGAUCUUUGUUAUUUAUUAUGUUAUUCAACAAUUUAGCUACAAUAAUAUUUUGAAUUGGAGCAACUGUAUUCAGUAAACCAAAUUUUAAAAUGUCAUAAAGUAUAAACUAUGUUAAUAUUAUUUACGAGACCUAAAUAUGAAAUAUUUGGUCUUAAAAAAAGAACGUAUACGCAUCUUAUAUCUUCAUGAGACGUAAUUAAUUUGAGAUAUUUAAUAAAAACUUCUCCCUAAUGUGCACCAAAGGAUUGAUCUGACAAAUCAAUACUAUCAUAUGGAAAAUAAAACUCAGAAGGGAAAGAGAAAAGAAAAAAAAAGGAUAAAGAAAUUAUUAAUUAGUGAUCAGAUUAAAAAGAAAAUGACACAUACUGGUAGUUUCUCAGAAAGUGAAUGUGAAGAGUCAUAAAAGAGAGGCCUAAAUCAGUGUGUAGAGAAAAGAAUCUAAGGGGACCAUUAAUUGGUAAAUCAUCAUCCUCUUACCUUUUACAUAUCAGUUAGUCAACAACACAAGAAGAUACAGUACUAGUAUGUGUCUUUAGCAACAACAAUAAUUCAUCCCUUCUUCCUUCAGAUAUGCCCCCACACCCUCAUUACUUCAAAACCCUAAUUUCCUUAAUUAUUCACACCUUCUUUCAUUCAUUUCAUCUUCUCUUUUUGUUGUUUUCUUUCCGAACAAUAAUUAACACACUGCCACUUCUUUCUCUUAAAAGAGAAGAAAGAAAAAGAAAAAAAAAAGUCUGCCAUUCAGUAUACUUAUUGUUUUCUUUUAAAAGCUUUUACACUAUAGGUGUACCAGAAUAUCUCAAUUGUAUUUAUAUAGUCAUACUAUUACCAUCAUAUUCCAAUGCCCUAAUUUAAACCUUAAAACUUUUAUCAAUUUUUCUUUUUAAAGAAAAGAGGAUAUAGUUUAUUAGGGGUAGAUGAUAAACACAUAUGGAAUUUAAAUUUUUUACCAAUUUAGUUCGGCUUAGUUUAAUUCUUGCUUUGUUUGGAAUAAUAAAGAGUGUCUUGGAUUGGAUAUUCUUUUUUAUCUUGUCUUCUUUUAAAGAAUGAGAAAAGAAAAAGGAUGUGCUCUUUUGUUGGUUCCAUGCAUAAACUUCUCUUCAACAUUGCCAACUUUGCAAUGAAGGGUUUCUUUUGAAUCUUUUGAAUGACAUCUGUCAAAUCCAUUUUGUUUUGUUUGAUUAAUUAACUGUCUUAGAUCUAGAUCUAUUUAAAUGCAUAGAUACAAUACAAAAAUAGCAAAAAUAGCAAAAAUGGUUCCUUGUUUCCAAUUCAACUUAGAAGAAAACUUUCCAUCAUUAUUAGUUGAAUGAUUUUGAAUAGGUUAUUUAGUGCUCUAAAUGGAUGAGAUUUCAUGCUCUAGUCAAUGAAUCAGGUUUACGCCGCCUGUCUUGGUGAAACCUUUCCGAGGCAUAAUAUCCCAAAAUCUAAUUUGUAUUCAUAGUUAUCUUAUUUAAUUUUGUUGGUAGUAGUUUAUAUUUACUUUUGUUGAUAGUGGUUUCAUAGGAGGGUGCAUUAUAUUAACUCUUCAAUGCUAUUAAUUUAUCUUUUAUUAAAUAGUAAACUUCCGUCUUCGGUUCUUCGUAACUAACACAAUAUUAGUAACUACAUGUGAACUCUAUAAAUAAAUUUUUGUAUUAACACAUUAUUAGUAGCUACAUAAAUUUGAGGGUGAACCACAUACAAAUUAUUUGUACUGAUUUUUUUUUACCUCUCAUAUUUUUUUUCUUUAAUUGUCAAUUUCAUUAUAUAUAUAUAUAUAUAUUUUCUCCUGUUUGUAGUUAGGUUUUUUUCUUUGUUUUGUCCACACGAAGUUGCUGUCUGGACUCACUUUUUGGCUUCCAUGCGCAGAAAAAAGAAAGAUGAGAAUAAUAUUUAGAGUUUGUUGGCUUGUGGAUUAACACACUAGCUUAGCUUAAUAUGUUUUAUACAAUUCAAGUCACAUAUCUUCUGGUUGAUGUGAUUCUAAAUAAAUAAAUAAAACAAAUUAGAGUUGUUUCCAACCUAACAAAAUAAAUCUGAUGUAUAAUUAUAGUAAAAUUUUCCUGUCUAUUGUAACCUAUCGUUGUAGAUGAACUAUAGUUUCUUAACAUAUUUCCUAUCAUUCUCAAACAAAAUCGUCCUUUAAAUAAAUUUCUCAAUAAAAUAAAAUAAUAAAAUAAGAUGGGGGAAACAAAGUCUACAUCUUUUAAUUCCCCAUGUGUAUAAAAAAGAAGAGAAGAGAAAAUGGGAUACGACUCUUUAGCUAUCAAAAAUGAAGAAGAGGAGAAUUCAUUAAUAUUAUAUACAUUUUCUAGAGAAUAAAAUUAAUUAUGAAAAGAAAAAUAUUUAGAUACACAAUAGUCGGUCCAAUCUAGUUGUUAGAAUCACAAGUUGGUUUAGGAAAAAUCUUAAUUUUGUUUUUGGUGAUUGAAAUAAUGAACGUAGUGUAUAGAUUGCAAAUAUUAGUGAUUUAAAAUUGAAUAUGGGUGUGUGUCAGUAGUUAGAGUCUUAAAAACACACUUCCAAGUUGGGAUCCCAUGCAUAUCUCUCUGCACCCAAAGGUUGUGUGGUCCAAUUUUCUCCUCUUCCAUAAAGAAAUAUGUAUUUAUAUGUAUGUAUGUAUAUAUAUAUAUGUGUGUGUAUGAAAAUAAAAUAUAAUAUAUAAUGGUCCCUCAUCUACAAGUUAUAGCUUCUCUCAUUGUUCCUUUCAAUAGCUUGCUAUCAUGAAUAUCAAUAUUAUUAAUACAUCUCUCUCUAGGUGUGUGUGUGUAUAAUAGUUAAUGUUGUGUAUAUGUAUCCUUUUGUAUGAUUUGCCAUCUACUCCCCACCUCCAACCACAACCCCCUCGUUUUUGUUAAAUUUGACACUCUUACAUUUUCUGUGUUUUUUUUAAAAAUAGAUAUUUAGAUGUACCCUCAUCCCUUUUUGGUUGCGUAUAUUGUAUAAAGAUUGAUUUAUUGAUGGAUAGAAAGACACUAAUAGAUUAUAUUCUAAAUAUUGGUCCAUCACUAAUAUAUUUAAUUAUAUUUACAAUUUCUUAAUAUUAUUAUUCUAAAUAUUGAUUAAUGAUUCAAUUUAGAUGUUUUCUAGUAACGCAUAAAAAUGGAGUUAUAACUUAUUAAUAAAUGUAGCAAAAUUUCACUUUUAAUUUAUAAUAAAUGGUAAUAGACUAAAAAGGUUAGUUAGAUAUCUAUUUAAAUAUAUGAUCAUUUAUCACCUAGGUAGAAAGCAAAAAUGUACCAUAUUUAUUAAUAUUUUUAAUAGUUUUGUCAUUCAACCUAAUUUUUUUAAUCUUAAUCUCAAUUAUUAAAAAGCAUGUUUAUUUUUUAUGUGAAAAUCACAUAAUAAAAACUUAUUAGUAAGCGUAGGGGAAACCAAACAUAUUAUAUUAUAUUUGAUGAAAAAUUUAGAGAGAUAAUAAAUAGAUUUUUUUUACCCAAAGAUUACUUGCGCCAUACCAUGCCUUGCUAUUGUGCGAUAAGAAUCACAUAUUUUAAAUAUUUUGUAUGGUACGUAUGACAACUCUAACGUAUUUGUGUAUUAAUGUAAAAUGUACUAAUGAGCAAUGUGAAAUGAAGACACUUUUAUCUGUCCUCUACCCUCCUUUUUUGAAUUCUUCCUUUUAUCUUAAACCUUUGCAUCUCAUUAUAUCUUUUCAAAAAUAUAAAUUUUAAAAUAAAAUACUAAUGUAAAAUAUGGAAGAGAAUUAACAAAAUAACUAUUUCAUUUUUAAUUUUCCUGUUUUACUCUUCACUCAACUGUUAGAAAAACAAAUCAAAAUAUUUAUAAAUAUUAUUAAUGAACAUGGAUGUAUCACAGUAUUAAUAAUUGUCUGUAAAUAUUUUUAUAAUUUAAAACCAUUUCUCUUUUGUUAAUAAAUAAUAUUUUUAAGAUUACUUUCAAUUUUGAUAACUCUCUUUUACAGUGGAAAUUAAACCAUUUUUUUUCUAAUUUUUUUCCUCUUUUUAGCAUAUCUCUAAUUUUAACGACGAAAAUCAAUAGACUUAGUAACUAGCUAUCAGUCAUAAAUCUGAAUUUUUUUAUAUUUUAUAAAUAUUCUAGUUUAUUUAACUAUAUUUAAAAAUACUCCUAUUUAAAAAUGCAUUUAAAUAAUAAAUAAAAAUAACAUUUUCUCUUUUAGCAUGUACCGCUAAAACAUUUUUUCUAUUUCUGUAAAUUACUUUUCCUUCUCGGACUUAUUUAUUUUUAUGAGCUCUCUCCCAAUUCUUGUUUCUCUUUAAUAAAUAAACUUCUACCCAAACUUUUCUUCUUCUCUCCAUAUUUUCUCUCAUUUACAACUUCUACCCAAAAUUGAAUCGCUGGUUGAAUUGAAAUGUAGAAUUAUGAACAUUUGUGAUCUCCAUAAAGCAUGAUAAUAUAAAUGAAAAUUGCAAAAAAUGGCCAAAAUUGGACUACAUUAUUAGACAUUUAAAUUUAAAUAAAUGCAAAAGUUAGGAUAUUUGAAUAAAUUGAGUACCUCAAUUUCAUUUUAACACUUUGUAAAAGUUGAUGGGUUAAGUUUUUAUAUUGAAAGGUUAGGGCGUUAUUGGAAGUAUAAUCAGAUUUCAUAAAUUGAUAAAAGAACAUAAUUAGGAGAAUUAAAUUGAGAUUAUGUAUAUAUAAGAUAGGGUAAUGAUCACAUGAAGUUAUAUAUUUGUUGGUACAAGGCGUGCAUUCCAUCAAGACCAUGUGAUAGGAUAGGACUUAAGCCAAACCUUUUGUAGUUGUCGAUAAAGCACUACUCACUACUUUUCAAAAAUGUGCAGCACCAAAAAUGGUCCCCCAAUUAAUUCUUAUAAUUAAAACAACAUCCUCUUCUUUUCUUUUUCUUAUAUUUCUUUAUAACAUGUUUUUUUUUUCUUUCUUUUUCUUUUUUUCCUUCCAUUUUUCCAAAUAUCUUACCGUUUCUUAUAUUUUAUUACUUUUUUAUUUUGAGAAUAAGUCUUUUAUCUUUUAAAAUAUUUUAAAAUUUUUAUUAAAAAAUAAUAUUUUUGAAAAACAUUUUCCUUUAGUUAAUCCAAUAACGGUCCCAAAUGGUUAUUACCUCCCAAAUAUUACUAAGGGUAUUAUAUUUUCAUCUAAUUACUAGUUAAAAGCUCAAUUUUCAAACUUCAUAAAUUUAACCCUAACAUAAUUACAAUGUAUAGUACCCGUAUUGAGAUUAAGUAUAAAGUUAAAUAAUAUUUAAGAGUGGGAGAAAAUAUUAUUUGUUGUUUGAUUUGAAUUUAGUUUUUGUUUCACUCUUUUAAGUUUUGAAAAGGUUAACAUUUUUACUAAAUCUUAGGUACAUAUAGAAACUAAAUAUAUUAGGUGGAACCAAAUAAAUAAUAGUUUAGUCCAAUCAAAAUUAAGAUUAAAUAGGUAAGAUUUUGAAACUUGUAUAAGAUCAAAGUUAAAAUUUUACAAUUUCAUGAUAAUUUUCAAACUCGCGAAUAAGAGAGAAAUUUAAGAUUAGCUUUCUUUAUUUGAGGAUGUGUUAGGUAAAUUUUCCUUUUAAAAUUAUCAAGUCGAGAGUAGUACAAUUAUCCGAGUCGAUGACGAUCGAAGCCACGUGGCCACAUAUGGUCCAUUACUUUAGCAUUCCAAUGGAGGAUGGUCGGUUGAAUUCCAGCAUCUUCCUUUUGUUUUUUUGUUUUCUUUUCUUUAUUUUUUUUUUUUCUUUUCUCUAAGUUAGACUCAACCCUUGAGCUACAUAUCAAGUUGGAUGCCCUGUGGAAAUAAAAAGCGAGGUUUUUUUUUUCUCUUUAAAAAAGAAAAACCAAUAUGCUGGAACUAGGUUUGAAGCUUCUUGUUCUAUCAUCAAUUUAGAAGAACAGUUGCUAAAAGCUCAAGAACAUACAAGUGGAUAUCAGUGCUUAUGCGUAAGUAAUUCUAAUUAUCUCUUUAUAGUGAUAUCUAAUCUUCAAUCAUUUUUAAAUUCAAUCUUACAAAACCCUCUUUUUCUCCCUUUUUCUCUUAACUUUCAGCUUCUGAUUUUGUCAAUUUACUCUUUUCUUCUGCUUUAUUACAAAGGAAAUAGGGCACACAGUUUUAGUUUUUCAACAGAUAAUUAGUUAAAUAAGUAGUGAAAAAGAUGAUAACUUUUAAGAAAAGCUUGAAGAAUAUUUGGGGUUUUUUUUUUUUUUCAUAAUUUAAUCACCAAAAGUUUUAGCUCCUUAUAUCAAACAAACCCUUUUUUUAUUUUUGAAGUAAAAUUUCAAAUUUCUUAUACCAAUUCUUGUAUCUUGAAUUACUUAAUUGUAGCUGUCAUUCGUUUUCAAGAAAUUUUGGAAUUCUUCAAGUGGUUAUGAUCUUGAUGUAAAUUAGGGUUUUUGAUUUGUACUUUGUCCAAUUUCUUCAAGUAAAAAAAAAUUGACACUAAAUUUGAGGGUUUUGUGUAUGAUGAUAUAUUAUUAAUUAAUUAUAUAUAUAUAUAUAUACUUUCUUGACAAAGCUAAUGCUAAUGCAUUGUCAAAUUUUUACACAUUAUUUAGCUGCAGACAAACAUGAUGAGAGACAUAAUAUGAUUAAAAAUUCUAAAGAAGAGAAUUCACCACCUCCAAAACUAGCAGCAGGUUCAUCAAGCUCAUCCGCGACGCCAUGGCUUAGGUUGAAGGAUCCAAGGAUUGUGCGCGUUUCGCGAGCUUUCGGAGGCAAAGAUCGACACAGCAAAGUUUGUACUAUAAGAGGACUGCGCGACAGGCGUGUAAGACUAUCAGUUUCCACCGCGAUUCAACUCUAUGAUCUUCAAGACAGGCUGGGGCUUAACCAGCCGAGCAAGGUUGUCGACUGGUUGCUGAACGCCGCCAAGGAUGAAAUCGACGAACUCCCUCCAUUACCAAUCCCGUCCGCAAGCCUCGGCCUUCACUACCAAUCAAUGAUACCAACAACAACAACAGUCGUACACCCCCAUAGAUCGGAGUUCAAAAUCAUUGACAAGGCCGGGGUCGAGGAUGAGACCGAACAGAAACAACACAAAUCCAAUAGUAAUCCUUCUCACCCUAAUUCUUCUUUCUCAGCCCUUUUGAAUAAUGUUUCUGCCCCUCCAUUUGGUUUUUAUUGGGAUCAUAAUCCUCCAUCAUCAUCAUCAACAACAACAAACAAUAAUCUUCCAUUUCUUACAUCUCAAGCUGGGGAUAAUAAUAACAACAAUAACCUUCAUACCUUCAAUCAUCUCAAUUUGUCUUUGCCUCCUUCCCCUUUGUCUCUCUCAACUGCCUCUCAGUUUUUGGAGUUCAAUCACUUGCACCAAAAUUUCUUCAUUAACAACAACAGCAACAACAAUAAUCCUUCUUUCCACCCAAAUGUUAGGCCUUUUCACUUUAGUAUGGCUACUAAAUUCCUUCCUCAUCAAGACAAGAAUAAUAACAAUGUAGAUCCUCCAAGUAAGGAUCAUGGAUUUGCGUCUCAUCAAUGAUUUUCUAUGAAAACAACCAAGAACUACCUCUUUGAAGCUUCCAACAAUUAGAGGAGAGAGAAUCAUAGCAAGAACUACUACAUUGGAAAUUAAAGGUAUUAUACUCUUGCUAAUUCUGAAAGGGGGAAAAAUCUCCCUUAUUGCAUUACAACAAUAUCUAUCAUCCUCACAUAUUAUAUAUUUGAACACUCGAAUUGCUAGUUUUGAUUUCUUUUCUUUUUCUUUUUGUUUGUUGAUCAUUAUUGUUAUUUAGAUUCUGGAUUGAGUUGAGUUGAAAUAAUAUAUAUAUAUAUAUAUUUAGUUUUAAGAAUACAAUAUUUAGUUUUGAAUUAUCUUUCAUCUGCUAUCUUAAACACUAUAAGUUAUUUUUUAUAUCAGUGGAAGACUUUUUUUAUGAACCUAAUUUGAUUGUUUUGGUGUUAAACUAGUCGAACUAUUAAUCAAAACCAACACAUGUGGGUGGGAUUAAAUGGUUCUAAGUUUCAUUUGGGUUAUUUGUUUUAAAUUUUUGUGAUUCAUUAUAUAUUAUUUGCUUGCUUAUUUUUCAAUUUUAUUUCCAACACAUGUGUGGGUAGGGUUACUUGGUUGGUUUUGAUUGAGCUGGUUCGUUCAUGAUUAGUUUUGUUUUGUUAAACAUCCUUAAUUUUAGCUUAAUAUAUGAUUCUUUUAGAACAUAAGAGAUUGAAAUAUAUAUAUUUACUAUCAUCCAAACAAUAGUACAACAAUAUAAUUGUGAUCCAAACAAUGUUUGUAUCUGAAGUUUUCAAAAUUUUGAAAAUAACUUUUAUGCUUUUAUUGUAUUUAGAUUUUGAAUUUUAGAUUAUAAGAUGUAAAAUUAUAUUAAAUAGAGAUGUAAAAAUGUUCAUAAAAAAAUAUUUGAUUAGACUAUUUUCAAAUAUAGCAAAUGAUGAAUUACAGAAAAUUUUCAGAUUCUAUCAAUAGAUAUUGAUAGAGACGGAUAUAUUUCAAAAUUUUGUAAAUAUUUUAAUUUAUUUUGUUAUUUUAAAAAAUACCCAUCUCUUAAUCUAUCGUGGUCUAUCACAAAUAAAUUGUUAUAGUUACUAUAUUUUCAUAAGUUUUUUCAUUUAAUAUAAUUUUCUUAUUUUAUGUAAAUAUUUUUAGAAGUUUUGUUAGGUUACAUAUAGUUACAAAAAUAAUAAUUAUAGAACUUUUUUAACAUAAAUAAAUUAAUAAUAUUUUCUUAUCACUAAUAUUUAGUGGUAAUUACAACUAGUUUUUGUUAUUAAAAAAAACCAACACAGUUAUAUGAUUUAUAAAUAUAGUACAUAUUUUAAAUAAUUUUUAAAUAAAAAAUCCAGAUUCUAAAUUUGUUGUCAAACACAUAUUUCAAACAUCACAUAAAAAUUUGUUUUCAAUUCAUUAUUUUUUGAAAAAAAUAUUUUUAGAUGUCUUAUCAAAUAGACUCUAUUAUUUAGUUAGGAAAAAUGAAAAAACUGGAAAAAAAAUUAUAAAAAAAUAAUCACACUUCUCCAAAAUCAAAUAGCUAAAACAUAGGGCUAUUUAAUUCUAAUUUAGAAUUUUUAGAAAAAAAUAUUAUAAAUAGUUAAAUUGAUGAAAAUAUUUUUAAAAUAGCAAAAUUUUAUAUUUCAUCCGUAAUAGAUACUGAAAUAUUAUAUCUAUUAGUGUCUAUCAAUAUACUUAUAAUAGACACUGAUAGAAGGUCUAUCAGACACUAAAAAAAAGUUUCUAAAGUCUUUUUCGUUAAUAUAAUCUAAAAUUUUACUUUACUUUUUAAAUAUUUUGGUCCAUUUUGCUUUAUUAAAUACAAUAGAUAGGGAAGAUACUAACCACUACUAUAUAUAUUAUUUAAUAUUGAACUUAUAAAAAAAAAUUCAAAGAUUAUUUUCAAUUAUAACAUAGUGAACCAAAAUAUUUGUUAAAUAUAACAAAAUAUCAUAGUCUAUCUGUAAUAGAUUGUAAUAGACCAAUAUAUAGUUUACUAUAUGUGAGUUGUAUAUCAUAAUAGACACACACAUUAGUUUAUUUUAGUAUAUCGUGGUUUAUCAUAAAUAAAUUAUGAUAGUUUACUAUAUCAGUACAUAUUUUAUGAAGUUUUGUCAUUUAAAAUAAUUUUCCAGAAAUUCAACGUCAACCAUAAAAUUUGUGUUAAAAUUUGGUAUCUAGUUGUAAGAUUAAAAUUAUAUAUUUAAUAUUUUUUUUAAAAAUAUAUUUUUUAAUAUUUAAGAAAUUAAAAGUAUUAGAUUUGGAAAUUUGGGUAGUGGGUGACCAUUUGAGUUUAUGGAUUUGUCAUAUUGUUACACACUUUUUCCAUUUUGCAGAUAAGACACAAAAACUUCAACUCCAAGUGAUACUUCUAAUACAUUUGAUAUACACACAUGAUACAUCUGAUACAUCUAAUAAACUUAAUAUAUAUUUGAUAUACACUUGAUACACAUAUUUAUAUACAUAAAUGUUGAAAAUAACAAAAUUUUAAAAAUUUUAAAUUUAAUGUCAAUUAAGUAAAUAUGUUUAAUGUUAUUUAAGUAAAUAAAACAAUUUAACAUUUUUAUAAAUAAGUUGAUGUUUAUCAAGUUAAAGGUAAAGAAUGUGAACAUUUCUUUAGAAAUGUUUGGGACAAGGAGCGAGUCAUUAUAUUCCUAGAUUAUUAUAGUUUGUGUUUAAGAUGUAUAUUAUUUUAGUCUUGGUUAUAGUAGUAUGUAUUUGUGGUUUAUAUUUUUUCUUUUUCUAAUCCUUUAACAAAAAUUCAAAAUCUUUUAUCAUGCAUAAAUCCAAACAUUCUUCAAGUGUGUAUAAAGAGUAUAUAUAUAUCCAAGUAUUUCAAGUGUGUACCAAAUGUAUAUUAUGUGUAUGAUCAAGUGUGUAUCAAAGUGUAUAGUAAAUGUAUACCAAGUGUAUAUAAAGUGUAUUGACUUCCUAUUAGAUGGGUAUCAAAUAUGUAUCACAAAAGUAUCAAGAGUAUUAAAAUAGAUAUUGGUAGUGUAUCAAGUGUGUAUUAGUGAUGCAUUGAGUGUGUACCAUUGAUGCAUUAAUGUAUACUAUGUAUAUGAGAUGUAUAAUGUGUAUAUCAAAUAUAUUACAUGUUAGACCUUUUUUUUUUUCAAAAGUAAAUAAGUUUGUGUAUGGACUAAGUUUUUUAACUUAUUUUCCUCCAUAGCUAAGAAGCCUUUCAUUUAGUUAUUAUUUUUCUCUUCUUUAAGCAUUCACAUCUAAUAUAUAAUUUGAACGGUUUACAAUAAUUUACAUUUUUUCUUUUGUCUUUAGUCUUUUUCACUUCAAUUUAUUUCAUGGAAGCCAUAGGACGCAUAUAAACGCUUCAAACUAAUAGAAUAUAAUAAUAGUAGCCAAAGAAAUAAAUCGUUCGAGAAAUAAACUAUAAAUAAAAAUGAAUCUUCUAAAUUUUCCCUUUUCUCUCUAAUACUUCAUAAAGUUAUAAAAUGCUAAUUGCGAUUGUGAGCAAUAACCCUUUUCAAUUCUUCUUUGUCUAUUUUGAUUUCAAUCAUUCAUAAUAUAAUUAUGUUAGUUUUAGUUUAAAGAUAUUAAAACAUGUAUCGAGUAUGUUUGAAAAAAAAAAUACACAUCAUUCAAUUAAUAUAGUGCUUGUAGUAUCAAUCUUAAAAUCAGACAAUAUUCAAUUUUUCUUGUUCGUGUGUGAGAGUUAAAGUUAAAUCUACAAACAUAUACCUCUAAAUUUCUUGUAUUGUUAUAUACUUUGUUUUUUCCAAUAAUUUUAAAAAUUAAAUGGUCAAAUUUUAAAAACUAAAAUAAAAUAGUUUUUAAUUUGAUUGGCUUAAUUUGAUUGGCUAUAUAUGCACUAGAAUUUUCAUUUUCUUUGAUACAUACAUUGACUAGAGUUUGAAAGGAAUCUUUGCAUAUUGAUUUCAGAUCGGCAUGGGCAACUGGAAAUACAGGAAAAACACCACACAAAGCAAGCCAUAGAGUAUAAACUGUUAUAGGACAUGAAGUAUUGAGGAUCAAGAUAUCAAAUCUCACUGUCCACAUAAAUAUUUAAGAAUUAAAUUUAGUAAAAAUUCCAUGAAAAUAUUUAAUUCGAAUGAUAUUUCUGAAACAAAUUUAAAUUAACAAGUAAAUAUUGUAUGAACUUAUAAAAGCUAACAUGUUUAUUAUUUAUUUUAAAUAUACAUUAAUAACCUUUUACUGCUUAUUUUUUAUAUUUAGUUGAAUUUUUUACGUUCAGUUUUCUCCUCACAUCAGUAUUAUAUUAUAUAUUUAGUUGAAGUUUUCUACAUUCAAUUUACUCCUCAUAUCAAUAAUAACUUUAUACGAAUUUGAAAAUAAAUAAUAUGGUAGUAAUUAAUAACUGACGGAAUGAAAGAGAAAUUAAGAUAAAACUAAAAUACCUAAAAAAAGAUGAAAAAGAAAGGGAAAGAAAGAUAGAAAUGAAGAAAAGCUGGCGAGUUCAGAACGAAGAAGACAGAUCGAUCGGGGACUGAAAAUUACUGGAAAGCACAAGAUCCAACGAGAUAAUGUAACAGAUAGUAAAAACUUCGAUCAGAACCAAACGGGUUUCUUUGGUUUAUUUUAUAGUUUGAUGGGGUAACUUUUAUGUUCUUUUUCCUAAAUUUUCUUCAACAACUUACUCUUUCUUCUGUUUCCUUUGGUUUUAGUUUCCUUUUUCUUGAAAACAACAUAAAAUAGUAAUAAACACGAUCACGUAGUACUAGUUUAAAGAGCUAGAGAGUGGAAAUUUUAGGAUACUUCAAAUAUCACGACCCCUCUCAAUUAUAUAAAAAUAGAUUUCACAACAGUUAUUUGCUAAUUAAUUUCUUGGAUCAUUCAAAAUUGUUACUAAAUGUUUUGAAUUGUCGGAUUUUUAUUUCACUAUUAACCCAAGAAUGUGUUAAGGUACAACACUUAGGCAUAAUCUUUACCCUAGCAUCGAAAUUUGUCCUAAAUCCUCGUAGUUAAUUAGUCAUUUAUUAAAUAUGUCAUAGAAACUAUCAAUUAUUGUAAAAAGUCCAAGGUAUUGAUAAAUAUAGUUUUAAACACUAUAUGUCGUUGACAUACAAAUAUAUCAUGUUCAAAUAAUUAACCUAAAGGGGUCUUGCUACUGCAGAUUUAGUUAGUCUUGAAACACACAAAUUUUGAUUUCUUGAUGGUUAUGACAAAAAACCAUUAUGAAAAAUAUCUUUAUUGAUACAAUAAAAGUAGAUAUUUAUCUUAAAACAUUUCUUGAUGGGUAAUGCCCAUAAAAAAAUAUAUUCACAUGACGACCAUGACUUCAUUUUUUGAUAGACACUACAAAUUUGGUCUAUCUUGACGCACACAAAUUUUGAUUAAUUGAUAGUCGUGGCAAAAAACUGUAAAGAAAAAUAUAUUUUGUACUCUAUAAAAAAAAAUGUAUUUACAUGUCAUUGGUUAUUUCAAUAUAAUGUGAGACUUUCAACAUCCCCUCUCAAGAUGGUGUCUCUUUAGAUUGGUAUCUUGAUUGCAAAUAGGUGUUUGGGUUUAAUGGGCUUUGAUACCAUGUUUGAUAGCAUGAGGUUCCAUCUCAAAACCAAUUGACAAUUAGAGAAUUAGUAGCCCAUCAAAUAAUGGACCUUUAACAUCAUCGAAAGGUCCAAAACAAAAUCAAACUGGUUUUGUUUUUCAUUUUUCCAUAGGAACUGUUGAAGGAAAACAAUUUUAUUAUACACGACUCAUCAAGAAAAGCCCUACCUAAUCUAAAAUAAGUUUGACAUACAAUUGAAAAUUUGGUCCUUCGUUUCUUGAUGGGUAUAGAUUUAUACACUAAACGAAUAAGGUUGACUAUUUGAUCCUAGUGGCACUAUAGCUACGACCUAUACUUUCACUACUACAAAAUCUGUUUUACUUGACAUUAGCAACUUUUCACAAGAAGAAAUCUGGACUUUAGUGUCGGGUGAAAAAAUUGAAAAUUUGUUUUUAAUGUUGUUUUUGAAAAGACGAAUCAUUAAUGUGGGUUUAAAAUUGUCAUUAAUGAUAAAAGUUUUAUGUUGUUUUUAAACCGACAUUAAUGAUUCGUCUAUUUUUUAUUUUUAUUUAUUUUUUUAUUUUGUAAAAACCGACAUUAAGGAAAACAAAUCUAAAUCCCUAAUCCUCUCUUCAACCCAUAAGUUCUCGCUCAACCCUCUCCUUGACAUCGGCAACUGACUGCAACUGAUAGAAACCCAGGACAAGAGCAUUUCAGCAACCCACAUUUCGACAAAAAUGUGAGAUCUUUUGAAGAACCCAUUGAAGAACUUGAACGCCAUGCUCAAGCUUAACCCAUAUGCUAAGACUGGUAGAAGAAUGACUCUUUUGGCAGAGAAGCAACGUGUUAAGGCUAAAAAGGUGAAACUCGACAAGAAGAGGAAUUUGACUACAAAGGUAUACUUUUUUAUGUUCUUUGUGAGAUCUUUUGGCAAUUGUUGUUUACAUUCUUUGGGGUUUGGUUUUCAUUAUUUGCACUAUGGUUUAUUUUGAUUAGUCAUUUACUUGCAUAAUUACAUUCUAUUUGAUUUUUUGUAUGAGGUUCUCUGUUAUGGGGUCUAUUGUUGGUAAGAUUUGUGUCUAAUUAUCCAUUUUUAUGCUUACUGUUGACUCUUUUCUUUGUACUUCCAUUUUCUUGUACUCUAAAGUUAUGUGUUGAACUCAGUUUUAGGUAAGUGGAGUUCUAUUUGAAGAGUCGGUUUGUUGAUUGUUAGCCUGAAAUAUGAUAGAGAUGUAUUUAAGAAUGAUAUGCACCUACAAUUUGGUAUAAUUUAUUAAGGUAACUUUGUGUAACAUGAUCAUUAUUCUCUUUAGAAAUGAUAAAACAGGAACAUACAGGUGCCAGUUGAACUAAGCUCAUCUUGGCAAUAUUUUGAGUUUUGAGUCUUCUUAUUUCAUCUAUGUCUCAAACACAAACAUAUUAGUUUAAAAAGUAGUUUUAGGAGAAACACUAUAAGAGUAGUUCUUGAAUUCAUUUUGUUUACAAAAGGAGUUGUCGUAGGAAUCAGCUUCUUCAACUCCAUACUAAAAGAACUUCAAGUUUGAUCUUUUAAAACUGUAAAAGAACUUCCCUGAAUUCAUUUCUCUAUAAGUUUCUAUAACUGACAUUUAGACUAGUUAGAAAAAUGAAAUUUGUUGUUAUAGAUAAUUCAAAUUGUCCCUUUUUCUUUCAGUUAUGAGUUUGAUUAAUGUUUUAUAUUUCUUCAUUUUUUUCAAAUGAAAAGUUAAGUCGUUCUUACCCAUUGACUAUUCGUAACCAUUGACUUGCCAGAUGGGCACAAACAUCAAGUAGGAUAUUCAUAACCAUUAACUUGCCUGAUGUUUAGGAUCUGAAGCUUAAUUAAGUUGGAGCAAGGGGAAGUUUUGCUUUUCUGCAGUUAGUGGAGCAGAGAAGAUUCCAUAUGAAGUUGAUAUUGAUCUACAUGAUAAAGUUGACAUAAAUGUACAUUAAGAAUUUUAUUGUCAUUUUGCUUUGCACUCUUCAUUUUUUGUUGUUCUGAUGAAUAUUAAUGUCUAAUUAUUGAAACACAACUGUGGCAGGAGAGCAAGGCUAGUGUUGGCAUGUGAAAACAUAUGGUAUUUGAUAGAAAAAGGUUGAAAAGAAGUGGUGGAGUAGAUUGUUGAAGCAAGAGGGGAAACCUCCUGUGUUUGUCAAAAAAAAUUCAUUUAUUGGGACGAAUGGAUAAAUGAAGAUGAGAAAAAAAGGAGAUAAUUGUGAGUUGCUUUAACUUUUAAGAAUAUUUUCUUUUGGGAGAGUAUGUUUUCUCUUUUAUGUUUAGUUUAAGAAUUGUUGCGUUUAUGUAGUAGCAAUGAGUAGUGGUUCAUUAUUUGAUGAUGAUGUUGGACAUUGAUUCUGCCCUUAUGAAGUAUGUUAUUUAGUUAGCAUUUCGUCUUUAUUGUUUUUCCUUAAUUUUGUUUAAUUUAGUUUCAAACCUGAUGAUUUUGGAGGCGAUUUUAAUAAGGGGAUGAAAAGUGAAGCUUUACCACUUACAGUUUCAUUGGUUUCUUUUUUUGUUAAAAUAAUUUGCCUUACUCAUUAGGUUGAGUUAUUUUAAUUAUUUGCUUUUAUCUUUACCGUUUGCUUUGAUGAUAUGAUUUUGGUAUGAAAAUGGUUGAUUUUGAUAUUGUUGGUAGAAUAAUUGAAGUCAUAUGAGUUGAAAGCUAAGCGAUUGUGGUGAUAGCUAGGCAAUCGUUGAAGAUUGAAGACUGGAAAGACGUUUAGGAUUUUUUUAUUUAAGUCUUAUAUUAGGAUAUUGUUUCAUGUAUUAUCGUAGAAGGUAUAUACAAUCACAAAUUUAAGACUUCAUUUUAUUUAUACAAACGUAACAGAAAAAUAUUGUAGUUUCUAAAAUAAUAUUAAUUUUAUUAAUUUGUUGGUGUGAAAAAAAUAUAUUUAUCUACGCGUACCCAAUGUUGGUUUAUAAAAAAAUGGACAAUAAUGCAACAAUUAAAUAAAAAUAGAUCAAAAAACAAAACUUUAAUGUCGGUUUUAAAAAAUAAUUUAUAAAAAUAGAUCAAAAAACAAGACUUUAAUGUCGGUUUUAAAACGACAUCAAAGGCCAACCGACACUAAAGAUCUUCAAUAACACCAUAAAAAAUAUCGGUUUAAAAAUGACAUUAAGGGUCUUUAAUGUCGUCUUUAAAUCGACAUUAUUGAGGCCUUUAGUGUCAUUUUUAAACCGACAUCAAACUAGAAACGACAUUAAAGGCCUUUAAUAACGCUAGCAUAUAUGUCGGUUGCCAACUGACACUAAAGGUCAUUAAUGUCGGUUUUAAACUGACAUUAAAGGCAAGGUUUCUUCUAGUGUUUACAUCCUUGACGUUUUGGUUAUAAAAAAAAGUAUAAAACGUUAAGUAUUGACCAUUUAAAAGAAAAAACGUCAAGUACAGUGGAGUUUUCACGAAAUUUUUUAAAACUAUUUAACAUUAGCUUUUACUUGACAUUUUAUUCGCGUCAAGCAUAGUGAACAUUUACUUUAUGCAAACAAAAAGUCAAGUAGUUUUAAAAAGUUGAGUUUUCACGGAAUUUUUCGAACUAUUUUAUGUUGGUUUUUACUUGACAUUUGUUUUUGCGUCAAGAAUCGUUAACAUUUACUUGACGCGGAAAUAACAUUAAGUAUAUUUUACAUUUUUAUUUGACACUUUAAAAUGUCAUAGUAUCAAAAUAGUCAAGUGGUAUGUACAUUUUUUAAAAGUUUUUCAGUGUGGAACCUUUUUUUAUGUUUAAAUAUUUUCAAGUGCUAUGUACUUUUACUUGAUGUCUUAAAAAUGUCAAGUAAUAUAUGUUAAAUUCUUGACAUUUAUUUGCCGUUUGAAAACCGUCAAGAACACUAGAAAAAUAUAAAUAAUACUUUAAUAUUAAAAAUUUAGCUCUCCAAAAUUAAUUUCUCAUUUUUGGUGUUGUUGAAUGUUUGAAUUAUUAUUAUUUAAAAAUUUUCUGGUAUUAUUUUUAAAAAAAUGUUUAAGUAAUACCAACUUUUAAAUAAUACCAAAAAGAUGAAAUGAAAUGAAAAAACUCUCGACCCUGUAGAUAUACUAACAAAUAAAUUUGUUUUAUUUUGUAUUAAAUAAUAUUAUUUUAUUUUAUUUUAAUAGAAUAAAAAUUUUAAAAAUUUUAUGUUAAACAUUAAACAUACUCAACAAACAUUUAUUUUAAAUGUUGGAUGCAAAACUCAAAAUUUUAGUUUUAUUUUAUUUUAAAUAAAACUCAACAAUCGGACAAAUCACUACCUCGUCUCCCCUAAAACCCUAAGCCUUGUCGUCUCAGCCAAUGCACUCUCAAUUGACAUUUUCAUCUCUCUUUGUUGCACUCUCAAUCGCCAUCUCCAUUUCUCUUUUGGUUCCUCUCAGUCAUCGUCUCCAUCUUUGCACUCAUAUCGUCUCUUGUUGUCGGGGUCGUGUAUGGUGAGAAAGAGGACACAACUUUGCAUGUAAAAGUAAAUUUUAUCUUUCUACUGCCUUUAUCGUUCCCUAAUCUACUUCCUCUAUAGAAUGGUUUUACAAAGAAAAAUACGAAAGAAAGAUUUCAAGAUUUUCUCUCUUGUCUGUUUGGUUUUGGCUUUCUUGAAGUAUGGUUUUUAUGGAAGAUUAUUUUAGAUUUUCUUUACUCAAGAUUAUGAGAUGUUGAAGAUGAGCAGAGGAAGAAGGAGAAAAAGAGACACACAAGAAUUUUAAGUGGUUCGACAAAUAUACCUACGUCCACUAUCCUUUGAGAGUAAGCUUUUGUUAUUCAGUCUAUUUUCUUCAAAAUGAUACAAGCUAUUUAUAUCUUCUACUCUUAAACACUAGUUAAGUCUCUAGUUAAAGAAGAAGAUAAAAGAAGUUAUAACUAACAAAUUUCAGUUAGAUUUCUUUACAAAAAAAAAGAGGAUAAACUAUUUUAGUUAAGAUUUCCACAAAUCUUCACCUUAAAAGACGUAGUGUGCAAAUUUGUGUGUGUCUUGACUCCCAAGCUUUGAUGCAGUCACUCCUUUUUGAGUUCCAGGAACCCGAUUGUUUGAAGACUUGUGAUUAGGGAAUGUUUUCCAUGUACUUAACAUGGUUGGGAUCUCAUGGAUUUGGAUAGUUAGUAGCUGAUAGUUUAAGGUGUUGUGCAAGAGGAAUAACUACUUGCUUAGCAUCUAACAUAUUAAACCUUUUAAGUACCUUAUAACAGUAGUUACUUUGAUCUAUUGUCAUAAUCUACUUUUUUCUUUCUCUUGUGAUGUUGAUGCCUAGAAUUCUCUUACAUUUUUCAAGUUUCUUCAUAUCAAAUUCUUCCUUCAAGGUUGUCUUUACUCUUUUAAUAUUCAAUUUAGAUUUUUCUGCAAGUAACAUAUCAUCUACAUACAAGAGUAAAUAAACAUUAGAAGAAUAGGAAUUUGAAUUUAUAAAUGCACAACUAUCAUAUAAAAACUUUUAUUAAAAUCAAGUUUAGAGAUGAAAUAAUCAAACCUUUUGUACCAACACUUUGAUGAUUGUUUUAGACCAUACAUGGAUUUUUUAAGAUAACAUACCUGGUCUUCUUUAUCUUUUUCAAUGUAUCCUUGUGGAUGGCUCAUGUAUAUGUAUUUUGUCAAAUCACCAUGUAAGAAUGUUGUUUUAACAUCAAGUUCAAGUUCUAAGUCUUCUUGAACCACUAAUGAAAAAAUCAUUCUUAUGGAGGUUUGUUUAACAACCGAUGAGAAUAUUUCGCUGUAGUCAAUUCCCUCCCUUUGUGUAAAGCCUUUGGCAACAAGCCUAGCUUUAUAUCUAGGAGGUUGAAUACUGGGGACUCCUUCUUUAAGUUUAUUCUAAUCAAUUUGCAAGAUAUGGUCUUACAUUUUCUAGGCAGCGUUACUAAGGUCCAUGUAGUAUUGAUAAUGAGAGAUUCCAUUUCAUUAUUCAUGACAUUUAUCCAAUGUCUAGGAUUAAGGCAGCUCACUGCCUCAUCAAAUGUUUUUGGUUCAUCACAUUGUCACACUUCACCGAAGUAUCUGCUUGUUCGGUCCAAGAUAUGGCGUGAAGUCAACCGACAUUGCUCUUUUUCUGAACAACAUUAGUUGACCCUAACUACUAAUCUUUUACAAUGUUAAACAACUUAGUAAUUUAAGACUUAUGCAGCGAAAAUUAAGAUAAACAAACUUAAACAAACUUCUUAUAUUUUUAAAAGUAGUCGAGGCUAGAUGCCAUUAAUUACAAACUAUACUUAUAGACCAAACAAAAAUUAAACAUCUGUCUUAACCUUAUGGAAAAUUAUGUACAUGAUAAUCUUUAACUAAAACUAAUCCUCAGUAACUAAACUAUUCACAACUUUUACACAGCAGACUUGGAGACAACGAUCAGGCUUGCGGAUCACAACCUCUACCUGGAAAGUGGAAAAAACAUUUGGAAAGGGUAAGAUAAAAUAGCCUAGUGAGUGAUGGUUUUAUUAAAGCAUUCUUUCUAAAAAAAUUAUUUUUAAACUUCGUCUUUAGUAUAAUUAAAUCAAUUCACGUGCUAUACCAUAUGAACACAAGGUGAAUCCUCUUACGGCCCUCAUCUUGUUAUAUGAUAUUUAUGAGGCAGAAUCCAGGCAUUAGUAGUGCCCCAUCUUGUUAUAACUACAAUGUGGUGAGUAACCUACAAAUAUCAUAUUUGUAGAACCCUCUUCUCAUAAAUCUAUUCCAUUGUUAGCAUACAUAGGUAUCUACUAAAUAUCUCUAUCAUAGGAACCUUUGUGCACAAGCCAAGUCCCCCGAAGGGUUGUUAUAUAUAUACCUCGUACAAUAUAGUCCAAAACAUUCUAAAGUCAUUCUUUACUUAAAUACUUAUCGUAAAAUAUACUUAACAAACAUUUUGAAUCUCAUGCUUCAGAAACAUUUUGCUAAAUCAGUAAACUCAAGUAAUUCAUACAUCAAAGCAUGCUUAAAACAUUUGAUAGAUAAUUAGAUUAAAAAAUCAACUUGAAAUUCAUUUUUUCACUCACUAAUAGUAGUUUAGACCCUUGGUCUAUAAAUUUGUCAGAUCUCCUAUUGACCUGAAAUAACGAAAAAUAAUUCCAUUUAAGCUUCUAUUUUCAUAAAAAUAUCAGAACUUGACAUAAAAUUUCUUAAAAUAUCAAAAAACAGCCCAAUUAAGCCAACAACUCAUAACGCACUCACUCUGAGUAGGUAAAGUACAUCAUUUUUUCUUUUGGUAAUAUCAUUUUCAAGAAUAAUUGGAAUUAUACCACCCAUGAAAACACAAAUAUAUAUAUAUAUCAAAAGUAAUUUUCAAAAACUUGUUUUUAUAAAGUAUUAACAUGCAAAAUGCAGGUAAAUAAUUCACCAAAAGCCAACAACUCAUAAUGCACUCACUCUUAGUAGGUUAGGUGUCAUCACCAUGAGCUUACACAUAGUUUAUUAAGAGUUGGUGAGAUUAUCUAACUUUUUCCAGUAACUUAAGUCAAGGGACAUUUUGAUCUUUUUCUUAUUCAAGUUAAAAGUCAACAUUUUGAAUUUUUACCAUUUUGUCCGUCUUGAUUAAUUUCGAUCUUUCAAGCAUGAAUACGCAUUUACUUUUUUUAAAUUCAAACCACAUUUAAAUACAUUGCUGGUCAAAGUUUGACUUUUUAAAAACAACUUUAGUUAUCUAACAAGGACAAUUCUCUUAGAAACUUUUUCUCUGUGGUAGCAACAUUUGCUCCUACUUCCUUCCUUUUAUAAUGGUAAGGUUUACAAAUUGCUAGAACUCAUAAGCUUUCGGACUUCUUUGGUGAGCUUUUGAGAUAGGAUCAUCCCUCUGUUAAAACAAAUCUUUGGUCAUCUACUAGUAUUGAAUUUUGUGUCAUGUAAUUGUCGCCACUAAGACUUUCAAAAGCUAAAAGGUUUUCUAUUGAGUUAUUAAUGCUAAAAAAUAAAACAUAUUCUAUUUAGUGAAAAACUAUAAUCGUUUAGGAACCAAUCUAGUUUAGCAAAUUUUAAUAUUAUACCCAUCAUUAUUAUGUGUUGUAAUGAUAUUUCAAAGGUUUACAAUAACCUCUACCGAGGGAUAGUCAAUUACUCAUCCUUUGAAUUAAGACAAUCUUAAUUAGAUGUUAACUCUUGAAUAUCUCAUAUUCAUAUAGUACUUAGUUAUCGCUACUUUGGUCGAGAAUGUACUAAUUAACUCCUUAGUAAUUCUUGUAAGUGUAACCCACCAUUUUUUUCUAUCUUAGAUAUAAGAAUAAAUCUACUCAUGAAAGUGAAAAGUCAAUAUGAAACCGAUCUAAGAGAGCCUAUCCACAAUUGGAGUUCUUAGUGUUUUCAAUCCUCUAAUACAACCCUCUUAAAAGUAAAUGUCACUUCAUGGGAGAUAAUAGGAUUAUAUUUGAAUUAAAAUUUAUUAUAUAAAUUUAAUUUUGAAUAUGAUUCAAAAUUAAUUUAUGAGAGAUAAAAUAUUUGAAUGAGUUCAAAUAUUAAUUUAAUGUGCAUUGGAUUCAUAUUAAAAUUAUUGGUUAUGGGAAAAAUUUAUAUUUGAAUAUGAUUUUUUAAAAUUAAUAGAACCUCGUGAUGCUCUCUUACUCCCUCAAGGAAACAAAGUUAUAAAUAUGCAAAAGAAAACAUUUUUUCUUCAACCUAUGCUUUUGCCUCUCUGCAAAAAUAGUUUCUCUCUAAACCUUUUCCAUCCCAAUUGGUUUUCACAAAUCAAUCUCGUCCUAGAGGAUAGGGGUAUUAAAAAAUAUUGGUAACUCGAUUAACCCAGCUUAUCCAACCCAAACUGUAAGGGUUGGGUUGGAUUAAAAAAAUAGAAAAAUGGAAUUUUGAGCUGGGUAGCCGGGUUGGACUGAUGAGGUCGGGUUGACCCAACCCGACCCGGUUAUACAUUAUAUAUAUAUAUAUAUAUAUAUAAAUAAAUAUAUAAAAACCUUGAUUUAAGUAAUAAAAGCUUAAAUUCUAUUACUCCUUUUGUGUAAAGCAUUUAUAUUGCCUAAGUCUGACAUUGAGUUACAAUUAAGUUUAAGAAGCCAGACGAUUAAAUAAAGCUUAAGGACCUCAAGCUAAGUGUUUUUGACAUUUAACCCGUUAAAAAUGCUCAAAGUCAUGUCGUGUCUCGCACAACUUAUAAGGACGUGUGUGAGGCAAGGUGUGACUCCACUAAUCUCGAUCAAUUCAACUGACCAAUUGAAAUCACAAUUCAAAAAUUUGAAAUUGAAAUUUUAUUUAAAUAUAAUUUCUCUCUCGUUACCAAGUUGGUAGUUAAUUAUAUCAAAUAUGUAAACCCCGAUUCCAAAAUCUUAACGAAUUUUUUUAAGGAUUUCAAAGAUGUAUCUUGGUAAAAAUUAGGAAAUUUUUUUUAUACCGAGAUCUUAAGUAUUUAUGGUCGAAUUAAAGAGUCCGUAAAAACAAGUAUAGUGAUUUUGGGCUAAAAAGAAAUUUUACUUCAAGACUUGGUUAAAAGGUCAUUUGAGCGAUAUUUUUCAAAUAUCAUAGAAAGCACGUAGUUAUAGGAAUACCUUAGUUGGAGUGCCAUGGAAACUUAAGAAAAAGAAGAAGGUCAAAGAAGAGGGCUAGAAGACAAGAAGGAUGGGCAAGACAUGAAAAGAGAAUAAGGAAGCCAAAUAAAGAGGCUUAAGCAUAACAUGAAAGGAUGUUUUGUUGUUAUUAAGUAGGAGAUGGAGAAUAUAAAAAUAACCUAAGACAAGCCUAGGAUAGACUAGGUAAGGGUGUCAAGACCUGGGGAUGCAUACAUAAAGUGGAUGAUAGAUCUGAAUUUCAAGUCAUGCAACCUUUCUAUAAUUAGGGAUGCUUUGAAGGGAGCAUCACAUCCGCUCAUGCAAUUUACUUGUUUCUAUUUACUAUACCUCAUAAAUUAAGUCUAGUUGGAGUCUUGGGCUGUCAGACAAAUUGGAGCAAAGAAGGUUUGAGUUUGAGUUGAGAAAAAGGGAGAAAUGUUAGUUUUUAGAGCAAUAUAAACAAUGUGCACUUCUGGAGGGCUACAGAGCACAUCGUUUACAAUUUGAAGCUGAAAUUUUGAGGUAAGAUACUUAUAACAUUUCUAAGAAACUUUGUAGAAGGAAGUUUUAUCAUUUAGGUUUGGGAUAUUGACAUAUUAACCUCCAAAUUUGAAAGAAGGAUUCUGGUCGAGAACCAAGUUUCUGGGCAUGACACAAAGAGGCCAAGCAACAGGGGCUACUAGGAGUGUAAAAAUAUGGGUUGAACCCUACACCCGAACCACCUAACCCAUAUUAUAUGGGUUGGGUUAGGGUUAGGGUUAAAAUGUGGGUUGGAUUGGGUUAAAAAAACUGAACUUUUUCGAGUUGGGUUGGGUCUUGUGUUGGAGGGUUAAAAAAAUCAGUUCAACCCAACCCGAAUUAAUAUAAUAUAUAUAUAUAUAUAUAUAUAUAUAUAUAUAUAUAUAUAUAUAUAUAUAUAUAUAUAUAUAUUAUAUAUAUAUAUAUAUAUAUAUAUAUAUAUUAUUUAAUAAAAUAAAACUUUAAAAAUUAGGUCUUCCUCUUCUUCUACACUUUCACGCACGGAGUAUCAUUCGUGCUGCAUCCCUUCACUCUCUUUUCACUAUUUUGAAUUUUACAAGCAUUGGAAAGUAGAAACAAAAAAAAAAAAAAAAAAAAAACAAUACAACCCUAAACUCAACCCAUAUUUUACUAGGAUUGGAAACUAAAUUCAAGUUAUUUAAGUUGUCAACCCAAAUAACCCAAAAAUAUGAGUUGGGUGGAGAAUGUCUCCCAACCCAAUCCGAUUACACCCCUAGAGUUGAGUGAUUUAUUUUGGAGGUUGUACGAGUUUCCAAGGUGAAAGUCAAAUGACGACGAAGUCUUCGAGAGUUGUUCUUCUUCGAUUCCUUUUAUUCUCUUCACUAUUAUGCUUGAUAAGGCAGAUGAGAAUAUGUCUUUUAAAGCAACGAGUGGCUAAUAAUUUCUCUAGUUUUAGAAUGCUAAUGAAAUUACUUAUGAAUUUGAAUUAAUAUUGUGAUGCUUUGAUGAAAAUGGUUGAACUCUAUGCUUUUCAAUAUUAUCAUAUAUGCUUAAUUAUUAUUUAUUAUUGAAUGACCAUCAAUAAUUGUUAAAUGGAAUGUUAAAUUGAAAGAUUGGAUGUUUAAUCUAUCAUGGAAAUAGUGAUGAUAAUAGUAAAAGUUGAUCAUGCAUUUUAAGAAUUUAGUAAUCAUUAAGAAUGUAGGAGAAAAGAUUAUUUUUGAAAAAGAAAUGAAGAGGAGUGAGUGAGAGGAAGGAAGAGAAAUGAAGAAGAGAGUGAGGCGGAGGAAGGGGAGAAAGAAUGUAACCAUAGAAGAAGAAAAAUUGAGACGAGAGAGGAAGAAGCGAAAGCGAGGAGUAAAAAGUAAGAUCUACGUUUGCUCCUCAAUCCAUGGAACACGUUAAUGAGUUAACUCAAUAAUUCCAUAACACGGUGAAAAACCAAAUUUCAUUUGAGUUAUAAUUUGUGCCCAUACGUGGGGCCAUCGCAGCGGAAAUCCAUAAAAGUCGAAACCGCAACGGUUCUUUCCUUAUUUUCGCGCACUCAGCUAAUGCCUUCCGUUAAUGGCUUCCGAAUCUUCCACACCUAAACCCCUAGCAAUCGACUCUUCCCUCUGCUUCGUCACUGCUAUCGAAUCGUUUUCGCGGCAACUGAGUUUAUCUCUUCCUCCGUUGAAACUUCCAUUCCGACCCCCUCCUUUUCCCUCCGAUUUCCCCCAAUCCAAACUCAUCCCAAAAUCCCGUUUCGUGGUCGACGCAUUUGCCCACGCCGGCGAUUACUCUCUUUCAUAUUUCCUUUCUCAUUUUCAUUCCGAUCACUAUGGUGGUCUCUCCCCUACCUGGUGCAAGGGUAUUAUCUUCUGCUCCCACCUUACUGCUCGCCUUUUGCUCGAAGUUCUCAAAGUCCCUCUGCCAUUCGUCUACCCAUUGCCGCUUCGGGAGCCUACAACAAUAGAUGGCUGUGAGGUAAUACUAGUUGAUGCCAAUCAUUGUCCUGGUGCAGUCCAGUUCUUGUUUAAGAUUCCUUGUGGGGAUGGGAAGUUUGAGAGAUAUGUUCAUACUGGGGAUUUUCGGUUUUUUGAUUCUAUGAGAGUCGACCCUGUUUUGGAAAUGUUUAUUGGCUCGGAUGCGGUUUUCUUGGAUACUACGUACUGUCAUCCGAAGUUUAUUUUUCCUUCCCAGGAGGAGUCUAUUGAAUAUAUAGUUAACAUCAUACAAAAAAUUGGAGGUGCAAGUAAGGGUUCUAUGGGGAACGUUCUUUUUCUAGUCGCAACUUAUGUGAUUGGAAAGGAAAAAAUUUUGCUUCAAAUUGCGAGUCGAUGUAAUCGUAAGAUAAUGGUGGAUGCUAAGAAAAUGACAGUCUUACGUGUUUUGGGAUAUGGUGAGAGCGGGGUGUUUACCGAGCAUGAAAGUGAAAGUGAUGUUCAUGUUGUUGGAUGGAAUGUGUUGGGUCAAACGUGGCCUUUUUUUAGGCCUAAUUUUGUUAGAAUGAAGGAUAUAAUGGUGGAAAAGGGUUAUUCGAAAGUCGUUGGUUUUGUUCCAACAGGGUGGACUUAUGAGUUUAAACACAACAAGUUCUCCGUAAGGUCCAAGGAUUCACUAGAGAUACAUCUGGUGCCAUAUAGUGAACACUCAAACUACAAUGAACUUAGUGAAUAUGUGAAGUUUUUGAGACCUAAAAGAGUUGUUCCCACUGUGGGUUUGGAUGUUGAUAAACUUGAUAGCAAGCAUGCUGAUAAAAUUAAAAAGCACUUUGCUGGUUUAGUUGAUGAAAUGGCCAACAGAAAAGAAUUCUUAAAAGGGUUUCAACGUGGAUCUGGUGAAAUGAGUGAUGAUGUUGAUGAAAAUGCCACAAAGGCUGAAACUGAGUUCCUGGAGUUCAAAGAAAAGGAAAUUUCAUCGUGUAUGAAGAUAAGUGUCAAAACCGAAGCAUCCAGUAGUGGUAUGGGUUUGUCUUCUCUGCAAGAAGUUGGUUCUACCGAUCUAUUUGAGUCAAAUGAUGGGGAACAACAGAAGAUUAUCCAGGAACUUCGUGAGUGCUUGCCUGCAUGGGUCACUCAGGAUCAGAUAUUAGAUCUGAUUAGCAGCUCUGGGAGAAAUGUUGUUGAUGCAGUUUCUAAUUUUUAUGAACGAGAAACUGAAUUUUAUGAACACAUUUCAACUCUAACGGAUAUCUGUCCCAAGUACCCAAGUAAAGUAUCAGAUAGCCCGUUUAUUUUUCCUGCAACAGAUAAUAAAAAGGUGGUCGUUUUGGGAGAAAUUGACAUUUCUUCAGGCCAUGCUUCAAAGUCAUCCAGUCCAAGGGGGACGGCCAAAACUAAAACUUCUCCUGCUAAAAGGAAGAGAAACAUUCAAGAUAAGCCCAAAAAUAAGUCGAGAAAGAAUUUAAUUCUGCAAUCUGAUGGGUCUAAGCAAUCUACAAUCACAAAGUUCUUCAGGAAAACUCCACAUUUUUCAGAUUGUCCUAAAAUGGAAUCUAUAGAAGAGCAAAAUUGUCAAGAUCAAAGUUCUCCAAACGGUAUUACCGAAUAUGUAAACAAGAUUGACAAGUUUAUUCAAAUAAUAAAUGGUGACGAAUCAUUAAAAACACUUGUUGCAUCAUUAUUGGUAAAGACAAACGGAGACAUGAAUAUGGCACUUGAUUUGUAUUAUACUAAUCAUCAGGAGAGACUUGGUCAAAAUGAAAAGGGUCACAUCUUCAGCGCGAACCCAAUCCAAACUGAAAGCAAUUCGGAUGAAUGCUUAUCUACUCAGAAGAAAAACAUGCUAGAAAAUAUUGGACUUGAGACUGAUUUGUCUAAGAAGAUAAAUGAAACUUUUGUAUCCCUUCCACCUGAAGAUUAUGAUCCAGUCAAGCAUGGUUCGUAUUAGUUCUUUACAGUUUUAUCAAGCCACCAUAUUUUUCUUAGAUAUGUCUGCAUAUUUGAUUUUUUGAUACACUGUGCAUGGAAAUCUUGCAUGGUAUAAAUUUAGCCUGUUGGCGGUAUGGACAGCCUGCCCCAUAUAUACAUCUUGUACGUACUUUUGAUCUGCUUGAAGAGGAAAAAGGGAAGAUAAAAGCUACAUCUAUGCUUUGCAAUAUGUUUAGAAGGUUUGGAUUCUAUUGAUUGUGUCCUUUUAUUUUAAAUGUCUUUUGCUGUGUUGCUUAUUGGUUAGGUUUUACACAAUAUCUUAGUGAUACUUUGUUUUUUUUUUCCCUGUUUAUUUAAACUUUUGCAGUUUAUUGGUUUUGUCUUCUGAGGAUGUGCUGCCUGCAGUGUAUUUAUGCACUAACAAAAUUGCUGCUGACCAUGAAAACAUGGUUUUGUUACUUAACUUUAUUCUCUAUAAAUUAUGUUUCAAUAAUAUAAAAUUUACCUUGUGUUUUUGGAUGAGUGUUCUUUUACCUGAUGAAAGUUAUGCACGGAAGUUGUUACCUUUUAUCAUUAAUUGUUUUUCUCCCCAUUCAUUUUAAUGUAAUUUCAGUUAUUGGAGAUUGUGUGUUCGAAGAUAAAGAAAGGAAAAAAGAGUUAUGGGGAUUAAGAUGUGAAGUUUUCAGAGGAAAAUAUUCCUCGAUGAUGUGGACUAAGAUUAUUUUAUAUUAUUUUAUUUUUAAUCUUUUGAAGCAAUAAACUAGGAUUUUCUUGAGAGUGUUCUUGAUGGAAGUUCUUUUUUCCUGUUUCUUUUUCUUCCUUUUCUUCUUUUUUUCUUUUUUUUUUUUAUUUGUGGGAAGAGGGAUGGCUGAGGUGAAGGGUUUUGUCUUAAAGAUCUUCUGAAGAGGGAUGUACAGGGAUCUAAUGGUGUUUGGUCUCUUGUUAGGUUUGUUGUUUAGCUUUGGACGUUUGUAUGAAGGCUUUUUAUGAAAAUAUAUGAUAGGUUGUAUUUUACUAGAUUGGAGCCCUUCUUCUUUAGUUUGGAUUCCUUUGGUCCCCGGUUUUUUGUGGAUUCUCUUGUGUUCUUUUUGUUUCUUCUUGCUGAAAGUUGAUUUAUUAUAUAAAAACAAAUUUUAAUGUUUUCACAAGGAUAAGAAUUAAGAUUAGAGCAAACAAAGAGGGAUGGGACUAGGUAAUCUUUCUUUGUUAUUUAUAAUAAUUAUUCUUUUACAUUAGAAAGUAAUUUGAAGGUAACAUGUAUAAUCCACAUUUUUAUUGUACAAGGAUCAAAAAGAGGGAAAAGGAGAAGUAUCGUUAAUGUAUUUUCUAUUUUUCUCAAAUUCUACAAGUGAUAUGAGUUCUUUCAGGGAGGGGCUUCUCGCCACUCUUUUCUAGACUGUUCUUUUUUUUAUUAAUACAAAGGUAUUUCUUAUCAGAAAAGGAAAAUGUGCAUCUCUCUCUCUCAUUCAUGUCUUCGAAUAUUUGAAACUGAUUUAAUUUUUCUUUAUAAUAUUUUUUUUUCCCCAGUCUCAGAAUUAGAUUGAUGCAUCGGAAUAAUAGUCGUCUUUUGGAAACAAAUUCCUUAAGGAUGUUUUAUUGGCAUGUUUACAGCAUUUUUGGGCUUAUGCAAUUUGUAGAUGUUGCUUCAUAAUUAAUCUGUGGCUUCGUUUUGUUCAUAAAAUGAGAUUCCCAGCAUGCCCUGUUUCUUAUAUAUGGAUGAAUAUUAUUGGGAAUUUGAGUAUCUAGUUGAGUGUUCGUGGUCCCGUGGAAUGUUACUUUUUAAGAAGGUAAUUUCUCUCUCCUCUUUCCUCUCUUCUCUCUCCUCCUUCCUCCCCUGCCUUCUCGGCUCUUCCCCUCUUUCUGGUAGCUCCACAAAGACUGCAAUUUUGCUCUGAUCAGACUUCACUUUGGACUUUUCUGCAUUAGAAACAGAAACAGAUGGAAGUAAAAAGUUGCAGGAUGGACAAGUUGUAUUUUUGCAUUUGGCACGAAGAUGGGAUUUUUCAAGUAGAAGAUAUUGGCGCAGGUUUAAACAAAUCUAUUUCCAAAUCCCAGUUUAUUUGGUUCAUUGAAGCCAUCUCAGCUUUGCAUCGAUGAUCAGAGGACUCUACUUUUACAAGAAAGAAAAAUUAGAAAAUGGGACGGUGGAAGUUUCCAAGUUCAGAUAAAAAUGGUUGGGUGCUGAGGUGCAAUGUAUGGCAUUGUAAUGGCGGAAGAUCAAAUUAGAAGCCUUUUCGGUCAAGGUCGUGUAGAACAUGAGAUUCUGGACCCAGAAUCCCUGUUCGUAACCAUAGAUGGAAUAGCUUAAACAAACAAAAAAAGGA